rnacentral:lncRNA from 1 species
AAGAAGCUGCAGGGGUUGCACAAAGAAGCCUAUCUGAACACUUGGCUUACAAAGAUGAAAUACAAGAGAGCUUAGGAAUGCAGAAUGUAGUCUAUCUAGAUCGUCUGGAAGAGAUUCCAGUGUCUUCAGAUGGCAGUCCAGCCACAGUCAACACGGCCUUGAAUGACCUCGGCCUGGUGAGCCUUCUUCCUUUCUUCUUAAUUACCUUACUGCCAAACUACAGAAUUUUAGCUUCCAUGUCUGUAAAUCUCAACUGAUGUUCUAGUGUUAUGGAUUGCAGAGCCCACAAGGCAGGCUAUGCCUUCAAGCUGCAGGAGAGUUGGAGAAGCGAAAGUCAAGAAAUCAGGAUAAGAUCAUUAAUGAUUAUAAGCAAAAGAUUGAAGGUGAAUUAAGAAAGAUGAGAAAGUACAAGGAAAAGGCUGAGACUUGCGGACUGGGCUACUAUGAUUCCUUUAAGCUCAACAAAUACGAAGAGGACUUUCGGGCUAAUGUGAGCAGGCUUGUGCUAGCUGGUUUCUGGGACGAGAUGAUGGAAAUGUUAAAAGCGUAUGAACUUCCGGAUGACUUUGAGAAGAGCCAUGACUUUAUACGACUUGGAACCGAUUAUCGCCGCACGGUUGAGCCUCUAGAUAUUGCCAACUUCUAUCGACACGCCAAGGAUGAAGAGACAGGGUUCUACAUGAAAAAGGGGACUCGACCAAAACGAUAUCGAUACAUCCAAAAUUGGCUCGAGCAUGCUGAAAAGAAGCCAUCUGGAUCCCGCUCAGAAUCCUGUUUCUGGGCUGAGGUAGAGGACCUCCGCAUUAAAACUAGAAGCUGUGGAUCCUCUCAAGAAAUUAAGCAGAAGGUUCAGCAACUGGAGAAAAAUCUAAUUAAAUGGAUUGAUGAUGAAUCUUUAGGCAAGGAUGUGUUGUUGAAGAAUUCCACCUUUGUUAUAUGGUGGAAAGGCCUUGGUCCUGAGUAUAAAUCAGAACCCGAAUCAUCUUGCAUUUCGAAACUCAUCGGUGGGUAAGAUUGAGAGGGCUUCAUACUGUCAUCUUGAGGCACUUGUUCAAAGCCAAUAACGGCAAUAACCCUGAAUGUAUGCAAAAUCCUGUUUCCUGUAUUAAUUAGUAUGCAAAAUCUUGUUUCCUGUAUUAAUCAGUAUGCAAAAUCCUGUUUCCUGUAUUAAUUAGUAUGCAAAAUCCUGUUUUCUGUAUUAGUAUGUAACGACUCAUUCCCAAUCGCAUAGAUAAUGUCACUGUGAUAUCCAGGGUCUCAGGUCCAACUAUGUGAAAAUCAAGAAUGCAAAUGACUAGAUAUCAAGGGGUAAUGCUCAUAAUACUUUCAUACAAACAAGUUAGAAUUGUGUAAGUUCUACAGACGAUUAUUCAAGCAGUUGUACUUCAACACAGAUGAAGUUUGUGAUUUGAAGUUACAACUAUCUGAUAAUAAAGAAGAUGAGAAGGCAUAUUUCUUAAGAAAAUGGUCAUGAUAGCAUUUGGCAGAGAGGAGCAUACUAAUACAAAAGAUUGAAAAUGGGUUGAUAAAUUAACAGGCAGAUGGACGCUUGAUGUGCAUAUUCCUUGGCCGAUCAAUAUGUAUAUGAAAAUACUGUGACAAAGACCUAGUUAGCUCCACAAUGAAAAAAGAAGCCCUUGCCAUAUGACGACAGAGGCCCUGUCAUAGACUCACAGGUCAACUACAACCAGUUCCUUCCUAGCUGUCAGAACUUUCCUUAUUGUGCAAGAAAGAAUAAGCGUGAUAUUCUGAUGCUCCCUUACUAAUUUACUACUGAACACAAAUCAACAAGCCAUCCCUUUAAGGACAUAUCUAUAAGUUCCAUCUGGAAAGGACCUCUCCAAUGGUUACAUAUAUCUUUCUUUAUAGGCCACUAAAUGAAGCCCUUUUCCAUAACCCAAUACAACCCAGUCGGAACAUAUCAUCCUCAAAAGUGAGAAAUCAUCGACACCAUAAGGGUGCAUUUGGGAUAUGGGAAUCGGAAAGGAAAUAGGAUGGGAAUGAAGGUGAAUCACGUUAUCAUGUAGAAGAGAGGAAUCAAAAUCCUAGUGAAAGUAGUGUUAAGAUAUGGACUCACAUAUCUAACAAUAGUUCAUGACUAAACUAUUCACCUCUUUUCAGUAUUUGUUUUCUGUUCGUUCAAGAGUAUGGGCCACCUAUGUGUAGAGCCCAAUGCCUUCACGGGCCUUAGAUGAUGGGCCUAAGACUCGUGAGACCCAAAAGCCCAAUGGGUAUGGUCCCUAAGGCAGGAGGGUAUAAAAGGUCAAGGGUCUGUUCAUUUUGGUAACAAUCACAUCAGUUUUGGAAUUAGAACAGACCCGUUUCUCUUCGACUCCCAUCGUCUGAGAGAAUUCAGAAAGAGGUGGUGCCCUCCACAGCCUUAGAAGAUCCAUACCGUAUUCAUCGCCGGAAAACAAUGGACUCAGGUAUGUUCUUAGACAACAGUGGAAGGCAUAAUUUGAAUGCUUGGUAUACAUAUAUAUCCUGUUUUUUUUUUUUUUUUUUUUUUUUGUGUUUUGGGUGAUAAUGGAAAUCAAGAAUAAUAACAAAUGGUAUCAAAGCCUCCCAUUUUCACCAAAACACUCUUUAAAACACAAACAUCAGACCCAAAGCAAAAGACGUUGGACUCAGGUGUUGUUUCGGGCAAUGGGAGUAGCGUUAGGGCGCUGCAACGCGUCAUUAGGAAUCAAAAUAGCGCCAUUCCGACGCUGUUCAUUUUGUCGGCGUCCUUUGCGCCGUUUUGACGUCGUUGAGAUGCCACUGCAGGCGUCGUCAGCCCGACGUCGCCACGACGUCGGUUGGAGGAGGAUUGAGACGCCGGUUUGGCGUCAUUCUCUAAUUAAGAACGCUGUUCAGGCGAUGGAAAAUGACUACGAUGCCGUUUAGGCAUCGUUUCUCAGUCAGCUGCUCGUGAUUUAGGCGUCAUUUUUUUGGCGUUCCAGACGCCGUCCAAGCGCCAAUGAGGAGCGCCAAAAUUAGGGCGUUGUUGCAGGCUACUCAGUAACGUCGUUAUUGCAUUUUUCUAGUGAUGGCACCACUGAUGACGCCGCUGCCGGCAUCCCAUAGUAAAAUGUCUAUUUUUGGUACGCCGUUUUGGUGGCACUGAAGCACCAUUUUCAGGCGCGGUUGGAGGGGCUGCUGGCGUCUGUUACAGGCGCCAUUAAGGCGUUUGUUACAAGCACCAUUCAAACGUCGUCCAGGCGUAGUCUGAUGGCAUCGUUCGUAGAUGGCUCCGGGGCUGCUGUCAGUUGGAUGCAAAAAUGAUCCCUUUUUACAACGUUUGAAAUUCCAUGUUUUUUUAAAAUUUUUUUUAUAUGUAUAUGCUUUUAAAAUUAUGCCAUAAUGAAGAUGGAAUAAUUUGAGAGAGUCUAUAUUCUUUUUUUGUGUUGUGGGAAAUUUUAUAUGUAUAUGCUUUUAAAAUUAUGCCAUAAUGAAGAUGGAAUAAUUUAAGAGAGUCUAUAUUCCUUUUUUGUGCGUUAGGAAAUUUAUAUGUAUGUGUUGCAUGUGAAAUAAUUAGGUAUCAUUCAAUGUCUUAUGAAUCAUGCAUAAAAUGGGUUUGUGGAUAAAUUUUUGAUUGAAUUAUUGCUUGCUAUAUUUAUGUUUAAUAUUAUAAAAUAAAUGAAUUAUGUAUACUUGUUGCCAAAGUAACUUGUAUUAGAUAAUUUUAUUUACUUUGAAAUGUGUAAGCAUGUUAUUAUUGUAUAAAAUAAUCAACCCAAAGGAGGAUUAUUUUUAUAUAAUAAUAAAUAAAGUAAUCAUGAAUAUGUGACAUACAAGGUUUAUCUUGCAUUCGAUAUGUUAGUCCAAAGACAAACAUAUUGUUUUCGGUUUUUUUUUUAUUGUCAAUAUUUAUGAAUUAAUUUAAGGAUGCUACUUACAAGUUGAUAUUUCCGUCCAAAGACUGAAUAUUGAUGUUUGUGCUAGGUAUCUUGUUGUAUGUCCACAUGCAUAUAUAUGUUUAAAUUUUAUUUAUUCAUGUACGUGUGAUGUUUAUAUGACUGAUUGUGAGCUUCAUUGUUAUUUCAACAUCUUCUAUAUCUGCAAAUGUCAAUAACAUUCCUGUGCUUAAUGGCAUAAACUUCAAGAAAUGGAAGGAGCACGUUAUAAUUGUGCUCAGGUGAAUAGAUUUAGACUAUGCAUUAAGAGUGGAUCGCCCUUCAGAUCUUACUAGUGCUAGCACUGCUGAGCAAAGGUCUGCUAUGGAAAAAUGGGAGUAAUCCAAUCGUAUGAGUCUAAUGAUUAUGAAGCACUCAAUUCCAGAAGCUAUAAGGGGUGCAAUACCUGAGGAAACCCAAGCCAAGGCAUUCUUGGACCAAAUAGCAAACCGAUUUGCUGCAAACGAAAAGGUUGAGACAAGCACUAUUCUUAGUAAGCUUGUCUCUAUGCGGUAUAAAGGGAAAAAGAAUAUAAGGGAGUACAUUAUGGAAAUGUCUAAUCUUGUGACUAGACUCAAGGCACUAAAGUUAGAGUUGUCGGAAGACAUACUCGUGCACUUGGUCUUGAUCUCUCUGCCUACACAAUUCAGUCCAUUCAAAAUCAGUUACAACACUCAAAAUGAGAAAUGAACUUUGAAUGAGCUUAUUGCUCAAUGUGUACAAGAGGAAGAGAGAUUGAAACAAGAGAAGAUAGAGAGUGCUCACUUGGCUUCCACGUCUUAGGGAUUUGGUACCAACAAGAAAAGAAAGAGGGACAAUAAAGGAAAACAAACUACAGUUUCUGAGACAUCAAAGCAGAAGGUGCAGAAGAAACAAGAUAAGGAGAUCACUUGUUUCUUUUUCAAAAAGACUGGUCAUAUGAAGAACACAUGUACCAAAUACGCAGCUUGGCGUGAAAAGAAAGGCACACUUCUCAACUUUGUUUGUUCAGAAAUUAAUUUAGCUGUAGUGCCUACUGACACUUGGUGGAUAGAUACAGGUGCAACUACUCAAAUAAGUGUCACUAUGCAGGGUUGCCUAAGGAGUUGAAUGUCAACUGAUGGUGAAAGAUACAUCUAUGUGGGAAAUGGAAACAAGGUUGCAGUCAAGGCUAUUGGUCUUUUUAGACUACAGUUGGACUCUGGAUGUACUUUGGAUUUGGAAGAGACUUUUGUUGUACCGUUGUUUAGACGGAAUUUAAUUUCUAUUUCAUGUCUGGACAAAUUUGGAUAUUGUUGUUCAUUUGGAAAUGGAAUGGUUAGUCUUUAUCUAAAUUCAAAGGUUAUUGGUACAGGUAGUCUAAUAGACAAAUUAUACAAAUUGAACAUAAAGGCCACUAAUGGAAAUGAAACCUUGCAUUCAAGUAAUUAUGACAUUAAGUGAAAAUUAAUAAAUGAGAAUUCAUCAAUGUUAUGGCACAAACGUUUGGGUCACAUUUCAAAUCAACGGAUUCAAAGGCUUGUGUCAGAAGGAAUUCUUGAUCCACUUGAUUCCUCAUACUUUCAAGUCUGUAUAGAGUGCAUUAAAGGUAAACAAACAAAUAUGAGGAAAAAUGAUGCCAAUAGGUGCAGUGACGUCUUGGAAUUGAUACAUACGGACAUUUGUGGUCCAUUCCCUACAACUUCUUGGAAUGGACAACAAUAUUUUAUCACUUUCAUUGACGAUUACUCGCGUUAUGACUAUCUUUAUUUGAUUCAUGAGAAAUCUCAAUCAUUGGAUGUGUUCAAGAAUUUUAAAGCUGAAGUUGAGAACCAACUAAGCAAGAAAAUAAAGGUCGUCAGAUCUGAUCCUAGAGGUGAAUACUAUGGUAGAUAUGACGGAUCAGGUGAACAAUGUCCAGGGCCAUUCGCCAAAUAUUUGAUGGACUGUGGAAUCGUUCCUCAGUACAUCAUGCCAGGGACUCCAAGCCAAAAUGGUGUAGCAGAGAGGCGAAACCAUACUCUUAAGGAUAUGGUAAGAAGUAUGAUAAGUCAUUCCAUCUUACCAGAAUCACUUUGGGGCGAAGCUAUCAAAACUGCAGUUUACAUUUUGAAUAGAGUACCAAGCAAAGCAGUAGCCAAAACCCCAUAUGAGUUAUGGACUAGCAAGAAGCCUAGGAUUAGGCACUUGCAUGUUUGGGGUUGUCCAGCUAAAGCUAGGCCUUAUAAGCCAAAUGAAAAGAAAUUGGACUCCAGAACAGUGAGCUGCUAUUUUGUAAAGUAUUCUGAAAGGUCAAGAGGUUUCAAAUUUUAUGACCCCUCAUCUAGAUCCUUCUUUGAAACGGGUAAUGCUAAGUUCAUUGAGGAUGUUGAGUUAAGUGGGAGAGAAUCAUUAAGAAAUGUCGUUUUUGAAGAGGAAUCUAUUAGUAUUCCUACGACUGGACAUGGUCAUAUUAUGUUUGAUGACACUAUUUAGAAUGUACAGUCGAUAACAAAAAUUCAAGACACACCUGAAAUUCCUCCUACUCAAGUUAUGGAACCGAUUCAAGUUCAUCAAGAGGUAACUCAACAACCUCAAGUACAAGUGCCACUGAGGAGAUCCACUAGAGAAAGGAGAAGUAAAAUUUAAGAUGAUUAUGUUGUAUAUCUCCAAGAACAUGAGUUUGACAUGGGUCUGAAAGACGAUCCAAUUUCAAUUAGUUAAGUCAAACAAAGUUCUAACUCUGAAAAGCGGAUAGAAGUCAUGAAGGAAGAGAUGAAAUCAAUGAAAGACAAUGGUGUUUGGGACCUAGUAGAGUUGCCUGAAGGUAUAAAACCGAUUGGUUGUAAAUGGAUUUUUAAAACCAAAUGGGAUUCAAAAGGUAACAUUGCUAGGUAUAAGGCACGCCUAGUCGCAAAAGGUUUCACUCAAAAGGAAGACAUUGAUUAUAAGGAGACCUUUUCACCGGUUUCGUCAAAUGACUCCUUUAGAAUCAUCAUGGCACUUGUAGCUCAUUAUGUUUUAGAGCUACAUCAAAUGGACGUUAAAACUGCGUUUCUUAAUGGUAACAUUGAUGAAACAAUAUACAUGGUGCAAUAGGAGAACUCUGAGUCUAAUGAUUCAAAGCAACUUGUAUGCAGAUUAAAAAGGUUCAUAUAUGGUUUAAAGCAAGCAUCCUGACAGUGGUACCGAAAGUUUGAUCAGGUGAUCACUUCAUUUGGUUUUAAGGAGAACACCGUUGAUCAAUGCAUAUACCUCAAGUUUAGUGGGAGCAAAUUUAUUAUCUUGGUGCUAUAUGUUGAUGAUAUUCUACUUGCAAGUAGUGAUGUGGGACUUUUGCAUGAAACCAAGCGAUUUCUAUCUAGUAAAUUUGAUAUGAAAGAUCUUGGUGAUGCAUCUUUUGUGCUGGGUAUACAGAGAUCUAUAGGGAUCAUUCAAGAGGUAUACUUGGGUUAUCACAAAAGGCCUACAUUGAUAAAGUGUUGAGUAGAUUUGGCAUGAGCAAUUGUGCACUAGGAAACACGCCUGUGGCAAAAGGGGAUAAAUUUAGUUUGCACCAAUGUCCGAAAAAUGAACUUGAGAAGAAGGAUAUGGAGAGGUUUCCCUAUGCCUCGGCCAUUGGAAGUCUCAUGUAUGCACAAGUUUGUACGCGUCCGGAUAUUGUGUACAUUGUUGGAAUGUUAAGCAGAUAUUUGAGUAACCCAGGUAUGGAUCACUAUAAAAAGGCAAAACGGGUUAUGCGGUAUUUACAAAGGACUAAAGACUAUAUGCUCACAUACCGUAGAUCCAGUCAUUUGGAGAUCGUGGGAUAUUCGGACUCCGAUUUCGUAGGAUAUCUUGACAGCAGGAGAUCCACUUCAGGAUACGUCUUCAUGCUGGCUGGAGGAGUAGUUUCAUGGAAAAGUGUUAAACAAACACUUAUUGCUUCUUCCACCAUGGAGGCAGAAUUCAUAGCUUGCUACAAGGCAUCAAACCAUGGGAUAUGGCUACGGAAUUUUAUCACUCAAUUGCGAAUUAUUGAUGGGAUUGAGAAACCAUUGAGAAUCAAUUGUGAUAAUAAGGCCGCAAAAUUGUAUUCUAAGAACAACCGAAGUUCAUCAAAGUCCAAACACAUUGAAAUCAAGUUCUUGGUUGUGAAAGAAAGAGUUCAGAGUCUUCAAGUAUCGAUUGAACACAUAAGCACAAACUCCAUGAUUGCGGAUCCGCUCACUAAGGGUUUCCCACCCAAAGUAUAUCAUGAGCAUGUCACACAUAUGGGUGUUGUACACAUUGAUGAUGUGCCAAUAUAGUGGGAGUUUGUAUUUAGAUUUUGUGUUUGUUUUCUUGAUGUGAUAUCAUGUUAUGUUAUCUAUACAGACCUUGGUUUUUAAAGACUAUUGUAUUUGAAUACUCUGAAUUGAAAUGAAGACUUUUAGAAGCAGUUUAACAUCAAGUGUUGAAAGUGGAAUUUGACUAAUUUUUAGUCAUAAAGUGGGACCAAUUGGAAAUAGACAUAUUAGAGAUCACAUUCUAUGUAAUUUUCAUGCUACACAUCCAUACUUGAUCCAUGUUGCUAAUUUUGUUAAUACUGUGAUCAUUGAUGGGUUUAGUUAUAAUUAUGAUUAACGAAUGCCGCUUUGAUCCUACAUUAGCAUAACUAGUAGACUAGAUUGUUUAAGGAUAUUAAGAUAGAAUAGCAAGAUGAGCUCAAUAAAGUCCUAUCAUGAAUAUUGUUUUGUAAUAUAUGUGGUCCAAGUGGGAGAUUGUUAAGAUAUGGACUCACAUAUAUAACAAUAGUUCAUGACUAAGCUAUUCACCUCUUUUCAGUAUUUGUUUUCUGUUCGUUCAAGAGUAUGGGCCACCUAUGUGUAGAGCCCAACGCCUUCACGGGCCUUAGAUGAUGGGCCUAAGACUCGUGAGGCCCAAAAGCCCAAUGGGUAUGGUCCCUAAGGCAGGAGGGUAUAAAAGGUCAAGGGUUUGUUCAUUUUGGUAACAAUCACAUCAGUUUUGGAAUGAGAACAAACCCGUUUCUCUUCGACUCCCAUCGUCUGAGAGAAUUCAGAAAGAGGUGGUGCCUUCCACAGCCUUAGAAAAUCCAUACCGUAUUCAUCGUCGGAAAACAAUGGACUCAGGUAUGUUCUUAAACAACAAUGGAAGGCAUAAUUUGAGUGCUUGGUAUACAUAUAUAUCCUGUUUUUUUUUUUUUGGGUAAUAAUGGAAAUCAAGAAUAAUAACAAGUAGCAUUUGGUUUCCAUAGUAAUUCAUUUUUUAUUCUUGUUCUCAUUAUAAAAACAAUUCAAACAUAGUAAUUAAUGAAAAUGAAAUUGAUUUUGCACUACUAUUCUCUAUCCCAGUGUGCCAAACAUGACCUAAGUUAUGUUACCUCAUUCUAUUCCUAAUUGACUUGAAGUUCCUUUGGAGCAAAAUAGAACACAUUGCCCUAUGAUAGAAAAGUUUAUUUUUCAGGUCGGCCUACUUUGAGGCUUUUUUUCCAAAUCGGUCCAUUUGAGACAAACCAUUGUCUAACUAAAUGGUGCGUAUGACCUUGCAAUAAAUAAAACGUCAAACAAUGCAUGAAAUUACAACAAGAAAAACAUUCGAGGUCCAACACCCACCUUGAUCAUUUUGAACAUUGUCACUAAAAAAUCAAGAACUUUGAAACUUUUCAACCCAUGUGGGUCUCAUACAAUUGUAACAUGAAGCAUGAUUAAGACGUUAAGGUUAGGGUCCUAUGAAAAUUACUUUUUGCUCUUUUCAAAGUGUCUUGGGUCUUAUCCUUAUCGGUUAGAGAGACUCUUCUUAGUUGGUAUGACUUCUUUGUGGGCAAGAAGCUCAAAAAAACUUGGAAAAUUGUCCCUUCAUAUAUUUUUUGAAUAGUUUAAAAAGAAAUGAACAAACUUAUCUUUGAUGAUGAGGAGUUGUCCAUACAAAGGUUGAAAAACUCCUUUGUUUGUACAUUUUGAUCUUAGAUUAAAUCGUGAUCAGGUUGCUAUAAAUUGAUUUCAAAUAUUCACAUCAAUCUUUGCUAAAAACAAAAAUAGAAUAAAUUAGAAUAAAUCUUGAAGGAAUUAUGCUAAGAUUCAUUAAGCUAAUUGUAAUAACCAAAGAUAAUGCAAUUAUAGACAUCUUUUCCCUCAAAAGAUAGCUAGCUUAUUAUAAAAAUAUUUUAUUAUUCUUCUUUUUCAUAAAUGUUUUUAUGUUUUUUGUCUAUAGCACAUAAGGGUUACAUCAAUUGUGACAUAAAUUAAGUAGAUUUUUCAUUGCUAAAUUACUAUAUAUUCAAAUCUUUAAGUAGAAUUGUGCAACACGAUCCACAAAGUGAUGUAUAAGCAUUUGAUUUUUAUCAAAUGUUUUUCAAAAACUCCUCUAAAUACUUGGUCUUAUUGAGUGUUUAAAAUGGACAAUAUUAAGAUACUUUAUACCAUGUUUCUUAACAUAUUAAAGAUGUUUAAUUAGGGCUAAACAAAUAUUAGUGACUUCCAAGCCUUUCAUGAAUCUAGGGAGCUACAUGCUUUUAUAAACUAAAAGGCUUAUAAGAUAAAGAAGUUUCAUAAUUUUCAAUUUUUAUGUAUACAAUAAGAUUUUUAUAUAUUCUACCACUUAUUUUAUCUUAUAUUUGAUUGAACAUAUAAUAGGAUAAUCGUGGUUUAAAAUAUCGAUAUAUACCGAUAAUAUAUCGGUACUUGAAUUUUACGGAUAUAUCGGAAAUAUUGAUAGAUAUUUUGGUAAAAAUAUUGGUGAUAUGAAAAUUAUUCAAAAUUCAUGUAAAUGCUUGGAAAAACUCUAAAAAUAAUAAAAUAAGCAAAAAUAAGCAAAAAUACAUAUAUUAAAGUUUUUUUACAAAUAUAAUUAACAUAGGUAUGACCAAGGAUAAUAUUUAUCAUUUUUUUUUAUAGAAAAAAUUAUCUAAAACUCCCUUAAUACAUUUAUAUUCGUUUAAUUUCUAAAAUUUUAUUACUUGUGGUGACAACUUUUUCUAUCAAUAUUAAUUUGUUUAAAUAAUUAAAAUUAUUAAAAAUUAUGUUAAUAAUUUAUCUUAUCAAAUUAAUUUUAAUUUAUAAAAUAUUAUAACUUCAUUAUUUUUUUUAUAUUUUAGUAAUUUUUGAAUAAAUUUAUAUUUUUUAAUAUUUUAAAAUAAAAAGAUUCAAAAUUAUAUAUGAUUUUUUUAUACUUUUUAUAUUAUUGCUAUUUAAUUAUCAUAUAAAUGAUUUAAAAAAAAAGACUUGUUAAAAAAAAUUAUAAUGAUGGUUUUCAUACUUUUAUUAAUUAAUUAAAUAAAAUUUAAAAUAUAAUAAGUAGAAUUAAUUUAUUUAUUAAAAUAUUUCUUUAAUAAUGGAUUUUAAUAUAUACUUGUGCACAUUUAUUAAAAAGGGUGAAUUUGCCCGAGUGGUAGUUGGGCUUUAACCCAAGCAUUUUGGUCUCGUUCCAAUCCCUGCCAUAUUUCAGAAAACAAGUGAAACAUCGCUGGGCCGACUUUCAGCCCAUAUUUCAUGUCAGGCCUCACCAACAAAUGAAAUUUCGCCGACAUUUCAAAGGUUUUUUUUUAGUACUACCGACUACAAACUACCACCAAAACAAUGAUAAAAGAAAAAGACUGAAAUAUCCUCAGAAUUUAAAUUUAAGUAAAUAUAUCUUGAACCUCAAAUAACAACCUUUUUAUGGGAUUAGUAUAAUUAAAAUUUGAUCAUGGAACUUUCAAACUUAAAAUUUUAUAUUGAUUUGGGAAACAUGAACAUUAAGGUUAUGUUUGGUUCUCGGAAAAUUUGAGGGAACCUGUGAAAGAAAUAAAAUAGAGAAAAAAAGUAGAAGGAAAAUGAAAAGUAAGUUUAGAUUUAAUAAAUUAUUUUAAAUUAAUUUUAAUUAUAUUUUAUUUUCUUUUAUAUUUUUUAUAGUAAAAUUAAAUAUGAGAAAAUCAUUUUUCUUAAUAUAUAAUUUUCUUUUCCUAGUAUUUUUUGAAACAGCCUAAUUAAAAUCAUCACAAGAACUUAUUGAUUAUUGUAUACAAUUCUAUUUGUAUAGCAUAUCUAGGCUAUAUAGAACUUUUUAACACAUACACCAACAAGCAACUUCUCAUUAUGAUAAUCUCCAUUCCCAAGUUCUAAAUCCAUCCAAAUACGUACUUCAUGGCAAAACUGUAACACACCAAAAUAAACUUUAGGAGUAAAAUAGUAAAUUAUAAAUUAAUUAAUUAAUUAAACUCAUUAAAGGUAAAAGAGUCCUUUUAUAAUUAAUAAUCUUUGGUAUAAAUUAGAUUCUUCUUUAUUGAGAAAACUCUAUUAACCAAAAAUCAGUGAAUUGGAGAACGUAGGGCUCAAGGUUUGAAAGUCUAGAGUUUGAAGUUCAGAUUUUUCCAGGUAAGAUUCUAACUCUAGAUUAAUAUAUUAUAUUCGUUAGUUAGUUUUGAAUAUAUUAGAUAUUCUUUAGAAAAUUUUAAUUUAGAUUAGGGCUAGUUUAGUUAAUUUAUUUUAAGAUAAAAAAAUUGAAAUUAUGAAUAUAAGUUGUUUCAUUUAUGAAAAUAGGGAAAUUCGAAUUUUUUUUUUAUAUGAAUAGAUCUAAACAAUGAGAUUUUAAAAAUUAAAUGAGUAAAUAAAUAUAUGAUUAUAUGUGGCUUAAGGGAUUGGAAAAUAAUAAGAAAAAGAAUUGCAUGUUUGUGAAUUUUGGAUUUGAGGCAAUGUGUUGGAGUGGCAAAAAAUAAAAUGAUAUGUAACUGUGAAAAGGGUGGUAGUGGAAUAAAUUAAAAUAAUAACAAUGAGUAGAGUUGAUGGGGUUGUUGGAGUUGUUAAAAGUACAUGAGGUAUUUUGUUAAAUAAGAGGGGACAUUGAGAUUAAUAAGAAUAAUGAUAAUAAUAAUAAUAAUAGUAAGAAUUGUGUGAUUUGGAUGUUUGUGAGUGAUGUAUAGUAGGGGUGUUUUUGGAUGUUGCAGGGUAUCGAAAAAUAUAGUAAUAAUAAAAAUAAUUGUUUUUAAUAAAAGUUUUAAUUUAGUUUAAGUAUACAAAAGAAGUAAAUGGUUAGAAUAAGAUUUGGAAGAAAUAUGAGUUUAUAAAAAAUUUGGAAAUUCAUUAAAUUAUAUUAUUAUUGUUUAAGAAGUUGAAACUAAUAUUCGGUAGUAAUAAUAUUAGAAUGAUAAAUUAAUUAAGAUCCCUAAUACUAAAUAAAAUAUUUUUAGGAUUGUCAAAUUUUUACCUUUAGAUAAUUAUGUAUGAUAUUAUGUUAGGUGAAGAGUAAAUUCGUCAAGCUAAAUACUUCAAGUUUUUGAGCACUUCUUCAAGGUAAGGGAAAUUAAUGCAGAUUUUUUAUAAAUAAUAAUAAUAAUUUUCUUUUUAUAUUGUAUUUUGAAAUGUGUAAAAAUAUUAUUUUUAUUUUUUCGCAUGGAUCAAAUAUGCAUUUUGUAUGGAAAGUAUAUUUGAGAAUUUUCUUUGUUUAUGAAAAAUGAAAAAUUGAGGAGAUAUAAUAUUUUGUUUUGUAAGUUUGACUUAAUGAAAUAAAGUGUUUGACUAUGGAUUAUAUGACCCUAGUCAAUGAGUUAUAAUUGUUGAUAUUUUCGGUUUUAGUCAACGAUUUAUAAUAGUUGAUAUUACAUAGCCCUAGUCAACAGGUUAUAAUAGUUGACCUUAUGACCCUAGUCAACGGGUUAUAAUUGUUGACUUUUGGUUAUGUUCACCUUAAAUGGAACAAAUUUGAAACUACCCACUCAUUUGUGAAGUCCCACCUAAUAGGCCACCAUUUGUUAUUUGAUAAUCAGAGCAAAGAUAUUUUGAAUGUAUUUGAUUUGGUUUUGAUGAGAAAUUGUUUUGAAAUGGAUAUGAGAAAGUUUUGUUGAAAAGUUUGAAUGUAUUAGUAUUUUGAACUCAAAAGUUUUUAUGAAAAUAAGUAUAUGUUAUACCUCCUAUUUGCAAGUAUGAUUGAAAAUGUUUGAUCCAUGAAACUGUAUUAAUGUUCUUUAUCGGGCUUUGAGUUCAUCCCCCUUUAUUGAUAAUCUUUCAAGUAACCUCAGUUCGGGCGAGGAGUGACCCUUAUGAGGGAAAUUUAGCUUUAUUAGGACAUUUGUUUAAACUUUUUUUAUUUUGGACAUUAUUGAAAUGUUAAAACUUAAUUCUUGUUUCAAUUAUUUUGAGUUUAGAGUUAUUUGGACAAUAACAUUUUGGUUGAUGUAUUAGUUUUUUAAAAAAGUUGAUACUUGGAGAUUUUAGAAUUUUGUCCUAGAAUAGGAAUUUGGUAAUUGGUAAAUUUCCAGUUACAAUACGGAUGUCGUUUCCACUUUGAGCUUUUAGGCUUGAGUUGUGAAAUGACUGUCAUGCCCUUGGAGUGGGUUUUGGGGCAUGACAGAGUGGUAUCAGAGCACUAAGUUAUGAUCUUGUUGGGAACUUGUUUUAGUUUACAUUUGGGAUAGACCAGUGACACAUUAGUUUAAGUUUCAAUUUCAUCUUUUAUAAAUUCCUAUUUUUCCUUAUGAAUCUAAAUUUCCUAAUUAGUUUUUUAGUGACUAAUUUAAUUAUACCUAAUGUUUUAUUGGACAACAUGGCACCAAGAAGAACAACAUCUUCCCAAAACAGUCAGGCUAAUAAUGAUGUACCUCCUCCACUUGAGGGUUUGCCUCCCAUGAAUGUAGAAGAACUUUAUAGGUAUUUUGAGACUUUAGCUGGUUUGGUUAAGCGUCAGGCUAGAGCUAUUGAGACUCAAGCUCUUGGACAACACUCAUCUUCUAAGGGUAGCUCAUUUUAUGACUUUAAUAAGUUAAGUCCUCCUUAAUUUUCUAGUACUUCAGACCCAAUGGAAGUAGAAGCUUGGAUUCUUAAGAUAGAGAAAUUCUUUGAUGUUAUAUAUUGCUCUGAGGAGCAAAAAGCCUAUUAUGCAACAUUUAUGUUAGAUAAAAAAACAGAUCAUUGGUGGCGUAUGACCAAAAGGCUUUUAGAGGAUCAAAGACCUAUAGUUUGGAGACAAUUUAAGGAGGCAUUUUACAAAAAGUAAUUCCCUGACAGUUUUAGACGAUAAAAAGUAGGAGAGUUUGUUCGUUUGGAAUAGGGGGAUAUGACGGUGGACCAGUAUGAGGCUAAAUUUACAGAGUUGUCAUGUUUUGCUCCACAAUUAAUUGCUACAGAGGAGGAAAAGGCAUUAAAGUUUCAGGAUGGAUUGAAACCCUAUCUAAAGAACAAAAUAUAUAUAUUUUGAAGCUUAGUGCCUAUUUAGAGGUUGUAGAUAAAGCUCGUAUAGCGGAAAAGGAUAAUAAAGAGCUUUAACAGUACAGAGAACAACAAAUGAAGAGGAGUAGGAGUGAUGAUGCCCAUGAGAACCAAGAACCAAAAAGGUUUGAUUCAAUUGAGAGUCCGAAUAAAGGGGAAACAAUGCAAAAUUCAUAUUUGACUUGUUCUAUUUGUGGUAAGAAACAUUGGGGUAAGUCUUGCUAUAAAGAGUCUGGAGCUUACUUUGGUUGUGGGAAGCAUGGACAUAUGAUUCAGGAUUGCCCAAAGAAUAAGAAGUUUAUGAUUGGGAAGCCUAAAGAGGAGAAUAAAGAGGAUAAACAGAAACCCAGAGUCCAAGGGCGAAUGUUUGCUAUGACUCAUCAAGAUGCUCAAGCCACUUCUGAUGUGACGACAUGUACUAUUCGAAUUUGCAAUUGGGAAAGUUGUGUUUGUAGCUACCUAUUUGAAAGUAUUAUGGAUAUCAAAUUGGAAGAAGUUGGAAUAUGAGAUUUGACCAUGAAAUGGCAAAAUAUUAUCUUUCUCAUGCACUCUUUUUUUUACUCCAUUUUAUGUUCCUAGAUUGCCCCUCCAUGUUUCCAUGUCAGCAACCCUAUCUUCAUAUUAGCAGGAAACCCUCCAUGUCACAUAAGAGACUUGAAAUUUAUAAAACAGAAAAAUCAAACCUAUGAAAAUCACCUGACCCAAGACCCAUGUAAAAUUUUUAAAAUCUUUCUUCUCUUUGAUUUGGGAGCUUCUCUCUCUCUUUUGGCUUCAUCACCCACACAAUCCCGAGACCCAUGUAAAAUUUCCUAAAAUUGUCUUAUUAGAGAGGAAAAAACCAUUAAUCCAAAACUCCAACCUGUGUGUUUCUCUCUUGUCCACAUAAAAGUGCAACGAAAUGGAGCAUUCCAUCCUAUGAAUGUUCGGUUAAAAGAAAACUUCAAGAGGCGCAUCCGUGAUUGUGAAUCUACUAUAGCAGCAGGUACCGGAACGGAAAGAUGGAAUCCAAAAUAUUGGGUUUGUGAACAAGAUAUCUCUUCUUGUCAUUGAGUGGCAUUUUUCCCUAACCCCAAACCGAAAUAUAAAGGUAAAUUAUUUUCAUUUAUUGUUCUUUAGUUCAUUAAUUUGAAAUAGAGCACAUCAACAAUUUUGGAGUAGUUGGUGGACUUGAACUUUUGUGUUGGGUUGUGGAAAUCGUAUUAUUCCUAAAUAACCAUAUGACCCACAAGUCGUAUUUAAUUCAGAUGAAACUUACAACAUAUCUAGUUAUAAGUCGCAUUGUUAUUUUGUGGACUGUACCUUAGGUACUACCUUAAUAGCCCUUAGGUACUACCUUAAUUUACUUUAGGUACUACCUUAAGGGACCUUAGGUAUUACCUUAGUUAAAGUUGGGUUCUACCUAUCCCAAGCCUCGGACCUUCCUUUGUGACCCUUAGACCAUGCCAUUAUGUGAUUUUUUUAUGUGGGCAAGUGGUUCACCUUUGGUUUUUUGCAAAUUGUACCUUAGGUACUACCUUAAGGGACCUUAGGUACUACCUUAGUUAAAAUUGGGUUCUACUUAUCCCAAGCCUCAGACUUUCCUUUAUGACUCUUAGACCACACCAUUAUGUGAUUCUUUUGUGUGGGCAAGUGGUUCACCUUUGGUUGUUUGCAGACUGUACCUUAAGUACUACCUUAAUAGCCCUUAGGUACUACCUUAAUCUACCUUAGAUACUACCUUAAGGGAUCUUAGGUACUACCUUAGUUAAAGUUGGGUUCUACCUAUUCCAAGCCUCGAAUCUUUCUUUGUGGUCCUUAGACCAUGCCAUUAUGUGAUUCUCUUGUGUGGGCAAGUGGUUCACCUUUGGUUCUUAAAGGACUGUACCUUAUGUACUACCUUAAUAACCUUUAGGUACUACCUUAAUAUACCUUAAAUACUACCUUAAGCGACUUUAGGUACUAUCUUAGUUAAAGUUGGGUUCUACCUAUCCCAAGCCUUGGACCUUCAAUCCCGGACAUUACUUGUUAUAAUUUAAAAUUUGUAGUUUAUCAUUACUAAUACUUUGUAUUUUAAAAUAUGAUAUUAUUUUAAAUUGCAUAUGUUUUUUUUUAGAAUUUCCCUUAAUUUCUCUAAAACAUAUUAUUAAGUAAAUAAAUUUUAAAUCAAAUUAUUAAUUUUUAAAAAUAAUUUGAAACUCAAAAAUCAAUUUAGGGUACUUUUUUAUUUGAAUAACAUAGAAAAUCAUGGACUUCAACAAAAUAGUAUCAAAAAAAUCAUAAAUUAAAAUUCAUUUUGAAUGACUUCACUAGUUUCUUCUUUAUAUAUAAUUAUAUUUUGGUAAAUUUUUUUAUUUGGCAAAUAAACUCUAAAUCAAGCAAGACUUUGUGCAUUGGAUUCUUUAACGGAUCUAGUAAUUUUUUAAAAUAAGUUAAACUCAAAUAGUGAUCAAAUUAAUAUAAGAAAUCUAUGAACAAAAAUUAAUAACUUUAUUGUUUAUUUUCUAUAUAAAAUCAAUUUUUUUAAAUUUUGUUUACUAAAAAAAUAAACUUCAAAUUAAAUAAAAUUUAAUGCAUUGAAUUUAUUAACAACUCUAAGUAAUUUUAAAAAAUAAUUUAAAAAUCAAAUAGUGAACCAAUCAAUACCAUAAAUUUUUGGAUAUAAAUUGAUCUCUUCUGUUAUUUAUUUAUGAACAUAGUUAUAUUUUUAUAAUUUCAUUCACUACAAAAAUAAACUUAAAAAUCAAAUAAUAUUUUGUGCUGAAUUUAUUUAUUUUAAAUGAUACUAUUAAUCAUUCUUAAUUUUAAAAUAUUAGAAUUAAUUUUUAAUAAAAAAUCAAUUAUUAUUUUACAAAGAGGUCAAUAUCCAUAUUUCUAUAAUAAAGAGCAAAAUAGUAUAAUAAAUUCAUUUUAAAUAAUAUUAUUAAUUAUUAUUAUUUUUAAAACAUUGUUAUUAAUUUUUAAUUAAAAAAAAUCAAUUAUGUUUUUACAUAGAUGUCAAUAUCCAUAUUUCCAUAAUAAAGGGUAAAAUGGUAUAACUUUAAUAAAAAUAUAUAUAUAAUUUUGUGAUUGUAAUACAAUAUUACCAUUCCUAUUUUACUAAAGACUAUUUAUUGUUUAAUUACAAAACUAAUUUUAUUUUCAAUAAGAAUUUUAUUAAAUUUAAUUAAUAUUACAUAUAGUAUUUUUAUUAAAAUUUUGUUAAUAUUAUAUAAAUUUAAUUUACAAUGUUUUUACAAAAUCAAAAUAAAAAAUAAUAAUUUUAAAAAACAAUGCAUCCAAAUAAGUUUUUUUAUCUUUAAAUUUAAAAAUAAAUAAAAAAUAACUUACCAAAUACCCCUAUUUUUAUGAAAUACUAAAAAACUAUAUCUAUAUAUAUAUAUAUAUAUAUAUAUAUAUAUAUAUAUAUAUAUAUAUUGGUUUUUAACUUCAAACAAUUUUUUCAAAAAUAUAAUAAAAUAUGACCUUAUAUUCUAUUCAAACUUAAACGUUAAAUAGUAAUUCUCUUUUUGUCUGCGAGCUACUAAUGUGGACCCUGCAUUUUGCACGAUGCGUUAUCACUUGACGACGUGACUUACUUUUUAAUUUAUUUGGUGAAAAUUUGAUAUUUUUUGAAAAAUACUUGGAGUCGCCACUUAUUUUAUUUUUUUUAAGGGAAAAAAAAUAAGAAAUAAAAACCCUAAGUGUAACUCUUGAAGCUGUGAAAAAUCGAGUUUGGGUCCGGGGAUCAGGUUACUUAUUAGGAAUGUACGGUGGUGAGUCGUAGCACCCCUCUAAGCCCAUAUACAUAUGACCUCUACUAAACGAAUUAAGGGAAUUGUGACAAUUAAUUAAUUAAUUAAUUAUGGAUACCAAGAAAAAUAAUCAUGCAAAUGAGUAUGUACAAGUCAUGGUGAAAAUCAUUAUACAUAAAAAUAAUGAUGAAAUCUAAUUACAAAAAUACACAAAAUAAAUGACAAGAGAAUUAUGCAAAAUGAUUUAUUGAACUAAAAAAAUAUUUUAAAAGAAUCAGUUUUCAAGAAAUUUCAAAGAAUUUUGUUAAAAACAAUUUUCAAUUAAUGAUUUUAAUUUAUUUAUUUUAAAAAAAAAAGUCAAUUUAUUUUCUCAACUUCAUUCGUAUUCAAUUUUCAAAAAAGUUAUUUACACUUAUUGUAUCAAAAAAAUUUAUUACAAAAUUUCAAUUUGGCAACAAAAAUUAUUUUACUUGCUUUUACAAAAAAUGAAUGAAUUUUUACAAUUUUAUUUACAAAAGUAUUUCAAUUUGUUUUCAUUUAAGAAAAGUGAUUUAUACAAAUUAUUUAAAAAGACAUGACUUUAUUUGCAAAAGGAAUUUUAAUUGAAAAUAAAAAAAAAAAGAUUUAAAUCAUCUAUUUCUAAAAAAAAAAACUUUUAAUCCCAUUUUAAUUAAGGAAAAAGAAUUCAUUUUUUUUUAAAAAAAGAAUUCAUUUUUUUUUAAAAAAAAACAUUUUUUAGACAAUUUUAUUAAAAAUUAAUUUUUAGGACACCUUUAUUUACAAAACAAAUUUUAAACAAUUUUUAUUAAACAAAGAAAUUUUUGGACAAUUUUAUGAAAAACAGUUUUUCAAAUUCUAUUAAAAACAAUUCUUUUGGAUUUUUCUAAAUGCAGUUUUCUGAAUUUUUAUUAAUGAAAAAGCUUUCUUUUAUUAAAAAUAAUAUUUUAAAAUUAUUAUUUUAUUAAAACAUAUUUACUGAAUUCUUCUUCUUAUUUAAAUAAAAUUUAUAGUUUGUUCGAUGUUCAAUUUUGCACACACUCAAUAAAUAUAUACAAAUGAUUAUUUAUAAGAACUAAUAAAAAUAAAACCAAAUAAAAGUGGGAAAUAAAAUAUGUACUCAAAUAAAUUUAACACAAGCUCAAUAUCUUCCUACAGCUUUUCGAGCCUCACUUUCUUCCAUGAAAUUUUGUGUUCCACAUGUCAUAAAUUCGUACUCAACCAACAAGAUUAUAGGUCCAUGCAAAAACAAAAAUAUCUCAAAUGUAAAUAUCUAAAAAUGUAUAAAAUUCAUAAUAGAUAUUCAAGCCCAAAUUCAAAUUAGUCCAACAAAUUUCAUCAAUUAAAAGUGGACUCAAAUUAGCAAAUAUAACCCGACAAAAAUAUCUCACAUGUCAUAAGCCCUAAUCUAAAAUUUCCAAAUUAAUAGCCAAAAUAUAAGCUCAAUUAAUCAAACCCAAAACAUGAUAAAUUAAAAUAAAUCUCAUUAGGCCUAAACUUAAUAUCUCAUAAUCCAAGCCCAAUUUAAUAUGCAAACUUAAAUCUACAACCAAAAUCAACCCAAUUUAAUAUGCAAACCCACAUCCAAAAUAUACCACAAUAAUAUAUCAUAUCUAAAUUAAAUAAUUCAAAUGAGUACAACUAUAUAAAUUAUCAAUUAAUCUAACCCAAAUUAAGAAAUUCCAAAUUAAUUCACCAACAAUUAAUUAGCCCAAAAUUCAUAUUAAUUUACCAACAACAAAUUAACCCAAAUUUCAUAUUAAUUCAACAAUCUAAAUUUCACAAACAACAAUUACUAUUAAAAUAAAAGGAAAAUAAUAAUAAUAACAACAACAAUAACAACAACAAUAAUAAUAAUAGAAAAUAAGUGGGAUGUGAAAGUGAGGGAAUGAGAGAAAAUGGGAGGGGGUCGUCGGUAGCGACUGACCGGUGAUCUAUCGACAAUGAGGGUUGAUAGGUUUUUGGGAAACAAAAAUGAAAUAAAAAAAAAAGAUAAAUAAAAAAAUGGGAAGAAGAAAAAAAGGAGAAAACGGGGACGGAGAGACGCCGACAUCAUGCCACCGACAGUGAUGAUGGAGUCAGAUGGGGAUAUGGGCAUUGGGACGAGUUGUAGGAGAAAAUAAAAUGGAAAAGAAAUGGGCACCGAUCGUCCAUGUGUGUUGUGGGGGAGGGAAAAAAAAAUGAAAAAAUGAAGUGGGGAAAUGAGGGAGCACGGUUGGGAAUCGGAGUUGGGGGGUGGUUAAGGAGAAGAAAUCCAGAAAUGGGGAUAAUGGAGGUCCGGGUGAGGUUAUCCAACUGUCAGCCCUAAGAGAGAGAGAAGAAAUGGAAGGGCAAAAUGGGAAGCUAGGAAAGUGGGUAAGAAGAAGAUAAAUAAAUAAAUAAAAUGAUGGAAGAAAAGUGAGGGGGGCAUGUCCUCAUGACGUGGGAGGGAUGGAGAGUAGGUGAGAGUAGGUAGGAGAGAGAAAGAGGAAGAGAGAGAAAAGAGGAAAGAGGAGAGAGAGAAUAUAUAUAUAUAUAUAUAUAUAUAUAUAUAAAUAUAAAAAUAUAAUAUAAUAAUAAUAAAAAAUAAAAAUAAAAGUAAAACAAUUUACAAAAUAAUAAAAAUUAAGAAUUAAAGGGUGAGUGGGUAAAAAAUAUCACAUAUAAUUGGGAUUUAAAAUCUAAGUACAAAAUUGGGCUCGAAAUUAACGUAAAAAUAAAAUUGUGACAAAUUUUGGAGUCUACAGCUAUGUUUGCUUUAAAAGAUAUGAUACCAUAAGAUAUAUACAUAUAUUAUAAUAUCAUGUGUCAUUGGAUUGAAAAUAGAUAUCCUAUGGUAUGAUUUCCAAUGAGAUAUGUAUUAUUGGAUGUACAUAUUCUAUGAACAUGAUAUUUAAAGGUAGCAUAUGAAAUGAAAUAUAUUAUGUUUAUAUUUAAUAUGUGAAAUGGAUAAAAAAAUAACAAUAUCAAAUAUAUGUUAUUUUUCAAUGUUUAAAAUAAAAAUUAUAUCACAUUCUAAUAUUUUAUAUUUUAAAAAUUAAAUUUAUGUUAUUCAAUAUAUCAAAAUAAUUUAUAUAUCAUAUAUUAAUAUUAUUUUAUAAUAUUUUUUAUACAAAUUUCUGUAGUAUUUCUUUUUCAAUCAUAAAUUUAAUUUAUAAUAAAAAAUUAUUUUACAAAAUAAGUAUAUAAAAAAAAAUUAUGAUACAUGAGACAUGCAUAUCUCAUUUUGUAGUAUGAGAGUAACAUAUCAUAUGUAGAAGGGACAUACUUGCCAUGAUUAGGCUUCAAAUGAAGUUGAAUUUGGAAUGCCUAUGCUCAAAACAACUGCUAUGAUAAUGCUUAGAGAGACAUUGAAACAACAUUUUAUGAUAACAUUUCAUAUUAACACAACCAAAUUUAAAAGAUUCCAAGGAAAAACAAGGAACAAAAUGUUUUGAAAUAACAUUAGUUAUUCUAUCCUCUCCUGAGAUUGGUCUCCUAAAAGCUGAGUACCAAAGUACAAUGCCACUCAGACCAACCAACUCCAAACCAAUAUUACACUACACACCACAUUCCCCAUCAAUCUCUCAAUCUCUUCACUACACUACAAUACAAGCCAAUGGGUGAUUUGAAACCAUAUAGAAAAGUGUUAUCCGGAGAAAUUCCAUCCCAGCUAACAUCUUUUCAAUAUUUUGGAGCAUAGAAAACAAAAAUUUGAAAUUGAAGAUUUCAUAUGUUUGCCAUACUUGGUGAGACUUUUAAGGAAAGAAGCAGAUCUUAAUGAAGAGUGCCAGACCUAUUUGCAAAACAAAUGAAGCAACAAUCACCAGACUUAUGUCGUUACCCUGUAAGUAGGACCUCGGGUUCAAGGCAACAAAGCAAGCUGAUGCGCCACCUACAAGGACUAUGAUGAGCCAUCGCAGAAACUCAAUUGGAAUAACUAACAGGACUUGAAAAUGUUCCAAGAGAACACAUUAGAUGUUCACAAGACUACUGCUUAGAAACCCAGAAACUAAAAAUUACAUUGUUAAGGUUCUGCAACAAUGGAAACCCCUAUGUGUUAAUCCUUUAAAGACAACAACAGGAUAAACUGGCACUGGAGGUCCAUAGUGUGGAUGAUGCACCACCAACUAUUAACCUAAAUGCUUGCUUGUUAUGUAAUGUAUCUUUUAUUAAGUAAAACUUAAAAGAUACGUUAUGUAACAAUCUUGCUUUAACUCUAGUUAUUUCCCUUGCUAUAUAAUGUUUUUAUAAUUGUACAUAUAUUUGACUAAUAUUGCUUUAUUGUAUGUAGUACAUUUCUAUUAUUUAACAUAUAUUUGGACUUCUAUAUUAAAACAUAUAUUUGACUCAUAAUAAACUUGAUGCAUACAAAAAUACAUAAAAACAUAUAUACUUAUGUGGAUGUAUACACGGUGUACAUGUAGGUAUAUACAUACAUAUACAUGCAUACAAAUAUACAUAGGUAUAUCAGAAUCUAUUAGAUAAAAGAGAUAGAUAACAAAGGACAAAAUUCCUCCAAAAGAAGGAAACAUACACAAAUAUAUUAUAAAAGGAAAACCUUUGGCUUCCCAGCCUUAAGGAAAAAUCCUUAAACUUCAGAGGAGCAUGUGAUCAUCACAUAUGAUGCACCAAAAAAAAAACUUAAAGAAGAUUUUUACAGACAUAGUGAUAUUUGCAAAGCAAAAUGGAGCACAAUGUUCCAAAUUUUCCAAUUUAUUUCUUACCAGAGACACUACAAGAAGAUACGUCACCCUUCAUACAACUAUCACUAUAGUGCCAUCCUAUUGACUAAGACUAAUCAGCCUGGCUCAAUUUUAUCCAACAACCUCCCUAAACAAGAUGUCUCAAUGAUACAGUUGGACCAUAAGGCCAUCGAUAAUGUCAGUGAUCAAGAAAGAAACAUAUAAGCACCGUAUUUUUGCACAUAAAGAAUAUUUGAGAUGGGAGAGUGGGCAAGUAUAGGAUCCAAUGAUAAAUUUGAUUGCGUGAAAGAGAUACUAAUAAUAGCCUAAAUAUCCAAUCUUAUCAAGAGUAAUAUACUUGAGAAAGAUAAUUUGCUAAUAUAGAAUGAGGUCAAACUACUGAUUAUUGGGGAAAACCUGAUGUUUUAUCUUAUAGAAGAUGGUGUUUCAUACCUCAACAUCAAGAUGAAUUCAUUGAAAGCCAUUGGUUAUACUCAUCCAUCCUUAUUAUAAAGGAACUAGAACUUGGGGAGCCGCCUCCACCAUAUGCCUUCACAUUUAUGUGUGAUUACUAUUCAAAAAGUGCUAUUUUGUAGCUUGUAAUUAACUCUUUUAAACACUCUUGAGUAGUAAUUAUUACCUUUUAACUCAAUUGACAUGUUAAAGACCCUUGCAAUCGUUUCUAAUCAAAUUGUGUUAAGUUUUGGUGUUUUUGAUAGCUUUUUGCUACACCAAAGCAAUCCAAGAAUGAGGGAGAGCUGUAUAUAGUUCAUGGCAAAGCUUUUGGAAGCUCAAAUUCAUGAAGAACCAAGCUUUGGAGCUCCAUAUCCCUUUUCCAAAGUCGUUCAAAGUAUGCAAGGAAAGAACAAUGGAGAGAGGAAAAACAGAGUGAAGAAAACUGAGGACAGCAGCUGCAGUCUUCUUUCACACUUUUGGAGCACUUCCCAAAGUCCAUUUUCUACAUGCUAUAUACCAUUUCAAAGCUCAGGAAGUCAAGAAUCCAACGCUUCAAACAGUGUACGAAUUGGAGCUGAAAUGAGGAAGAUAUGGCCUUUUCAAGACAACUGCAUCCAGCUGAAGGACAAAUUCGCAUCUUGCGAAUUUGGAACUCCAACAUGCGAAAUUAAAGCCUACCUUGCGAAAUGAAAAUGGAAUACAGCCGCACAGUCACAGAGAAGCCCAACUUGCGAAAGUGAUUUUGCAACUUGCGAACUUGGAGCUCAACGUGCGAAAAUGGAUUCCAAGUUGCGAAAUCAACUUGCGAGAUUUUCGCAAGUCACCAUGCAACGUGCGAAAUCUACAUGCGAACUGGGAUGUUUGUGCACCGACUCUUUUAGAUCUUUUCUUCAGAUAUUUUUGUAUAAAUUUCCAUUAUUCUCCUUGUAAUCCACCAACCAUAAGAUUUCUUAGCUAGGAAGGUUGGAAAAACUUCUCUAUAUAUACUCCCUUGCAUCCAUUGUAAAAGAUAUAGAUAUAUAAGUAUGUAGAAUCGAUCAAUAUAUAGAAUAUACAGAGCCUUGCUCUGUUUUUCCUUCUCUUUCAUUUUCAUUUUCUUGCUAGCCAAACAUUCUCUGAGAUGUUUUCUCAGAGGAUGAGUGGCUAGGAUUUUUGUUUCUUGGGUGAAGGAAGCUAAGUAAGGUUCCGGCUACAUAAGCGUGAGAUUUUGUUGUUUCCGUUUUUAAUGAAGAGAAAGUGUGAUCUGUUUUUGGUUUUUAUAUUUUUAGUUAACUAGGAUUACCAUGAAUAACCAAUACUUGGUAAGCUUUCGGAUUCCAUGGAUUCUUAUUGCUUGCAAUCUUGCUCCAUGGAGGUCUAAUUGUUAUCUCUUGUUCGCUUGUGAAGGAUGAUUUGAUGGUAAGGAUCACCUUGAAUGGCAAAUACUAGGUGAGAGGUACGAGCCAUUGCAAGGUGUAUUAGUGAGAGGGAUUUAGUGUUGAAACCAUUAAUGGCAAGCAUUUGUAUCACACCGGUUCGGGAAAUAACUAUAGGUUAAAUUCCGAAUGCGAGGAAAAGAUUCAAGUGACCGGAAUCUCCCUCUUUGUAGUUGGCACCUGAUCCUAGUAACCUGAAAUCCCAAGAAACACCUUUCUUUCUAAUUUCUUUCUAGUUAAUUUUAGUUACUUUAUGUUAGGUUAGCUUAAUACCAUCCGUUUUCAUUCAAACUUAUGUCUUCUUUUAAAGCUAACAAAGAAAAGAAAAAGCACCAAUUCAGUUUUUGAACUAAUAUCAAUUGCGAAGUGAAAACCCAUCUCUGUGGACGAUCCUAGAGCCACUAUACUAUGCUAGCUAAAUGCUACCCCGGUAUAUGGUGAAAUAGGUUUAUAAAUUUUGUUGAUUACUCCCGUCUGAGGAUUGAGAUCAAAGCACAUCAAUUGAGUUGAAUCAAUUGGAACACCAAUCGGGCACGAAUCAAUGUGUAAAGAAAACUUGCUUACAAUUAAUCUCAAAUAUCCAACAUUAAACAAAAAAAUAAAUAACUAAGAAGAACCAUGAUUGCUUCAUAUUGAUGCACACAUUCGCAACUUUAGAGCAUCAGUAGCACUAUUAGUGCUCCUUAAACACAUUUUUAGAUCAUUCCGUUGUAUGUAAGUAACAACUUCUAUAGGCCUGACAUCAACAAUGAAGAUACUCUAAGAUGAUGAAGCAUUUUAAUCCACCUAGCAAUGACUUUAAAAUGUAGACAUCUCCAUGAAAAGAUCCUUAGUUUGGAAUUCAGCUUCCAUAGUAAAUGUAAAGCUCUGUCUAGCAAUGGGCUAUGUGGUGAAGCAAUCAUAAGUCUGAGCAAAGGGUGUUGGUCAAAUAGUAGAAAAGGCGAGCAUAGAAGCUACUUAAUAGUAGAUAUGCCAAAGGUCAAUUAGACAUUUAACUGAUUAAGCCAACCUUUAAAAAGAGUUGACAUACAAAAAUUAAUGAACUAUUGAUGUACAUGUGAAAAUUUGUUGAGAUUAUAAUGUUGAAGUGUAUGUAUUUCACAUCCAAUGUUUUUACCAUAUGACUGAAAAGUAGGAAACAAAGUUUACUUCUAGUAAUUGAAUUAAGUUCAUGCUAAAAUGAGAUAAAGGAAAAUGUGAGAAAAAUUAUUUCAUCAUUUGCUCAAGUAGCCCUUGUCAAAGCAGGACCUCUUUAAUUUUUUUCUCACUUUUGAAAUAUUGAAAAGCGUGAGCCUAAGGGCUGAACCCUACUGGAGAAGAAGUACAUAAAGAGCCACCUGACAUGGGCUGAAAAAUAAAGAGACAGAACACAAAAGGAAUAUGCAUGCAGAAAAUAGUAUCACCAUUGGCACUUGACUCAUAACACUGAAUUCAGGAAAUCCAUGAAAGAUACCAUUUCUUCCCCAUGGGUAUCUAAAGAGCAUAAAUACCAAGCUUUAAGGAACACAUCACUAAGUUUUACCACAUGGAGCUCUACAUAAAAAAAAAAGGUUCUCAUGUUCCUUUUUCCAAAUACACCGAAAACACAAAGUGAAGUAGAUAUCCAAAGGUUUCCUCUUUAUAUGUCUGUGCACACACACACACAAACAUAAUAACAUUACUUCUUUUCUUUCCCACAGAAAUUCCUUUCCAAAACCAUAGAAAACUCUUUAUUCAAUCAAGGCAGAACACAAGAAACACAAGACAAGGAAAAAAACUAGUGACUAAAGAGGCUAGUCUACCAUACAACGUAGAAGAAUAUAAUUCACGAAGUACUCAUCCUCAUCCUUUUGCAUAAGCAACACCAAUUAACAAUAGUACAACCCCUAUGCCCCCACAUAAAUGCCACUUCGUCAAAUAGGAGAGCCUGCUAACCUCAACUCCACCCCACAUAUAACCCUUUCAAACUACAAGUAAACCUAAGUUAUAGGCAUGUAACACUUUCAUUAACCUUCCAAAUCAAUUAAUUUUGUCAAAUUCAAACAGCAAGUACCUAACAGGUUCUCAAAUCAACCUUUUUUUCUUUAAUAUAUUUUCAUUUACACAAAUCUGAUUGUUAUAAACAAAAAAAAUACAAUGAUAAUCCUAAGCACAAUCAAAUUGGAAACUUAUGCAUCUUAGUAAUUUUUUUAAUUGCAUUUCCACAUAGCUAAUGAAUCAAGAAAAUAAAAUAUGUUCCUUGUUAACAGUAAUAGUGGUAAUUGGAAAACAGUGCCACAAAAAGGGAAAUCACAAUUCCUAUCAAAUUCACAACUGGAAAAAACAUCAUAAGCUACAAUAAGAAACAAUUAAAUAUUAUUUAUCUUCAAAAUCAUUCAUUUCUUCAUCAGUUAGUAUUCACUUUCUCACAGGAAUCAUAUACAACCCCCAUCUCCACUUCUUAUCCAAUAACUAGAAGGCUUAAAAGGACAAGUAUAUGAUUAAAUAGGAAUUGAAUUUGAAUCAUCAUUAAAAUUUAAAAAGAACAAAUAACAAACAAAGACAAAAUUUAAAACCUAAGAAGAUCUUUUGGAUUUUGGAUUGAUUCGAAUCAUGCAAACAAACAAAAGAAGCAAAUAGAAAAUAAAGUCAUGAUAAAUAAUUGCAAGCCUGUAUUACCCAAAUCAAACCUUAUUACCCUGACCCUUCUCUGUACAUCAAAAUCCUGCAUCACAAUUUGAUUUCACACUAAACUCAUAUGGAUAUGAAUAGAAACAGAAAGAGAAUCCAUAUCAACAUAUUCCCCGAAACAGAAACAAAAAAAAUAAGCAAAAUAAAUUGAAAAAAUAAAUCCAAAAAAAAAAAAAGGAAAACUGGGUGGCUUUGAAUUCAGAAAGAAACCGAUUUAAAAAGAUAUGGAUCCAUCUGAAAAUUUCUUUAACCAAAACAAAUUUUGUCUCAUCUUCAUUCAUGCGAAAAUUAAUCAAAAUACAACAAACCCCAAAAUAUAACACCUUCGGCCCCAAUAUUUUCUCAACAUCCAAAUGAAUCCUUAAAACUCACCUAUGAUUGAUUAAGCCACAGUAAGAGGAAACUCCAUUUCGGUUUCCAAAAACCUUAAAAAAAUUCAACCUUUGAUGAAGAAAUAUGAAGAUAUGCCUCAACUUUGGCUUUGUUGAAGGUUUUUGGAAGAUGCCUAUCAAGUUUGGGUGGUCAACUCGUGAAAAGAGACAUGAUAGGUUUAGGCCAAAAUCAAACGAAGACGGCUUUGGGAAUAUGGGUAUCCAUCGCCUGGUCAGGACAUCAAUAAACAGAUCAGUUGUCUACCUUCGUGUAUCAAACAAGCUAUGAAAAUGGGAAUUUUUUUAGAUCGGGUUAAGGCAAAAUGAGAGGAAGUGACAGAAAGAGUUUCGCAACUUUCAAAUGUUUAUCGGGUCGGGUGUUUUGUGGGUUUCAGAUUUGAUAACUUCAAGUUUCAAAUUUUGGUGUUUAUUAAAUUACGCACCUACCUGCUGACAUGGACAUCGGUGGCUGCUGACAGGGAAACAUUAAAGGGCAAUUUUGGAAAUGGAAACCUAAACAGUAUAUAGUACAUGAGAAAUAUAAUAUUUUUCCCAUUAACAGGCACAUCUCAUAUUUCAUUUAUGUGGGUUUCCAAAACCAUAUAUCUUCCUAAUAGCAGCCUGCAAACACAACUUUCCCUUUGCAAUUUAUUGUUAGAGCCUUGAUUGACCUAAACUCAACACAAUCUAUGUUUCAAUAUCUUUUGUUGGUUUGUUAGGUAUGCUUGUUGAUAGCCUAAACUUUGAUUUGACUGUUGUUUUUCCUAUGGGACAUUCUAUUGUGGAUAAUAUUAUGUUUAGAGGUUAUCUUAUGAUGACUAGUUAUAUGGAGAUGUUAGUGGACUUAAUACUUCUUGACAUUAUGAUUUUGAUGUGAUUUUGGAGAUGGAUUGGUUAGUUUCCUUCUAUGUCUAUAUUAAUUAUUUUGGUAAAAAGGGUGACUAUCCACAUUCCUAGCUAAUAUGCAUUUAGUUUUGAGGGAAACAUGUGAUUAGACCAUUGUGUAUGAUCUUAGCUUUAUGGGCUAGUUUCUUGCUUAGGAAAGGUAAUUAAGGGUUUUAUGCUUAUGUAGUGCGUGAUAAAAAAAAAAAAAAUUACAAUCUAUUAUUGCCAAGUUGAUAAAGGUUUAAUGAUGCAAUCUUAGUAUUCAAGAGGUCAUUUAGGAAUCAAAAAAGGAGAUAAGAGAAAAACAUCCUCAUUAUUUGAAGAUUUAUGUAUGUCAAGUUUAGAGGACUAAACUUUUGUUAAGGAGGUGAGGAUGUAACACCCCAAAAUAAACUUUAAGGGCAAAAUAGUGAAUUAUAAAUUAAUUAAUCAAUCAAUUAAACACAUUAAAGGUAAAAGAGUCCUUUUACAAUUAAUAAUCCUUGGUAUAAAUUAGAUUUUCCUUUUGUCUUCUUUAUUCAGAAAACUCUAUUAACCAAAAAUCAGUGAAUUGGAGAACAUAGGGCUCAAGGUUUGAAAGUCUAGAGUUUGAAGUUCAAAUUUUUUCAGGUAAGAUUCUAACCCUGAAUUAAUAUAUUAUAUUCGUUAGUUAGUUUUGAGCACAUUAGAUACUCUUUAGAAAAUUUUAAUUUAGAUUAGGGUUAGUUUAGUUAAUUUAUUUUAAGAUAAAAAAAUUGAAAUUAUGAAUAUAGGUUGUUUCAUUGAUGAAAAUAGGGAAAUUCGAAAUUUUUUUUAGAUGAAUGAUCUAAACAAUGAAAUUUUAAAAAUUAAAUGAGCAAAUAAAUAUAUGAUUAUAUGUGGCUUAAGGGAUUGGAAAAUAAUAAGAAGAAGAAUUGCAUAUUUUUGGAUUUUGGAUUUGAGGCACUAUGUUGGGGUGACAAAAAAAAAUAAUAAUAUGUAACCAUGAGAGGCAAAGGAUGGUAGUGGAAUAAAUUAAAAUAAUAAUAAUAAUAAUGAGUAGAGUUGGUGGGGUUGUUGGAGUUGUUAAAAGUAUAUGAGGUAUUUUGUUAAGUAAGAGGGGACAUUGGGAUUAAUAAGAAUAAUGAUAAUAAUGAUAUUAAUAAUAAUAAUAAUAAUAAUAAUAAUCAUAAUAACAAUAAUAAUAAUAAUAAUAGUAAGAAUUGUGUGAUUUGGAUGUUUGUGAGUGACGUACAGUAGGGCUGUUUGGAUGUUGUCGGGUAUCGAAAAAUAUAGUAAUAAUAAUAGUAAUUGGUUUUAAUAAAAGUUUUAAUUUAGUUUAAGUAUACAAAAGAAAUAAAUGGUUAGAAUAAGAUUUGGAAGAAAUAUGAGUUUAUAAAAAAUUUGGAAAUUCAUUAAAUCAUAUUAGUAUUGUUUAAGAAGUUGAAAAUAAUAUUGGGUAGUAAUAAUAUUAGCAUGAGAAAUUAAUUAGGAUCCCUAAUACUAAAUAUUUUAAGAUUGUCAAAUUUUUACGUUUAGAUAAUUGUGUAUAAUAUUAUGUUAGGUGAGGAGUAAAUUCGUUAAGCUAAAUAAUUCAAAGUUUUGAGCGUUUUUUAAAGGUAGGGGAAAUUAAUGCAGAUUUUUAUAAAAGAAAAUAAUUUUAUUUUUAUAUUGUAUUUUGGAAUAUAUAAAAAUAUUAUUUUUAUCUUUACGCAUGAAUCAAAUAUGUGUUUUGUAUGGAAUGUAUAUUUGAGAAUUUUAUUUGUUUAUGAAAAACGAAAAAUUGAGGAGAUAUGAUAUUUUGUUUUGUAAGUUUGAAUUAAUGAAAUAAAGUGUUCGACUCUGGAUUAUAUGACCCUAAUCAAUGGGUUAUAAUUGUUGACAUUUUCGACCCUACUAGACGGGUUAUAAUAGUUGACCUUAAGGUCAUAGUCAAUGGGUUAUAAUAGUUGACCUUAUGACCUUAGUCAACAGGUUAUAAUUGCUGACUUUUGGUUUUAUUCACCUUAAAUGGAACAAAUUUGAAACUAGUCCCUCAUUUGUGAAGUCCCACUUAAUUGGGCACCAUUUGUUAUUUGACAAUCAAAGUAAAGAUAUUUUGAAUAUAUUUGAUUUGGUUUUGAUGAGAAAUUGUUUUGAAAUGGAUAUGAGAAAGUUUUGUUGAAAAGUUUGAAUGUAUUAGUAUUUUGAACUCAAAAGUUUUUAUGAAAAUAAGUAUAUAUUAUACCUCCUAUUUACAAGCAUGAUUGAAAAUGUUUUAUCAAAUAAAACUGUAUUAAUGUUCCUUAUUGAGCUUUGAGCUCAUCCUCCUUUGUUGAUAAUCUUUCCGAUAACCUCAUUUUGGGCAAGGAGUGACCGUUAGGAGGGAAAUUUGGCUUUAUUAGGAUAUUUGUUUAAACUUUCUUUAUCUUAGACAUUGUUGAAAGGUUAAAACUUAAUUCUUGUUUGAAUUAUUUUGAGUUUGAAGUUAUUUGGACAAUAACACUUCGGUUGAUGUAUUAAUUUUUUUUUUAAAGUUGAUACUUGGAGAUUUUAGAAUUUGAUCCUACUACUCUGAACAGGAAUUUGGUAAUUGGUAAAUUUCCAGUUACAAUAGGAUGUUUGUGUUGUUUCCACUUUGAGCCUUUGGAUUUGAGGUGUGAAAUGACCGUCAUGCCCUUGGAGUGGGUUUUGAGCGUGACAAAAACAAUUCAUAUUUCAAAUGGAAAACACUCAACAAUUCUCCCAAAUUUCUUUCUUUUUAGCCAAAAAAAAAAAAAAAAAAUUGGAUCCACAACAAUGGUUUUAGGCAAUGAAGAUUCAGCAUCUUCAAAAUGUGGAAAAAUAAUAGAUCUAAUCCACUUGCAUGCUAAUAAAUAAAUAAAUAAUUCAACACCAUCCAAAAUUUAUAUUACAAUUAAAAAAAAAUACCUUUAAAAGUUCCCAUUGAUAAUAAUGAGUAGCUCGAUCACACUAACACAAAGAAGAUACCUCUAAUUGUUGGUAUAUUUUUUUGCUUGUGAAAUCAAGCAUUGACAUAAAAGCAAAAAAAAAAGGAAUGAAUCGUUUUACCAUAUCCCAACACAAAUAAAUAAAUAUACUUGAUAGAUUCAUAAUAUAACACCAAAAAAACAAAAUGAAAAUCCAAUCCAAAAAUAAAAUAAAAUAAUCAAGAGAUAGAAAUUGAAAAGGGUUUGAAAGUUAGAACGGGUGUUGGAAUUGGGUUUGGGUGCUCAAGUGGGCUGAUCCGACCUGACCUAAAAACUGCCACUAUUGUAAAAAAAAAUUAUUUUUCUCCGUGGAAACCCUCUCUUUUUGAGUACUCUCCCUCAAAAAACUUUUUUUUUCUCUCUCUCAAAACCAGAAAGUGAAAAAUAUAUUUCUUCUUUCCCUAAAAACAAAAGAAAGAAUAUAUUUUUCUUUCUAAAAGAAAAUCAUUUCUCAAAGUUUUUUCUAUUUUUCUUCCUGAAAACGAAAAUCAAGGUUCUUGUACCAUAAGAAAAGAAUAAUCUUUAUAUUUGUAAUUUCAUUCAUGAAUUGAAGCAAAAAAAAUUGAUCAGUAAAAUAAUCAAUCAGAAUUCUUAAGCAUUUCAAUAGUUAAUUGAAUGCAUUAUUUUUCAUGAAGGAAAAAUUUUGAAAAACCAAUAAUGAAGAGAAUCCAUAGAGAUAAAGGAAGAAUCGAAAAAUAAAGAAAAUUAUAUAUAUAUAAUUGCAAUCGUAAUCGGUACAUGAUAAAUGGGUGAAGAUUUUGAAAGUGAAAUAAUUGUAAAUGAAACCAAAUUUACUUAAAAAUAAUAUUUUGACGAACACGUCACACUUUUGAAAUUAGUAGGAAGACGUUUGAGCUUUUACACGACGAUAACACAAACCGUCAAAUACGAAAUGACGCGUGUAAGUGGAAAGGUGGGAAUUAAAAAGUUGUUGGGGUUUGAUCUCAAGGCAUAUAACUAAUUUUUAAAAAUGAAAAAGUGGGACAUAGCUCCUCCGACUGUCGUCAAAAGCGUGUGGGCCUCUCUCCAUUGUCAUUUCCGGGCAACUCCAAUCCAGCGGAAUAUGAUUCCAUUCCCGCAGUGAUCCGAAAUGGGCAAUAAACCACUCACUGUCUUGCCCACUGGUUAUAAAUCAAGCUGCAGCGUCACAACUUCAAAUCACACACACAAAGAUAAAAUUUGCAUAGAGAAUAUGGGAGAAACACUUGGAGAUCGUAUUGGGUUGAGUGACGAAGUCAUUAAUGUAUUGGCUUCUCUAGCCAUGAAAGCCCACGAUUGCACUGGUGAGCCAUUUCUCCGCAAGAAAGGUUUACCCGUUACUGUAGGGACCCCUCCCCUUGAUGACACGUGGCACGCAUUUCUAACCAGAUCAGCUUCAUCCGGAUUUCCCCAAGAGUACACAUGGCGCGCUCUCCUAUCCGGACUCCCUCAAGGAGAGGCACACAACACUCACAAACAUAACAUCCGGACAACCGACAUAUAAUUUUUGGAUAUGUUCAUCCGGAUCAUUGACUGAAGUGAGCAAGUCUUGCACGUCAUCACAACAGCCUGCCAUGGCUCACGUUCCGCCACUUGCAGAGUGAGAUGACAGGAAUGAAGUGAUGGCAAGUCACUUCCCACGAUCUUUGACAGCUGCGGCGCCUCCCACGAUCUCUGUCAGCCGCCCUAUGAGUGAUGAUGGCCCUACCACCACCUAGAGACAUCAUGACAAGCCAAAAUAUCUCCCUACCAUUAAAGAGGGAAACAAAGCUCCUUAUACGAUAUAUAUAUAUGAACCUUCACACAAAGAGGAAGGUAAGGUUUCUAUACCUAGUAAAAGGCCAACUGAUUUAUCUCUCUGAACCAUGGCUAACAAAACCAUCGGAGGGUGCGUCCGGACACCCUGUCCGAACGUCUUUUGUAAGAACGACUAAACCAGGAAUCUAUAUUGGUUGAGAUCGUGCGUCCAUCCAUUUGGCAACUACGUGGAUCACCAGGGACGCGAGGCCUCAACAUUGGCGCUGUCUGUGGGAACAUCGCUGAUUCAGUCACCGGCAAACAUGGUCACACCUUCCCGAAGUCGCUCAUCUGGUAAGGGAGAGGAAGAUCAUUCUGAAUGGCGACAAGCCAUCGAAAGAAGACAGUUGGCAAGCGAACGACAACUGCAAACUCUCCUCUGGGAGACAGAAAGGUUAAGAGAAGAAAACGCGGUGCUACGCAUCCAAGCUUCAUCGACGGGGCCUCCCCGUCGCCAGCGUUCGAGAGGCCAGAUGGCAAACUCAAGGCCGGAACCAGAGUCAAUAUACCCUGGGACAGUAAGAGCCAUCCCAAAAACCAGCAACGUUAAGCCACAUGAGCCACACACUCCCAUGCACUGAGCUCCCUGUGAGGAAAACUCAGACUCUACUCAUUUUUCAGCAAAAAGACAACGCAACAAAAGGCCCCAGUUGUCAAACUCGAUGCGCGCAAGACUAGGCCCACAGGAGCAUAGGAGGCCAAGGCCACUAGCAGCCACAGCCUGGGAAGCGCACCCUGACCCUAUGGUCACCCCUAUGGUGCAAAACGUUCUCCCACAUCGUGACCCCAUGGUCACCCCUAUGGUGCAUAACGUUCAACCACACCUAGUGGUACGACAAUCUGGGAGAAACCUCCCAAAUGAGCCACCUAUUGGCUCCAUCAGCAAAAGACUGGACAACAUGCUCUCCACGCCUUUCUACUCUCAUAUCAUUCAUUACGAGCCCCCAAGGGGAUUCCUCGUACCCAAAUUCUCCACAUACGAUGGGUCCAACGACCCCUUCGAUCAUAUCAUGCAUUAUCGACAGCUCAUGACUCUCGAUAUAGGCAACGACGCGUUGCUAUGCAAAGUAUUUCCCGCUAGCCUACAAGGGCAGGCCCUCUCAUGGUUUCAUCGCCUACCUCCAAAUUCUGUUGACAAUUUCAGGGACUUAUUGGAGGCUUUCGUGGGACAAUACUUAUGCUCCGCUCGACAUAAACAGAACAUCAACACUCUACGAAACAUAAAAAUGCAAGAUAACAAAUCCUUAAGGGAGUUCGUGAAACGGUUUGGUCAAGCCGUACUUCAGGUAGAGGCUUACAGUAUGGAUGCUGUCCUGCAGAUCUUCAAGCGAGGCAUCUGUCCAGGCACUCCAUUUUUCGAAUCACUUGCUAAAAAGCUUCCAACAACGAUGGACGACUUGUUCAGACAUGCAAACAAAUACUCAAUGCUCGAAGAUGACGUACGAGCAACCACCCAACAAGUCUUGGUUGCUGGACAGGCAUCUAGAAGUGGCGCGGAUAGAAGUGUCAAACUUCCGGACCGGCCAAGGCCGUCCGAUCGAAGGCAGGAAGGGCCAGGUCGCCCGGAAAGACCGCCCCUCACGCCUCUCUCCAUAUCAUAUGAGAAACUUCUCCCUAUGAUCCAAGGCAUGUCCGACUUCAGGUGGCCUAGACCCCUCGGAACGGACCCAUCCAAAAGAGAUCAUAGCAAAAAAUGUGCCUUCCACAAGGAGCAUGGUCACACAACGGAAGAAUGCAGGUGCCUCCAUUAUUUGGUCGAAAAGCUCAUAAGAGCGGGACACUUAAAACAAUACCUCCCCUCAGAUGCCGGAGGUAAAAACGCUUCUCAAAACCACAACACUGGAGCCCCCAGGGCCCCAGCCACCCCCAAAGUCGUUAUAAACUAUAUUAACGGAGGUCCAUCUGACGAGGAGUAUGACUCCAAAUGAAAAAGACAAAAGUUGUUGCGGGCCUGUAGACCCUCAAUUUUGUCCAUCGACACUGGCAUUUAUUCUUCAGGUGUCACAUCCACCCAUCGUUCGCAUAUGGCACCACUAGGGCCCCUUUUGGGCUUAGUCGGUGUCCGAGCCUCGUGUGGGUUUGUCUGUGGUCCAUUGUGGUGCAUAUGUGGUUCAUUUUGGAGGGUCACCAUGGCCAUUUUCCUAGUCGUUCACAUCACACUAUAGGAAGGAAGUGGGGUCAUCUCGAUGUUUUAGCUUAGUUGGAGUUUAUAGGGGCAUGUUGAGGUUCGGAGCACUCGGGCUUGUUUUGAUCGUAUCUCCCUCAUCCAAACUCGGAAUCAAGAACCGUUUCUUUUUAUGGAUUUCUUAUUCUUCCAGGAACAUUCUGUAAAAUUUUCAGAUUUUUUUUCGCAACCGGUCUGCUGGUUGGCAGCCGGUUCAGCCGGUUCAUCGAGUCAGCCGGUGUAGAACACUGAUUUUUGGUAAUUGUUUUGAUCAUAUCUCCCUCUUCCGAACUUGGAAUCAUGCACCGUUUUUUUUAAUGGAUUCCUUACUCUACUAGGAACAUUCUGUCAAAUUUUCAGAAUUUUUUUCCAUCGGUUUGACCAGUUGGCAUCCGGUUCGGCCGGUUCAGCCGGUUCAGCCGGUUCAUUGAGUCAGCUGAGGUAAAACACUAAUUCUAGUAAUUUUGAGGCCUAAAUCCUACAUGGCUCAGGCCCGUAAGCUCCAGAUCGGUUUUGGGCAAUGUUGUGGGUCCAUUUUGGGCCUUGGUUUGGGUUCCUUGUAGGCCACUACGAAUCCAUAUGGAUUCUUGGUGGUGAAGCAAGCUGAAAACUGAAGGAGUGAGCUGGCCUCGUAAGUUUAAGAGAAGUAAUGAGGGGUGUGGUUCCCAUGCUGAUGAAGGGGAUUUCGGUGUUGAAGGGGAAGGAAUCUAGGAGGCUCAAAUGCUAAGAGGGGUAUGAGUAUAAAAGGUGAGAGGAUAGGAGAGCAAAGGAUAGGAGGGGACAUUUUGGAGAAGGGAAAUUUUGCUGGUGAGAAAAACAAAAGGUCAGUAGCAUCUUCUGAGUUGAGAGCGUGGGAGAAAGCUUCAGCACUGUGAUUUUUUUUAAGAGGAGAGUGACAGCAUCUCAGUUUUGGAAGUCAUCAUCUGAAUACACGGAUCAUAUUUGGUGGAGAUUCUGAGGUAAGCAUGCUGAAUUUUCUUUACUUACAGUUUAUCUUCCUCGUCUUCAUAUGCUUUUUCUCCUUCCUCAUUAUCUUUUCUUCCAUUUGAUAUGAAGAUUGUAUUGCUUGGGUGUGGAUAAUAAAGGCCACACAUGAUUGUUGUUGAUUGGUUAUUAAUCAUUUAGGAACUUUAUGACCGAAUUUGGGGUUUUUUAUCAACCGGCUGAACCAGUUGGGAACCGGUUCAACCGGUUCAGCACAAUAGCUGGUUGCCUAUGUCAGCCAUGAAGAACACCUACCUUUCUUUGUCUGGUUCUCACUCAUCCAAGCUCGGAAUUGAGAACCGUUUCUUUUUUUUGCUUCAUUAAUCACUUAGAAACUUUCUGAUCGAAUUUGGGGUUUUUUAUCAACCGGCUGAACCGGUUGGGAACCGGUUCAGCACCAUAGCUGGCAGCCUCUGUCAGCCAUGAGGAACACCUGCCUUUCUUUGUCUGGUUCUCACUCAUCCGGGCUCGGAAUUGAGAACCAUUUCUUUUGUUUGCUUCCUUAAUCACUUAGGAACUUUUUGACCGAAUUUGGGAUUUUUUAUCAAUCGACUGAAUCGGUUGGGAACCGGUUCAACUGGUUUAGCACAAUAGCUGGCUACCUCUGUCAGCCAUGAGGAACACCUGCCUUUCUUUGUCCGGUUCUCACUCAUCCGAGCUCGGAAUUGAGAACCGUUUCUUUUGUUUGCUUCCUUAAUCACUUAGGAACUUUCUGACCGAAUUUUGGAUUUUUUAUCAAUCGGAUGAACCAAUUGGGAACCGGUUCAACUGGUUCAGCACCAUAACUGGCAGCCUCUGUCAGCCAUGAGGAACACCUGCCUUUCUUUGUCUGGUUCUCACUCAUCCGGGCUCGGAAUUGAGAACCGUUUCUUUUGUUUGCUUCCUUAAUCACUUAGGAACUUUCUAACCGAAUUUGAGAUUUUUUAUCAACCGGUUCAGCACCAUAACUAGCUGCCUCUGUCAGCCAUGAGGAACACCUGCCUUUCUUUGUCUGGUUCUCACUCAUCCGGGCUCGGGAUUGAGUGUCGUUUCUUUUGUUUGAAUCCUCACUCAUUUAGGAGUUUUCUAGAAAAAUUUGGGAAUUCUUCUCAAUAGGUUGUACUAGUUGAGAACGAGUUCAACCUGUUCUACUGGAGGACUUUAGGUAGCCCUCGAUUUUGGCAUUUUUCGAGCCCUUAUCUAUUGGGGCUCAAACCCAUUUUCUAUAGGGCACUUGUGAGCCAUCUUGAAGGUUUAAGUCAGUGUUUGAUUUCAGUUAGUAUGGGCAAUUUUGAAGUUAUGGGUGGUGUGGUCUAGAUGAAUCUAGUUCGAUUUGUAUGACAUUUGGGGAGUCCCUUACCUCAUUUCAACCAGAUAUCUUCCUUUUUGGCACAAUCUUUGAUGCUUGAUUUUGAAUACAUGUUGCGUGACUGACUCACCCUCUGCUGUAGCACAUGGCUAGGGACUACAGGUACGGAUCGUUGGUUUUGAUUGUUGAAUCAUAUGCAUGCAUGGUGCUUAAUCUUGAAUGUUUGUUAUGUGUUUAUCGACCUUUUAUGCAGCGCUUGGCUAGGGACCACAGGUACGCACCCAUUAUUUUAGUUGGUUGAAUUCAUAUGCAUGCCAAAUACCAAUUAGGAUUGUGUGAUUCAUGUCAUCUAUUUAGCCUAGGUUUCAUUUGACCUUUGACCUAUAUGCUCCCACAUACCCAAUUCAUUAGUAGAGACCGAGUUUCGGGCCUAGAGGGGUGCUACCUCGCAUGAGGUACCUUCCCAACGGGUAACCUGAUCCCCGGACCCAGAAUCUAGUUUUUGUAGACCGUUUUUUCCAUACUGGGGUCAUUAGGGGUUUUUGUUCUUAUUUAAUUUUCCCCAUUUUAAAAACAAAAAUAAAAAGUAAGUGGCGAUUCCAAACAACACCGUUCCUCAUCGGGGGCGGGUUUUUCAAAACUGGAAAACACCAACUUUUUCAUUUCUUUCUUUUCUUUUAAAAGCGAGUCGCGUCGGUCCGGUGGAUCGGGUGAGGGUCCACAGGGCCGCAUCGGUACGCGAAUGUAUCAACUCCAUCCGGCCUGGGAUAUCUGGAGGGGGCCCCCACCCCAAAGAUGGGACAAUCAUUUUUCCACCAGUACACCCCACCCAGAUAUUGCAUCCGCACCGCGACGCCCUCAUCCUGUCCCUAGAGAUAGGAGACUUCGACGUGAGGCGCAUCCUGGUCGACCCAGACAGCUCAGCCGAUCUUGUACAAGCAUCGGUCAUUAGCCACAUGGGACAUAGUCUCACAGGCCUCGAAAACCCUGGGCGAAUCCUAUCCGAAUUCAACGGGUCGUCAACUACGUCAUUGGGAGACAUUGUACUAUCGGUCCAAGCUGGCCCAGUCACUCUCAACAUACAAUUUUCGGUGGUACAAGAUUUAUCACCCUUCAAUGUCAUAUUGGGGCGCACAUGGCUACACUACAUGAAAGCCAUCCCCUCUACAUAUCACCAAAUGGUAAGUUUCCUUACCAAAGAUAGGCAAAUUGACCUAUAUGCUACCAAAUAGCACGAGAAGCAAGGACCAGCCAGGAGGAUGCAUCCCUCCCUGAGUCCAGCCUUGCACGUGACUAAUAACAAUUAUUGGGUCCGGCGGACAAAGAUCCCCCGGCAGCGGAUCCCUUGCAAACAAUCCAAAUUUCAGAAGAAGGUACUCACCUUACGAAUAUCAGUUCCCUCCUGACACCAGAAGAGACCCAGAAUAUGCAGAACGCCCUCAGACAAAACCAUGACGUCUUCGUAUGGGCACAUUCUGAUAUGAAAGGAAUUCAUCCCUCCAUUACCUCUCAUAGACUCAACGUCUUACCAACAGCCAGACCCAUCCGGUAGAGGGUUAGGCGUUUUCACCCAGACAGACAAAAAAUUAUCCAGAAUGAGAUUGACAAGUUGCUAGAAGCUGGAUUCAUCAGAAAAGUGGAUUACCUAGACUGGUUAGCAAAUGUAGUAGUGGUACCCAAAAAAGAAGGCAAAUGACGGGUGUGCGUCGAUUACACCAACCUCAAUAAUGCAUGUCCAAAAGACAGUUUUCCUUUGCCACAGAUAGAUCAAAUUGUCGAUUCCACUACUGGGCAAGGGAUGCUCUCUUUCUUGGACGCCUUCUCCGGAUACCACCAAAUCCCCAUGUCCCCGAAUGAUGAAGAAAAAAUAGCCUUCAUAACACCACAUGGUCUCUAUUGCUAUAAAGUCAUGCCAUUCGGACUCAAAAACGCUGGCGCCACUUAUUAGAGACUGAUGACAAAGAUCUUCAAAUCUCUGGUCGGCCGCACAGUAGAAGUAUAUAUUGACGAUAUCGUGGUCAAAAGCAAAACCCGAGAGGAGCAUGUCUUCCACUUGCAAGAAGUUUUCCACCUCUUAAGGAAGUAUGGCAUGAAGCUAAACCCUUCCAAAUGCGCCUUUAGCGUAAGUGCUAGCAAAUUCCUGGGAUUUAUGGUCAGCCAAAGGGGGAUAGAGGUUAGCCAGGAUCAAGUGAAAACGGUCAUGGACACACCACCCCCCAAGAACAAAAAGGAAUUACAACGCCUCACAGGCAAGCUUGUCGCGCUUGGGCGUUUUAUAGCCCGAUUCACUAAUGAGCUGCGACCAUUCUUCUUGGCAAUACGAAAAGCUGGAGCCAACGGGUGGACAGACAAUUGUCAAAACGCUUUUCAAAAAAUUAAACAUUGCCUCAUGCAACCGCCCAUCCUGAGCAGCCGCAUCACUGGUGAAAAAUUGUACAUGUACCUAGCUGUAUCAGAGUGGGCGAUCAGCGCUGUUCUAUUCCGCUGCCCCUCACCCAAGGAGCAGAAACCUAUCUACUAUGUCAGUAGGGCAUUGGCGGACGUAGAAACCAGGUAUUAAAAAAUGAAGCUAACAGCCUUAGUUCUUCGCAGUGCUGCCCAGAAACUCCGCCUCUACUUCCAAGCACACCCGGUGGUCAUGCUAACUGACCAGCCCUUUCGCAACAUUCUGCACAAACCGGACCUAACCGAAAGAAUGCUUCAAUAGGCCAUAGAGUUAAGCGAAUAUGGAAUUGAGUUCCAACCCAGGCUGUCCAUGAAAGGCCAAGUCAUGGCUGACUUCGUGCUGGAAUACUCCCGAAAGCCUAUCCAACACAAGGAAUCAAGUGAAAAAGAGUGGUGGACUUUGCGGGUCGAUGGAGCCUCAUGAUCAUCCGGAUCCUGUGUAGGGCUCCUGCUGCAAUCACCAACGGGGGAACAUUUGGAGCAAUCCAUUUGGCUAGGGUUCCCCGCCUCAAACAAUGAAGCAGAAUAUGAAGCCAUCCUAUUCGGAUUGGACCUCGCCCUGGCUCUAUCCGUCUCCAAACUCCGUGUGUAUAGUGAUUCCCAACUUGUGGUAAGACACGUCCAGAACGAGUAUGAAGCUAAGGAUGCACACAUGGCGCGAUAUCUAACUAAAGUAAGGGACACCUUACAACGAUUCACCGAGUGAACGAUCGAAAAGAUCAGACGAACUGAAAAUAGGCGCGCCGACGCCUUGGCAGGCAUAGCUGCCUCCCUCCCCAUCAAAGAAGCCAUAUUGUUGCCUAUACAUGUGCAAACCAACCCUUCUAUCGCGGAAGCUUCCACUUGCAACACCAUUGAGGCAAAACAGGCAGACGACCAAGAGUGGACGAACGACAUUAUAGGGUACCUCCGGACAGGCACUCUACCUGAGGAUCCCAAGCAGGCACACAAGAUCCAGGUGCAAGCCGCCCGUUUCACCUUGAUUGGGGAGCACCUGUACAAGCGAUCCUUCACAGGUCCCUACCUUCGGUGCCUAAGUCAUUCAGAGGCCUUAUAUGUGUUAACUGAAUUGCACGAGGGAGUAUGUGGAAAUCAUUCUGGAGGACGAUCUCUGGCGCAUAGAGCCCAUUCGCAAGGAUAUUACUGGCCCACAAUGAAGAAGGAUGCGGCAGCCUAUGUCAAAAAAUGUGACAAAUGUCAAAGGCAUGCCCCCAUUCCGCAUAUGCCAUCGGAGACAUUGAAACCAAUUUCAGGCCCCUGGCCCUUCGCGCAGUGGGGCAUGGACAUAGUGGGACCCCUCCCAGCCACACCUGCCUAGAAGAAAUUCCUACUUGUCGCCACGGAUUACUUUAGUAAAUGGGUAGAAGCUGAAGCAUACGCUAGCAUCAAAGACAAAGAUGUCACCAAAUUUGUAUGAAAAAACAUCAUCUGCCACUUCGGAAUCCCCCAAACCAUUAUAGCUAACAAUGGUCCACAGUUUGAUAGCAUCGCCUUCCGAAAUUUCUGUUCGGAACUGAACAUCCGGAAUUCAUACUCCACACCGCGUUAUCCUCAAAGUAAUGGGCAAGCAGAAGCCACAAACAAAACGUUAUUCAUGGCUUUAAAGAAAAGGCUCGAGCAAGCAAAAGGAAAGUGGGUGGAGGAGCUACCCGGAGUCCUAUGGGCUUAUCGAACCACACCCGGACGCCCUAUAGGAAACACUCCCUUUGCCCUCACAUACGGUAUGGACGCAAUCAUUCCUACUGAAAUAGGACUACCCACUAUCCGGACCGAGGCAGGAACGCAGGAUGAUGCAAAUGAGGAGUUAGGAAGAAAUUUGGACUGGGCAGACGAAGUAAGAGAAAUUGCAUCCAUUCGGAUGGCAGACUAUUAACAAAGGGCAUCCGCUCAUUACAAUCGCAAAGUAAGGUCCAGAAACUUCAAAAAGGGUACGCUGGUCCUUAGAAAAGUUUUCGAAAAUACUGCUAAGACAGGGGCGGGAAAAUUCCAAGCCAACUAGGAAGGCCCCUAUAUAAUAUCUAAUACAAGUGAAAGUGGAGCUUAUCAUCUACAAAAGCUAGAUGGAACUCCAUUACUCAGACCAUGGAAUGUGUAUAAUUUAAAAUAGUAUUACCAGUGAAGGAAAGAUACAAAUACAAUAUGGAUAAGUAUGUCUUACUUGCGAAGUUGUAUGCAAAAAGUUAUCCGGACUACAAAGCAUAGAAAGAAAGAGGCAAGUACAAUAUGAAUAAGUAUGUUUUAUUGAUACUUAUGAAUUUUGUAUACAAAGGGUCCUCCGGACUACAAAAUACAACGAGAAGAUAGCAAUACAAAAAUUAUUACAAAAAGAAAAGCUCUCAUUGAGCAGGCUUGCUGCGCAACUUCUCUUCCUCACCCGGAGGAAUCGAAAGGACAUCCCGCUUGAUAUCAUGUUUCUUCAUAUAACAGCGAUAGCUGAAGAAGUACAUGUCGUCUACUUGCUUUUGGUAGUCCGCUUCAAGUUCCUCCCUUUCUGCAGCAAACUCAGCCUCCAACUCUUCUUUUUGCGCUGAUAAACGCAACUGCAAAUCUUCUCUUUGUUUUUUCUCGAUGGAAACCUCCGUCCGGAGUUGCCUCACCUCACCCCUCAGAAGGGUCAUCUCAUUUUCCGCCUCAAGCAGGCGGGCAUCCAUGGAUUCCUCCCGGCUCUUUGCCUCAGCUAGCUCCAUCAGGAGGCCUUCGUUCUCAUCUCGAGCGGCGGAUAAACUGGUCUCAGCCUGCUCCAGUCUCAAACGCAGCUCCUCUUCACUAUUUCUACGCUGAGAGGCGAAGGCCUUCAUAUAAUCAGCGGUCCGCAGCAGGUCAGAGAAGAGAUCAUGUUGUUGGACCAUGCCGCGAAGACCGCUCACCAGCUACAGAAAAACACACAAGCAAGAAGAGCAAAGUUACAAACCAUGCCACAAACACAUCAGUAUGGCAAGAAAAAUCAAGAAGUGAAACUAUACCGUUUCCACCACUUCGAACAUUUUCGCUGAAGGCAUGACAACGUCUGAGCCGGGUGGAAUCCGUUUCAGCUUCUCUUCCAACUCUGCGUAGCUAAAAGCGCUAGCAGAGAUGCAAGCUGCAUCAUCAACUGGAUUCCCCCCUGAUGAAGCAUUGGAGAGUGACUCCUCCUCUGGGUCUGGGGCCCCAUCAGUCUCGGCCGGCUGGGUUGCUCCGAGUGAAUCCCCAUCCGGAACCACCACCGGGGCAGGUGGGUUCUCUGCUGCCAUCUCCGCCUCGCUCUCCUCCGGAUGAUCAUCCUGGACGGACGAGCAGCUGGCUUAGAUGGUUUCCAAGAACCGAUCCUGAAGCCGCCCGAUGAGGCCAGACUUUAGGUCUCGCGCUGGACGCAACCUUCUUCUAGCUGGCCCCUUCACCGGCACAAGGGCAAGGGGGCUUGGCCCGCAAGGAGACAAACUUUGACUCUCUGCCCCCAUUUCCUCCAUUGGGGAUGCCGUCGGAGGCAAUGCUGCAGCACAAGAAGCCUCAGCUGCGUCCCCAUUCGGAUGGGGAGAGCCGAGUUGAUUUAUUGAAGUAGCUUCUUCAACCAAAAGAGCCAGGCGGCCCGCCACUGACAUUGAAGGCCCUGAGUGGUUCAGACCCGUGAGAUGUCCGGGACCGCUUGAAACAGAGGGCGGGACGGGAUGUUCCGGCUCUCUUAUUGUUACUUCCUUCACAUAAGUCGAGGGGGAAUUACCAACUCCUUCGGAGGAGUUGGAGGUUUUAUUUCUUUCCCCUUAUUAUUAAGAACCAGCUUUCUCUUAUUCUUCUCUUUUGCUGGAGCUCCAGCAGGAAGGGAGGGUGCGGAGCGUUUUUUCCUAGGAGCCUUCCGUAGAGUUCCCUCUUUCCUCUUCCCCUCUCGAUCGUCAAGGAGUGCUCGGCGUUUCUGAGCGUCUACCUUUUGCACCUCCUUAUAGAAAGGAAGGUCUUUCAAAAUGUAAUGCUCCCCAGGCACUACCUUUUUUGGCAGCCUCCUAGGGAGAAUAUUGGUGAUAUACGCCUGGGACUCCCGGACAACGGCUAACAGGUUUCGCGCAGUGAGCAGCGUCUCAUGAUGCCUCUUGGCGGUGGAAAUCUCAAAUAACUUGUUCAGCAGGGCGAACGACGCUUUUUCUACCCACUCGACUAUGCGACCCCUCUUGUCCGGACCUGCAUUAUCAAUGAACAAAGAUAUUAAGUCAAAUGAUAACCCUCUCAAGCAGUACAACAAAAUGAAUGCCGGACAAGACCCGCAACCUGACUUACCCGGAAGCACUAACGAACGGUUUGGGGAAAAUGGCCUCUCCGGAUGCUCCAGAAGACCAUCCCAAGCACCCCGGACCAACACAUGUCCCUUGGCUCCUCCCUUCGUUGAAUCCGGUAACUCAGUCACCAGUUGAAGGGAGGGCAGGUGGGCAGCCAUGCUAAAAAUAUCAUUCUUCCUCUUCUUGAGGGAGUAGACAAAAAGAACCUCCAGCAGCGAGAGGUCCAAGUUGAAAAGCAGGCUGAGAACGCUGCAUCCCAUUAGCACCCGGACUAUAUUGGGGUGGAUGUAGGCUGGUGGGAUCUGUGUGAAAUGAAGGAAUUCCUUGAACAGUGACGGGAACGGGAACCGGAGCCCAGCGUUGAACUGCUCCUUUGUAAAAAUGAUGGCAUUGUCUUCAGCUUUCUCAGUAGACACUGCCUCCUCAUCCAUCAGCUCCACGAGCACGCCAUUUGGGAUACAGAAACGUUCGCAGAAUUCCUUUGCACUCAGCUUAUCCACAGAUUUCUCAUGAGCAUCGCUGGACGAGCCAGAUGAGGUAGCUUCCUUAUUCGCAGACAUUUUUUAGCCUAGGGUUGAAAUGGAAUCUGCAUGAAAGAAGACCAACAGUCAAAAACAGCAAUCCAACCCCACAAAAUCUAACCCAAAGCAGAGUCAAUGGCCCACAAAAGACACAGGGGGGCAACAGAAAUCCUAAACACAGUCAAAACCCCCCAAAAAAGCCCUAGCAACCAAAAUACCAAACUUCCAGUCGCAAAGCAACUUGCCCAACAGCAAAACCACAAAAGCAAACACAACGAAGAAAAGCCAAAGGUAAGCGCACGUACCGAGUGUAAACUAGAAAAAUAGAGUUGAAACCGCACUGCAAUCACCGUCACAACGCGAACGUUGCCAGCAGAAAACCCUAGAGCUUCCCUCAAGAACGACGGUAUGCAGAAGGUAGAAGAGAAAGCACUAGCAGAAAAAACGCAGAAGGAAAAAUGCAAAAGGAAGGAACAGUCUGCUAUUUAUAGCGAGACAAGCCUCUCGGUAUUUUAAACGUUCAGCUGCACCAUUAUUCCAACCGACACGCUGCCUGGGAAUACCCAGAGUCGAAGGCUCAUCAUAAAUGUUUUUCUGUCUCUUCGCCCCCGCUCGCCACGUGGUCCAAUCAAGCAAAAAGUAACCUCAGUUUCAAAAGCACCAAUUAUUUUUUAACCCGCCCAUUUUGCUCAGGCAAAAUAGGCAAGUUAAAAAGGGGGCAUUGUAGGGACCCCUCCCCCUAAUGCCACGUGGCACACAUUCCCUGAUGACACGUGGCACGCAUUUCUAUCUGGAUCAGCUUCAUCCGGAUUUCCCCAAGAGUACACGUGGCGCGCUCUCUUAUCCGGACUCCCUCAAGGAGAGGCACACAACACUCACAAACAUAACAUCCGGACGACCGACAUAUCGCAUCCGGACGAUUGACAUAUACUAUCCGGAUAUGUUCAUCCGGAUCUUUGACUGAAGUGAGCAAAUCUUGCACGUCAUCACAACAGCCUGCCAUGGCCCACGUUCCGCCACUUGCAGAGUGAGAUGACAGGAAUGAAGUGAUGGCAAGUCACUUCCCACGAUCUCUGACAACUGCGGCGCCUCCCACGAUCUCUGUCAGCCGCCCUAUGAGUGAUGAUGGCCCUGCCACCACCUAGAGGCAUCAUGACAAGCCAAAAUAUCUCCCUACCAUUAAAGAGGGAAACAAAGCUCCUGAUACGAUAUAUAUAUGAACCUUCACACAAAGAGGAAGGUAAGCUUUCUAUACCUAGUAAAAGGCCAACUGAUUUAUCUCUCUGAACCAUGGCUAACAAAACCAUCGGAGGGUGCGUUCGGACACCCUAUCCGAACGUCUUUUGCAGGAACGACUGAACCAGGAAUCUAUAUUGGUUGAGAUCGUGCAUCCAUCCAUUUGGAAACUACGUGGAUCACUAGGGACGCGAGGCCUCAACAGUUACUGUUUUUGCAUUUGCUGGAUCUUGGCUUCCCGAUGAUUGGUGUGCGCAGCCACCUUUUGGAGAAACGAAGAUGGGUACUUGUAACUUUCCUUCGCUUAAAAGUUUAGGCGAUGACGGAGUCGCUCUGGUCAAUGGGUCGUUUCUCCAGCGAUUCAAUGCCAUCCAUUCAUCACUUGCCAAAAAGGUACUUCAAUUCAACUUAUGCAUAGAUAUAUGAAAAACAAUCUCCAGAAUUCAAAAUGUGGAUGUUGGGGUUGGAUUUUUCAGGUGAAAAAAGUAAUUGCAAAGAAGAAGCAAGUUGUUUUCACCGGCUACUCGUCGGGUGCUCCGGUGGCCAUCCUGGCAACUCUAUACCUCUUGGAGAAGUCAGAGCCCAAUCAGAGUCCACCCCACUGCGUCACUUUCGGAUCCCCCCUCAUCGGUGAUCGGAUCUUCGGUCAUGCUGUCAGGCGGGAGAAAUGGUCCGACCACUUCAUUCAUUUUGUUAUGAGAUACGAUGUGAUCCCUCGGAUUAUGCUUGGCCCUUCAUCCACUGAGCACAAAAAAAUUCUCGAUUUCUUCAAUCCCAGAUCUGAAUCCUUCAGAAAACACACUGAUUCUUCUUUAGGUUUAUAUUCCAGCGUGAUGAGGAAUGCAUCCAUGGUUGCAAACUAUGAUGCCUGCAAUUUCAUGGGAUGCAGAAUCCCGACGCUGGAAACUCUAAGGAACUUCAUUGAGCUCAGCCCUUAUAGACCUUUCGGAACUUACAUCUUCUACAGUGGAAGUGGAAAACUGGUUGUCGUAAGGAACCCGAAUGCAGUACUGCAGAUACUGUUUUACUGUGCUCAGUGGAGCCCAGAAGAAGAUGCAGAGGCUGCAAAAAAAAGGCCUAAAUGAACACUUGGCCUACCAAAAGGAACUACAAAAGAGCUUAGGAAAGCAAAAUGUAGUCUAUCUAGAUCAUCUAGAAGAGCUUCCGGUGUCUUCUGAUGGCAGUCCAGCCACAGUCAACACGACCUUGAAUGACCUCGGCCUGGUGAGCCUUCUUUUUUUCUUCUUACUGCCAAACUACAGAAUUUUAGCUUCCAUAUAUGUAUGUAAAUCUCAGCUGAUGUUCUAGUGUUUUGGAUUGCAGAGCACACAAGCCAUGCUAUGCCUUCAAGCUACAGGAGAGUUGGAGAAGCUAAAGUCAAGAAACCAGGAUAAGAUCAUUAAUGAUUAUAAGCAAAAGAUUGAAGGUGAAUUAAGAAAGCUGAGUAAGUACAAGGAAAAGGCCGAGACUUGCGGACUGGGCUACUAUGAUUCCUUCAAGCUCCAAGAAAAAGAAGAUGGCUUCCAGGCUAAUGUGAGCAGGCUUGUGCUAGCUGGUUACUGGGACGAGAUGAUGGAAAUGUUAAAAGCGUAUAAACUUCCGGAUGAAUUUGAGAAGAGCCAUGACUGUAUACGACUUGGAACAGAUUAUCGCCGCACGGUUGAGCCUCUAGAUAUUGCCAACUUUUAUCGACACGCCAAGGAUGAAGAGACAGGGUUCUACGUGAAAAAGGGGACUCGACCAAAACGAUAUCGAUACAUCCAAAAUUGGCUCGAGCAUGCUGAAAAGAAGCCAUCUGGAUCCCGCUCAGAAUCCUGUUUCUGGGCUGAGGUAGAGGACCUCCGCAUUAAAACUAGAAGCAACGGAUCCUCUCCAGAAAUUAAGCAGAAGGUUCUGCAACUGGGGCAAAAUCUAAUUAAAUGGAUUGAUGAUGAAUCUUUAGGCAAGGAUGUGUUGCUGGAGAAUUCCACCUUUGUUAAAUGGUGGAAACCCCUUCCUCCUGAGUAUAAAUCAGAACCCAAAUCAUCUCGCAUUAUGAAACUCAUCCAUGAGAAAGAUUGAGAGGGUUUCAUGCUGUUAUCUCGAGGCAUUUGUUCAAAGCCAAUAAACCCUGUAAAUAAGCUCUAGCUUUGACUGCUCUCUUGAUAACCGAAAUGUUCUUGAUAAGUCCAUUAUUUACUAGUAAGAUGGUUUUCUUCCUGAGUGUAUGCAAAAUCCUGUUUCCUAUAUUAAUACAUAACGAUCCAUUCUCAAUCGUGUAGAUAAUAUCACUGUGAUACCCCGGGUCUUAGGUCCCACUAUGUGAAAAUCAAGAAUGAAAAUGACUAGAUACCAAGAGGUAAUGCGCAUGAUUUUUUCAUACAAACAAACAAGUAGGUUGUACUUCAACACAGAUGAAGUUUGCGAUUUGAAGUUACAACUAUCUAAUAAUAAAGAUGAUGAGAAGGCAUAUUUCUUAAGAAAAUGGCCAUGAUAGCAUUUAGCAGAGGAUACUAAUACAGAAGAUUGAAAAUGGGCUGGUAAAUUAACGGACAGAUGAACGCUUGAUGUGCAUCCUUGGCCGAUCGAUAUGUAUAUGAAAUUAAAUGCUGUGACAAAGACCUAGUUAGCUCCACAAUGAAAAAAGAAGCCCUUGCCAUAUGACUACAGAGGCCCUGUCACAGACUCACAGUUCAACUACAACCAGUUCCUUCCUAGCUUUCAGAACUUUCCAUAUUUAAAAAAUAUUAAUUUUAUAUUUUAUAGUUGGUAGUUAAAUUCAUAAAAAUAAUAAUUAUAUUUUUCUAUAUUUAAAAUAAUAAUCAAUAAUUAUUUAAUAUUAAUAAUAUUUAAAUUUAUAAAGUGUGGAAUCAAGAAGUUUCUAGGAUAAUACUAAUAAAUGUUGGAUCCGCAUUUUUCACAUGCAUUCCCACUCAACGACGAAACUCAUAUUUAUUUAAGGUGAAAAACUGUAUUUUAUAAGAAACUGGAAUCGCUACUUAUUAUUAUUUUUUAAAAGGGAAAAUAAGGAAAGAUAGGUUUGUAAAAACUGAGUUAGAUUCGGAGGUCAAGUUACCUAUUGGGAAGAUACAGUGGCUAAUCGUAGCACCUUUCUAAGCAUUACAAGUCAGGUCUCUAUUAAUAAAACUAAGACAACUAUGACAAUUGGUUGAUCAAUUUAUGGAUACCUAGCAAGAGUCAAAAUAUACUACGACCAAAGCAUGUAUCAAAAGAUAAUCGAAUGAGUAAAGAAGGAAAGGAGUGUACCUGAGUAAUAAGUCAAAGUGUGCUUCUAUGGAAAACAAGGUUAAUAAAUAAUAUAAGUAUAAAAUAUCUCAUGUCAAUCACAAACAAAAUCAAUCAAUAUUAAUCAAGCAAAGCAAUUAGAGGAAGGAGUGUCAUGGAUGUUGGGCCCAUCAAGGCCCAAUUUAUUUUUACAUGAAUUAAUUCUAUAAAUUCCAUUAUUUUUGGAAUCAUAAAAUUUAUUUAUGCAUUAAAAAUAGAGAAAAUCAAGAAAAACUACAUAAAAAAAAAUGUGAAAUGUGCUUGCCGGGGGGAAAUAUGACAGCAAUGUUUAUAAAAAUCGGGAUUUUAGUGCCUAAAAUAGUCUAAAGAUGAACAUUUAAAAUUGGGUUUAUUUCAGUCGAAAAUAGUUUUGAAAAUUCAAUUUAAAAACCUGUAAAUUCUCACCAAGAUAGGAAAAACACACCAAGAGGAAGGAAGGAUGACUUAAGAAUGGUGCACCAAAGGUGGCAAUGGUGGAGUGGGGCUCGUGGGUAGGCAGGCAUGUGCAUUUCCAUAUCAGAAUCCCUGUGCUGCUGCUCAUUCUCCAGGAGUCUGUAAGUCGCUUCACCCCUAUUCCCAUGCAGCAGAAGAGUGCUUCAAUUGUCUGGUUUUGCAGCUCUCACCCUUGUGUUUACUCCAAUUCAAGAUUAUCCCCCUGCAUCCCAAUCUCUCUCUAUGCUGACUCAAGCCGAGCUUGCAGAAUCCCAGUCGCAGAAUCAUUCCUUUUGAGCUCACAAAAUUAACCUGGUAAUCUCUUCUUCCCAGAACUCUAGUUUUUUAUUGUACUCAGUGGUCUUCCUAAGCAAUUCCUCAUAGCUAGCAUCAGUUCCCACCUUUGGGAUGCAAUCUGCGCUCCAUUAGAGCCCCAUCUUCUCCCAUAGAACUCGCCCAGGUUACCAAAUUCAUUCCUGCCAUAGCUGAGUCCUCCAUUAGGCAGCAACAAAUACAACACUUUAAAUGGAUUAGUUUCCAGAUCAAAUUGGAGGACAUACAGAAUGCUGUCAUCUAUGGGCAGCUUUUCGAGUUCAAGAGAAUUUUAAUGGCCACGUGAUAAGGGAUCUUAGUGACAGUCAACAUUCAGCUAAGCAGAAAUCUGGAGAGGCUAUAGUAGUGAUCAGCAUUGUCGCCCAUCCGUACAUUCACCUUGACAAAAUUGUAUUUGGAGGAAACAUUCUGAAUGGAGAAUCAAAUGGUUGGGAGAGAGGAAUCAGAGAUGUCUUCUUCUGGGGUGUCAGGGUUUGGACAAGUUGUGUGAAGACUGCCAGGUACUGAGGAUACCAAGGCUGGGAACAAGAACUGGUCACAUGUACACGGAGAUGGCCAUGCAUGUGGAUUGCAUGCACAUGGGAAAGAUGGUGCAAUAGACUUCGCUAAAUUCAAGCUUCUUGGAUAGCUUGCAACUUCAUCCAGAUAAAAGAUGCUUUCUGCUUCACAUAGAUGUAACAAAAUUGAUGGGGAGAAGAGAGUUGACCACUUCAUCUCCAUUAACGUCACUCUCAAUAUCAGGAGGAAUUUCUUCUCUUGUUAACGAGGAAUCUGAUCUCUUCAAAGACUGUGGUGGCUCUGUUGAAGCCAUUCUUAAAUUGUACAAUGCUCAGACUCCUUCAAGUUGGUCACGGCCUCCAAUACUAGAUUCCCCAGCCUUACGAUGUACCCUCUUUGAACCAGUAAUCUGCUCAGGGUUGCCAGGGAAGGCAAGGGCCUUAGCAUCGACAGUUUGAUCAUCACUUUGAACUAUUGCGCUGAGAGGCGGAGAAUUCUCCUGGUUUAGGGCUUGUUGGCACCCUUCUGUGGGCCAAUCUAGACUCCUCUCUUGAGCCCCAUCCAUUUUCCAUCACAUUCAUGUUCCUUCAUUGCCCAUCAACAAUAAAUCUGUACUGAUAAAUACCCGAGGGGAGCAUUUUCAUAAUGGUGGACUAUUUCCUCAUCUCUGCAAGGGUUUUCUUAUCUUCCAAUUAUCCCAUAAUUCCUCCGCAGCUACUUCCUUGCUAUCAUAGCUCCAUGUAAUCAUAGUUGGAAUUCCUUGCUCACUGCACACCACCUGACCUUGGCCACUCAUUUCCAAGUCUCAAAACUCUGCCUUUCUCACCCUCUUUUACUACCUUUGAGGCUUUGCUGCAAAAGAUCAAAACUGUAGGCUACCUCAUGCAAUGGCACACACCACCCUUUCUCAGAUUCCCUUAUUAGCUUGUGGAGAAAUUUAUUAAAUUUCACAUCAAAGGCAAGAAAAUUGGAAGGGGACAAUGAACCGCAGAUGGAUGAGAGAAUAAUGGCCUUGUCGUUGCAUGUUCAUGAGCAGCAUGAACUGUAUCCUUCAUUUCAGGAACUGAGGCCCUAUGACCUCCAGACCUGAAGGCUCAAUGAAUAGUCAAAGAUUUGACUUCCUGUAGGCUUGCCACAUCCUGAACAGACCUGAAUUUUCUCUUCUUCCGGGCCUUUUCUCAGAAGGUGGUUCCUUAGCUGUCUUGUAUGUCAGAGGCAAAUUGAUGCCUUGGAUUAAAAGAGUCUGAUGACAGAGUACUAAGAUGCUCCUGAUUGAAACGGAACACUUUCAUAGCAGCAUAUUCAAACUACCACAGAAUUGAGCAUCAGGAUGAAUUAAGCCACUUUACUUCAUCAACUUUUUGCACUUUCCAACAGUGCAGGACCAUUUUCCUUGCCAUUGCUGAAAGACUGUUGAUGAGCGCAAUGAUCAUUGAAUUACUGGUGGAUUUUCAUUGUGGGAAACCUAAGCUGAUUAAGCAACAAACCCAAACUUUGACUAGCUUGAAUUGAUAGAUCUCCAACAUUGGAUACAGGAUGACCUCUUAGGAGCUAAAGAUAUAUUAAAUUCCACAAGCUUUCCUUCAGAGGGCUGAUCAAGAGGUGUAUCUAAACCUUAUUUGGCAUGACCAACAAGCUGUCACUUUCACACGCAUAUUCUAAGCAUCUUCCCAGAGGCUUAACAGAAAAGGGAUCUUCAGGUUUACAGAGGAGGGAAAGGAAACCCUGCUUUGCAUUCGGAAAAGUUUUGUUGCUGUUGACAUCUUCACCAUUCUGAGUACUUGGGACUGUUGGUGCAGGUGUGGAGCAACCAGAAAAGUUGUUACUCAGACCCAAUAUUCUCAAUAGCACUGCUUAAAUUUGCCAGGCUCGAGAACAAAAAUGAGAGGUAGCUAGUUCUUUUGAUGCUUCCCUGCUAAAUUUGCCAGGCUCGAGAAUAAAAAUGAGAGGUAGCUAGUUCUUUUGAUGCUUCCCUGCUUGAAUUUGGAGUAUUUGAACCGGCAACAACUCUAUCAAUCCCAAGGGUAGAGAUCAGCUUCUCAAUUAUAGUGACUUGUGACUCCCAGAUCAGUGGAGAUCCAUCUUCAUGACCAGAGAUUGACCAUGACUCCACCUCAUGAAUGAUGAAUUCCUAGAGCCUCAUCUGUUUGAUGAAGGUGAAGUUUGAUUAGUAGGAGUUUUGAGUACUAUUUGAUAGUCUCUCUUCAUGCUGUGGGGGGUUCACUACAGGUUGAUGAUCAUCAUGAGAUGAGCUCGACAUGCUCACUCCUUAUUGGAUUUAUACUCCGAUACUGAUGUAGCCUUCAAACUCCACAAAUAAGCUAUACUUGAACCGAAGACUAAGGAUGACUAAACCAUCACCUCCAUCCUAACUAUGCUGGCGUUCAAAUACUACAAAAUGAUAUUUCAAUGGUCCUGCUUUCAAACCGCAAUUCCACACCUGAAGACGUUUCUCACCGAACCAAAGGCAACGGUGGUAUUGGCAUUAUUGGACAUACAAAUGCUCUGCAUGGACCCCAAACCACCAUGGUACUUCAAUGUCAAGGCCCAUGGCCAUUUCUGUUGUCCAUGAAAAUAAUCUUGAAGGGCUAUACAACUUUUAGCAACUCUUUAAAGGAUGCAAUGUGUCUGGAAGAUUGAAUUGAAGAUGAAUGACAUUUGUAGAAUCAACAGAUGAGGUUGCAUUUCUAGAGCCUCUUUCUGGAGGCCUUUCUCCAAGAAUUUUUCCAUGGCUCUCUGUUGUCAUCUUCUGCACAAUAGGAGAUGAUUUCACAUCCUACAGCCACUUGCUCCUGUUAUUAUGCUUCUGUCACCCCUCUCACAGUUUUCUUGCAAGAUACAAAUAACUCUCUCCACUGGGGUCACGAAUCUGUGGCAAUGAGCCAAAACACAGCCCUCUCUUCUCAAGCGUAGAUCAGAACACAAAACCAAUUGUCCAUAGCAAAUCGAAAUAUGUGAGCCAGAAACAGGAUAUGGAUUGAGAUACUGGAAAUAGAGAAGUGAACAAAACAAGAUACAACAUACCCAGAACAAAAUAAACAAGUAAGCAAAACAUUAAAUGGGAUCCCUUUUCAUGUUGAAAUCAAUGGGUUCAUAGAGCAGUGGUGCAGUAGGAAAGUUCAACACAAAUAUCAAAAUGAGGUCAUCAACAAACUCCUACUGUAAGAGUGAGCCAUAUUCAGAUUAAAAAAUACGAAAGAAGAGCGGUACAACAUCACAUCCAUACCAAAAAUAAUAGAUUUUCUCUAAUUAUCUAAUUAGACAGCUCACGCCAACACUCCCCCUCAAGUUGGAGCCUAGAUAUCUCUUAUGCCCAACUUGUCAAGUGAGUUGUAGUAGUUCCUUGCAGACACUGCUUUUGUGAGUAUAUCAGCCAACUGGUCUUUUGAUUUAACAAAUGGAAGCUGAAUAAUCUUUUCUUCAAGGUUCUGUUUGAUGAAGUUUCGAUCCACCUCAACGUGCUUAGUGCGAUCAUGUUGGAUUGGAUUGUGGGAGAUAGCAAUGGCUGCCUUGUUAUCACAGAACAGGUUCAUUUCAUAGCUGAGAGCAACACCGAUCUCAACUAGCAGCUUUUUAAGCCAAAGAAGCUCACAUAUUCCUUUGACCAUUCCCCGAAAUUCAACUUCAGCACUAGACAAUGUAAUUACCUUUUGUUUCUUGCUCCUCCAUGUAACCAGGUUGCCUCCCACAAAAGUAAAGUACCCUGAAGUAAAUUUCCUAUCUGUGAUGUUCCCUACCUAGUGAGCAUCUGUGUAGCCAACAACAUUCAAAUGACCAUUCUUUGAGAACAUAAGUCCUUUCCCAAGAGAGGACUUCAAAUAACGAAGGAUCCGCAUUACGGAAUCCAUAUGGUCUUCACUCGGGCAAUGCAUGAACUGACUCACUACACUCACAGCAUAACCAAUAUCUAGUCGAGUAUGAGAUAAAUAGAUGAGUUUACCCACUAACCAUUGAUACCUCUAUUUGUCCGCUGGCACCUGGUCUACAUAUUCUCCAAGUUUAUGAUUCUGGACAAUUAGAAUAUCAACAGGCUUGCACCCUAGUAAUCCUACAUCUGCCAGCAAGUCUAGUAUAUAUUUCCUUUAGGAAAGAAAUAUGUCUUGUCUUGACCUUGCUACUUCAAUGCCUAAAAAAUACUUAAGCCCUCAUAAGUUUUUCAUUUCAAACUCAGUUGACAAUUGCUCUUGAAGCUUAGAGAUUUCUUCUACGUCAUCCCCUGUGAUGAUCAUGUCGUCUACAUAGACUAUGAGGGCUGUUAUUUUUCCCACUUGAUGUUUUAGGAAGAGUGUAUGAUCAGAAUUGCUUUGUUGAAAACCAUAUUUCCUCAUUGUCGAACUAAACCUGCCAAACCAUGCUCGAGGUGAUUGCUUUAGUCCAUACAAUGCCCGUUGUAAACUACAUGCGAUCUUUGCCUCUGAGGUAGCAGUAUAACCUGGUGGAAGAUCCAUGUAAAUUUCCUUUUCAAGAUCACCAUGGAGGAAGGCAUUUUUCACGUCCAGUUGGUGCAAUGGCCAAUCUAAGUUUGCUGCAAGAGAUAAUAGAACUCUAACAGUUUUUAGUUUGGCUACAGGUGAGAAAGUUUCCUGAUAAUCUAUACCAUAUUUCUGUGUACAACCCUUUGCUACCAACCUUGCCUUGUAUUGAUCAAUAGACCCAUCUGCUUUGUAUUUAAUAGAGAAAAUCCACUUGCACCCCACCGUCUUCCUUCUUUCAGGCAAUACACUCAAAACCCAUGUGUUAUUUUUCUGCAACACCUCCAAUUCCUCUUUUAUAGCUUGAGCCCAUUUCGAAUCUGAUAAAACUUCUUCAACACUACUCGGAAUUUGACAUGAGGAGAGUGUAUGUGCAAAUGCCCUAAGAGGUUCAGAUAAUCUUUGAGUGGACACAUAAUUGGCUAUUGGAUACUUGGAUCGUCGUUCUUCUAUGUCUGGGGAGUAUCAAUUUGGUGGCUUGCCUCGAUUGUGUCUGAAAGGUAGAACGUAACCCGUAGAUGUAUCUAUAGCAUUAGUUUGUAAAGGUGUGAUAGAAAAGCUUACCUCAGGGAUAUUCUCAGAAGGAUGGUCGUUGGGUACUAAAGAGUGAAGGGAUUCAUCAGAUUCUGCAUCUUCCGAUGAUUCAGGUACAAGUUCAACUUCAAUUCUUGGAGGUUCAACCAUGUCGUUGCCAUCAUUCGGAUGUGCUAGAUUGUCACCAACGUCCAGCAUUUCAACAUCCAACCAAUUUCUUUCUUCACCAUGGAUCUCUCCCUGAAGAGGAGAAUUGGAUACCAGUGAUGGGAAUUUUUUUUCAGAUUCUAGGAAGGUGACAUCCAUGGUGAUGUAGGUUCUUUUAGCAAUGGGAUCGUAGCAUUUUUUGUACUCCAUACCCCAAAAAUAGACACCAGACAGCACAUGGAUCCAACUUAGUUCAUUGAUUCUUAUGGAUGUGAACAAAAACAACACAACCAAAAAUUCGAGGAGGAAUCAUCAAAACAUUAGGUAAUGAGACAUGAUCGGAAAGCACCUUAACCAGAGUCUGAAAUUGUAAGACUUUGGUUGGCAUACGGUUCAGUAGAUGCACGGCUGUGGCAACAGCAUCACUCCAGUAUCUAUUCGGCACAUGUGCAUUGAUCAAUAGAGCACGGGUAGUUUCUAAGAUAUGUCUAUUCUUCCUUUCAGCAGUACCAUUCUGUUUGGGGUUUGAGAACAUGAGGUUCAUGGAGAAUACCAUGACUGUUGAAGUGUGUCUAGAAUUGUUGGUUAACAUACUCCCCUCCAUUGUUAGAACGAAGGAUCUUAAUUUUUGCAGAAAAUUGUGUUUGAACCAUGGUAUGAAAUGAUUGGAAAACAACAAAUACUUCAUCUUUGUGUUUUAGGAGGUAAAUUCAUAUCAUUCUUGUACAGUCAUCAACAAAAAUUGCAAACCAACGGUGACCAGAAGACGUAGUAACUGGGGAAGGUCCCCAUACAUCAGAAUGGAUUAAAUCAAAAGGAAUCAUACUUUUAUUCAUACUCAAGGGAUAAGAAGCUCUAUGACUUUUGGCUAAGAUACAAGUAUCGCAUUUAAAAUUUAAGUGUGAUACUUUGGAAAAUAAACCAGGUAGUAAGUGCUUCAAAUACCCAAAAGAUGGAUGCCCAAGUCGAUGGUGCCAUAACCAAAUAUGUCUUUUCUUGUUACUAACUGUGUGGUGCAUGUGAUUUGCUCUUCCCGAACUGAAGUCAUCAACGUAGUAUAAUCCCCCCCUCUUAGUACCACGCCCAAUUAUCUCCUUGGUAAGAAUAUCCUGAAGAAGGUAAAAAGUAUAAUACAUUACUACCACACAAUUAAGAUCCGUAGUAACUUGACUCACAGACAUCAGUCUAUUUGAAAGAGAAGGUACAAGUAAUGUAUUAGAUAAUGAAAGGGAAGGAGAUAACGUCACUGUUCCCACCCCUGUAAUCGGAUAAGCGACCCCAUUGGCAUUUUUAACACAACUCCGUCUCGAUUGAGUUGCAUUAGAAAAAUCAUUUGAAUAAAAUGUCAUGUGGUAUGUAGCACCAGAGUUGAGAAUCCAGUCAUCAUCAUUAUUGUGAGUAGAGAUAUGAAGUGUCUUACCAGAAGUACCAGAAGUACUUGGAUCAUGUGAAGAUUCUACUUGAGGGAUGAGGGAUAAUGAAGGAUCACAAGUAACCACGACAGCUCUCCCAGUGUGGUCAUCAUUAGCAAAGGUUUCACGUUUUUUUCGUGCUUGAAAGUCGUUCCACCAAUCUGGAUACCCAUGUAGUUUGAAGCAGGUGUCACGGGUAUGUUUGGAGUUGCCACAAUGUGUACACUUCAUGCCAUCAGAUGGUGGUUUGGUUUUGGAUUUUCCCCUGCUUAGAGAAAGAGCCCCUGGUUUCGGUGUUGUCUGGUAGUGACUUCCCUUGAUCCCUUUGGAUAUCAUAACUCCUCCAGGAGUGGUAUCUGUACCUGAGAUCAUCACAAUCUGCCUGACAUCUUCCUUACGAACAAAAGCGUAGGCCUGUUCCACUGUAGGGAAUGGUUUUAAUUGGAGCACAUCACUCCGAGUUUUAUCUAGUCUGUCAUCUAGUCCAUCAAGGAAAGUAUAAACCCGAUCUUCUUGUAGAAUCGAGUUGUAUUUCUGUAUGUCAAUAGCACACUCCAUCGGGUUAGGACGACGAAAAUCGAUUUCUUGCCACAACCCUUGAAGAUCGUUGUAGUAUUUUUCAAUGGAUCCACCCCCCUGCUUCAUACGAGUAACACGACGCCGGAGAUCAUAGACUUGAGAUGAUACUGUCCCAUCAAAAUAGGUUGUAGCAGCAGAAUCCCAAACCUGUUUUGUAGUUGGGAAGCGGAUAAAGUUGGCAAUCAAGGAAGGGUCCAUUGAAUUGAUCAACCAUCCCUUGACAAUGGCAUUUUCGGUUCGCCAUAUCCUGAGUGAAGGAUCGGUUUUUGGAGGUUGAGGGGAAUCUCCAUUAAUAUAUCCUAACUUGUCCUUGCCAGAGAUAUACAUCUCGACAACCUGGGACCAUAAGGCAUAGUUGGAUCCUUCCAACUUGAUACCGAUCGGAGCAGUUGAGGAAUCGGCAAGCAGAGGUUGAGGGGAAGUUUGGGCUCGAGUCAAGACUUCCGUCAUUUUUGUCGUCAGAUCGUUAAGGAUGGAGUUGGUAUGGGGAAUGAGAGAUUGUGUUAGGUCUCCGGAUUCCACCAUGGAUUCUAUUGGGUCUGGGUUCUUUCCUGGUCAAGCGACGCCGUAAAAUGACCACGUCGGCAAUGGCGCAAGCCUGUCAGUUGGAAAAUCCGUCGGGGUCGUCUCCGACGAACUCUGGAGAGGAUCUGGGGUCGACUUCGACUUCGUCUCCCAAGUCUGUGGAGACUACGACGAAGGUGCAGUUUGCUGGAAGGUUUUUUUCUUCUUUUUUUAUUUGAGUUGAAUACCAUCAUAUAUAGAUACAGAGCAAAGGAAUUUUAGGAACCUAUUCUAGCCUAUACACAGGUUGUGGUAGAAAUUGUAGAUCACGUUUGAAGUAUGGAAUUUACAUUAAUAGAUUUUCUCUAAUUAUCUAAUUAGACAGCUCACUCCAACAAAAACAAUUUAACAAUGCCUAGAAAAUUAGAAAUAACCAGAGAGAAUGAAAAAAAAAACAGAGUGAUAAGUGAAAAUGAGCAAAGAAGCUACAAAAAACGUACCUGAAAAUGCUCCCUCCAACGAGAAUAGUUGGGCUUCAAGCUGCUUUGUUUCUUCUUUCAAACCUCCAGAAAACCACAACAAAAUCAACUUCCCUUUCUCUCCCUUGCUCCUAAUCACCCUGCCUAGAAUCCUCUCUGCUCCCUGUUUUCUCUCUAACCCCCAAUUCCGAAGAAUCCCACCAUCACUCCAACCAACCUCUUAGCAAUUCCCCCUGUUUCCACUCUUUCCAUUUCUGUUUUUCCCCUGUCUCCACUCUCCCCCGACCCACACUCUCAGAUACUUUCCUGCUCAAGACUCCUACUUCUCUCUAAAAAAACGACCCGCCCAAAACUUUGCCACAUGUCGCUCUCACUGGCUCCCUUUUCUCUCUUAGUAAGUAACUCACCAAAAAGACAAAAAUUCACGCUCCACCAUUUUGCAGAUCCUCCUUGCCCACCUAGUUUGCCACGACUCCAAAAUAGAGCUUAAGUCCAAAAUAAUCUGUUGGUAGAAAAAAAUGGUAAGAAUAGUAGUCAUCUCAAAAUAUUUGUCAAAGUAGUAUUUUCUAUCCACGUAAUCAUUCAUGCGAGUUUUUUUAGUGUAAAAAACCACCGUUACUAACUGUGAUUUUAAAAGUUUCAGAAAUAUCUUUAAAACCACAGUCACAGAAUGUGGUUUUACAAUUUUCCUCGUUAGUAACUGUGGUUUCAUAAUAUUUUUAAACCGCCCCUGUUUCAAUGGUAUUAUGAUUUUAAUAUUAUUUUUUAAAAUAUUUUUUAUCAUAAUAACCAUAAAACCACAGUUAGUAACUGCAAUUUUAAAAAUAUUCUGAAAACCAUGAUCAGACCAUGGUUUUACAAUUUUCUUUAGAACCACAGUUACUAAUUGUGGUUUCACAAAUAUCUUUAAUGAGAACUCGUGUAACCAUACAUCAACUAAAAAAAUAUAUGGGAUUUUAGAACUUUGCUUUUUUCUUUUUAGUUUUAGUGUAAAAUGGGAAAAAAAUAUUGUUUAUUCAUGCAUUUCGAUAGUACUUUCAAAUCAUUUCACAAUUACCCUCAUAAGUGAUAUAAGAUUAUAAAACUUUGUUUUUUUAUUUUUAAUUUUAGUGUAAAUAGGAAAAAAUAUUGCUUAUUCAUGCAUUCCAAUACUGCUUUUAAAUUGAUUGUGAAUCUAUUUUUUUUUUUGGUUAAAAUCUUUAAUUUUUAAUUAAAAUAAAAUAUAUUUUUCAUUAAAAAAAAUGUAAUUAACCUUUUAUAUUAAUUUCAUAAAAAAUAGGUACACCCUUAAAAAAAAUAGGUAUAUUCAUGCUUAGGGGAACCGGAACCACUAUCAUACUUAUCAUGGUGUAUAUUCCUUUGGGACCCUCGAUAAGUAAUCAGAGGUCCUUGCCCACCCCAAAACAAACUUUGGAAUCCUAGGUAUAUCAUUUCUUAGAGGAACCAAGACCCCUAUUUCCAUUAUCAUGGUUCAUAUAUUCCUUUGGGGACCUUUGAGAAUGAAUUGGAGGUUGUUCCCCACCUUAGAAUGGACAUUGGAACCCAAGGAACAUCCUAAAGAUAAUUUGGUACAUCAUUUACAAAAAUUGGUACAUCUUUCACAAAAUUUGACACAUCCUUAAAACAAUGUGGUACAUCCAAUCCACGAGCCACCAAGACCUCUAUAUUAUUACCCAUGGUUCGUUUAUUUCUUUAGGGAUCUUUAGGAAGUAAUCAAAGGUCAUUCCCUACUCUGAAACUAACUUUGGAACCCUAGGUACAUCCUUAAGGAAAUUUGGUACAUCAUUAAGAAAAUUUGAUAUAUCUAAUCCUUGAACUAACGAGACACAUAUCUUUCUUCCCAUUGUCUAUUUAUUCUUUUAGACAACCUUAGGAAGUGAUUAGAGGUCGUUCCCCAAUUUGGAACAAACUUUGGCCCCCUUGGUACAUCCUUUACAAAAUUUGGUAAAUAUUUUAUAAAAUUUGGUACAUUCUUCACAAAAUUUGGUACAUCCUUAAAAAAAAUUGGUACAUCUAAUCCUUGAACUACUAGGACCCCUAUCUUAUUACCUAUGGUCUGUUUAUUUCUUUAAAUAUCUUUGGAAAGUAAUUGAAGGUCGUUCACUACUCCGAAAUGGACUUUGGAACCAUAGGUACAUCCUUGAGAAAAUUUGAUACAUCCAUUACUUGAACUAACAAGACACCUAUCUCUCUUUCCAUGGUUCAUUUCUUCCUUUAGAGACUCUCGGAAAGUGAUUAGAGGUCGUUCCCCACCUCGGAACUGACUUUGGCAACCUUGGUACAUCCUUUAUAAAAUUUGAUACAUCUUUUACAAAAUUUGAUACGUCCUUCACAAAAUUUGGUACAUCCUUCAAAUAAUUUGGUACAUCCAAUCCUUAAGUUACUAGGACCCCUAUCUUAUUACCCAUUGUCCAUUUAUUCCUUUAGGGAUCUUUGGAAAAUGAUUGAAGGUCGUUCCCUACUCCGAAAUGAACUUUGGAACCCUAGGUACAUCCUUGAAAAAAUUUGAUACAUCCAAUCCUUGAGCUAUUGGAAUCCCUAUCUUAUUACCCAUAGUCCAUUUAAUCCUGUAGGAAUCUUUGGGAAGCAAUUGGAUGCACCAAAAUUUCUUAACGAUGUACCAAAUUUCCUUAAGGAUGUACUUAGGGUUCCAAAGUUCGUUUCUGAGUAAGGAAAAUUUCUUACAAUUUUCCAUUGUCAGUUUUAAAUUAUUAUUUUUUUACAAAUCAUCCUUAACAAAUUUUUUUUUUACGACUGUUUUAAAAUUAUAUUUUUUUUUCAUAUUUUCCUUGAAAUUUUGAGAAAAUAAUUUUACCGACAUGCAUUCCCAUAAAAUUUUUAUAUAUUUAUGGUAAAUAAAAUAUUUAUUUGUUUUAUGAAUUUUAUCACAUAUGAAUUAAAGAAAAUUGUUUUUUCAUAUUAUUUUUAAAUUUUAAAGAAUAUUUUUUAUAAAGAAUAUUUCAAAAAUAAUAUUAUGAUAAAGAAUAUUUUUAAAAUAAUAUUAAAAUUACAAUACCAUUGAAACAGGGGGUGGUUUAAAAAUAUUUUUGAAACCACAGUUGCUAAUUGUGGUUUUAAAGAAAAUUGUAAAACCAUAGUAAUAGACUGUAGUUUUAAGGAUAUUUUUGAAAAUUUUGAAACUACAGUCAUCAACGAUGGUUUUUUACACUAAAAAAAAAACUCACGUGGAUGAUUACGUGGAUAGAAAAUACUACUUUGACAAAUAUUUUGAGAUGGGUACUAUUCUUACCAUUUUUUUUCUACAAACAGAUUAUUUUGGACUUAAACUCUCCAAAACAUGCUCCCGCAAAAAGAAAAUCUGAUUUUUUUUUUCUCCUAAAAGAAAGAUACCCAAAAACAUGCUAUUUCCCGCCAGCUACCCAUGAAAGGAUACAUCUCAAAAGAGCCCUCCCAAAAUGGGGGUCUAUAAUAUGUUAUAUCAUUUAAAAUUAAGGAUUAAUUGAUUAAAAAGAUGAAAACAUUCCAAAAUACCCUUCAACAUUUUCAUUAUUUACAUGUGUAUUUUAAAAGAAAUGGUUACUUUUACAAAAUAAAUAAAUAAAUAAAAAAUGAUGAGGGCAUUUUUAUCAAAAAUGAGUAUUUUUUAGAUUGAAAAAAUGUGAAGGGUUAAUUUUCCAAAAUGUCCCUAUCCUUAAAAUUAAUGCUCAUUGGCUUAUAAGGGACCUGACCUCAUCCAUUGAUCUAAGCUUAUUUUUGCCCCGUAUUUAACACCUGGUUUUUAAAAAGGUUAUUGUGGACCCGAUGUUUUCGCUUGAUGCAUUCCCACUCGAUGGUGAAACUCGUUUUUUUUAUUUUUUUUAUUUGUGAAAAUUUGAUUUUUAGAAAAAAAACUUGGAGUCGCCACUUAUUUUUGAAAGGAAAAAGCAAUAAUAAAAAAGAAAAACCCUAAAUGUGACUCUGAAGGAAAAAACAAGUCUACGAAAAACCGAGUCUGGGUUCAGGGGUCAGGUUACUUAUUGGGAAGGUAUAGUGGUGAGUCGUAACACCCCUCUAAGGCCGUAUACGUACGACCUCUACUAAAUGAAUUAAGGGAAUUAUGGCAAUUAACUAAUUAAUUAUGGAUACCAAGAAAAAUAAUCAUACAAAUGAAUCUGUACAAGUCAUGGUGAAAAUCAAUAUACACAAAAAUAAUAAUGAAAUCUAAUUACAAGAAUACACAAAAUAAAUGAUAAGAGAAUUAUGUAAAAUAAUUUAUUGAACUAAAUGAAAAAAAAUGGUAUUAAAAAAAAUGGCUUUCAAGAAAUUUCAAAAGGAUUUUAUUAAAAACAAUUUUGAAUGAGUGAUUUCAAUUUAUUUAUUUGCAAAAUAUUUUCUUCAAGUGAUUUGGUUCAAUUUCAUUUGUAUUUAAUUUUCAAAAAAAGGUUAUUUAUACUUAUUAUAUCAAAUAUAAUUUAUUACAAAAUUUCAAUUUGGCAACAAAAAUUACUUUACAAAAAAAAAAAAAAAAUUUUACAAGUUUGUUUGCAAAAGUAUUUCAAGUUUUUUCAUUUAAGAAGAGUGAUUUAUACAAAUUAUUUAAAAAUGCAUAACUUCAUGUGCAAAAAGAAUUUUAAUUAAAAAGAAAAAAAAUAUUUAAAUAAUCUAUUUCUAAAAAAAAUACUUUUAAUUCCAUUUUAAUUAAGGAAAAAGAAUUCAUUUAAAAAAACAUUUUUUGGACAAUUUUAUUAAAAAUAAAUUUUUGGGGCAACUUUAUUUACAAAAAAAAAUUUGGACAAUUUUUAUUAAAUAAAGAAAUUUUUGGACAAUUUUAUUAAAAACAAAUUUUCAAAUUCUAUAAAAAAAAAUUCUUUUGGAUUUUUAUAAAAGCAUUUUUCUGAAUUUUUAUAAAUAAAAAAAACUUUCUUUUGUUAAAAAAAAAUAUUUUAAAAUUAUUAUUUUAUUAAAAUAUAUUUAUUGAAUUCUUCCUCUCAUUUAAACAAAAUUUCUAGUUUGUUCGAUAUUCAAUUCUGUACACACUCAAUAAAUAUAUACAAGCAAAUAUCUACAAGAACUAAUAAAAAUAAAAUCAAAUAAAAGUGGAAAAUAAAAUAUGUACCCAAAUAAACUUAUAACAAAUUCAAUGUCUUCCUACGACUUUUUUAUUAUCACUUUCUUUCAUGAAAUUUUGUGUUCCACGUGUCAUAAAUUCAUACUCAACUAACAAGAUUGUAGAAUAAGUCAAUGCAAAAACAAAAAUAACUCAUAUGUAAAUAUCCAAAAAUAUGUAGGGUUCAAAUAAUAAUUCAAGCCCAAAUUCAAACUUUAAAUUAGCCCAAUAAAUUUUAACAAUUAAAAAUGUGUCCAAAUUAACAAAUAUAACCCAAUAAAAAUAUCUCACAUAUCAUAAACCCUAACAUAAAGUUUUCAAAUUAAUAGCCAAAACAUAAGCUCAAUUAAUCAAACCCAAUAAAUUAGGAUAAAUCUCAUUAGGCCUAAAUUUAAUAUUUCAUAAUCCAAACCUAAUUUAAUAUACACCACAAUUGUCUCAUGCCCAAAUUAAAUAGUUCAAAUUAGUCAAACUCAUAUAAAAUAUUAAAGUCAUCCAACAAAUCUCACCCACAUUAUGGGUCCAAAAUUCAUAUAAGUUAACAAGCCCACAUCAAUAAUAUACAUGGCCAAAUGAAAUAAUAUUUCAAGCCCAAACAAAUAACCAAUUAACAAUAGGAUCAAGUCCAAAUAAACAAUAUAUAAUUGAUAUAAUCCAAAUAUCUCAAAUUAAUCACCAAAUACAAUAUAACCACAAACCCAAAUUAAAAAAUUUUAAAUUAAUUCACCAAUAAUAAAUUAGCUCAAAUUUCAUAUUAAUUUACCAACAACAAGUUAACCAAAAUUUCAUAUUAAUUCAACAAUCCUAAUUUCACAAACAACAAUUACUAUUAAAAUCAAAUCAAGAAAAAUAAUAAUAAUAAUAAUAAUAAUAAUAAUGGAAAAUGAGUGGGAUGGGACAACAAGGGAAUGAGAGAAAAUGGGAGGGGGUCGCCGGCUGGUAGUGACUCGCCGGUGGCGACUACAAGGGGCUCACCGGCGGUAGUGAGAGAUUGGGUAUGGUGAGAGGGGAGUAGAAAAUAAUAAUAAUAAUAUAAUAAAAUAAAAUAAAAUAAAAAAGAAAUGAAAGAAAAGAAAAUAAGAAGAAAUCAAAAGAAGAGUGUUCGGAUGGAGAGAAAGGGAGGGAAAAUGUGGGAAAGAAAAAAAAAAUGGGGGCUAGUCACCGCAUUUAGGAGUUAGAAGAAAAAAAUGAAAAAAAUGAAGAGGGGAAAUGGGGAGGAUGAUUGAGAAAAAUAUAAUAUAAUAUAAUAAUAAUAAUAAUAACAAAUAAAAAUAAAAUAAUAAAAACUAAGAAUUAAAUGGUGAGUGGACCAAAAAACACAUGUAAUCGGGAUUUAAAAUUUAUUGACAAAAUUGAGCUCAAAAUUAAUGUAAAAAUAAAAUUAGAACAAAUUUUGGGGUCAUAGUUAUAUUUGAUUAAAAUGAUUAUUGAAAACUCAAUUUUAGAAAUUUAACAUUUCAUCAUUUUUUAUUAUCUCAUUUUAACAAAAAUGUUCUUAUUCUUUUCAUGUAAAAAUAACUUUUUAUUUUAAAACCUACAUGUAAACACUUGAAAUGAUAAAAAAACUAUUUACAUCAAAAGCGGGAUACUCUUCAAACAAAAAUACAAGAAGGUUUAAAUUCACAAAUAUGAGGAUUAUUUCACCAUUUUUAACUAAUUAAUUUUUUUUCAAAUUGGCAAAAUGUGAAGCUAGCACGAUUAACAUUAGUAAAGUAUCUAAUUGCUAAAGAGAAUGGUAGGAUUUAUUGACCUAACUCAAUUUAAUAUAUGUUAAAAUGGUGACAUUUUCUAAUUAUAGGCAUAAAAAAAUUAGGAGAAUGACAAAACUUAGUUAUUUUUCUCAAAAAUGACAUUAAAAAAAAAAAAAAAACAAGGUCCUAAUAUAGUCUUAUAAACUACAAAAGAAAGAAAUUUGAACUGUUGUACACCAAGGCCUAGCCUUGCAUGACAAAUAAAUUGGCAACAAAGGAUUAUGGUUUUGGAAAAAAUGAAAAGAAGGAAAGGAUAAAACAUGGAUUAUUUAUUUACUAAAAACCGGAGUCAAGAGGUGGAAGGAAAUCAUGUUUAUGAGAGUUAUCGCCAUGAUUGGACUUGAGCUUCUAGCACAUGAAGUAAAGAGCUGCUAGUGGUACCUAUUAAAUACGAAUAUGAUUGGUACAUUGUCGUUAUGUGGGUUGGUGUUAGAUAAUUUAUUAUUUAUUUAUAUUUAUAUUUAUAUAUAUUUUGGGUUUACUAAGCUUUGGACAGCCGUUGGGUGUUAAUCUCACACUUUUAAUAUUAGUAUGGAAAAUUUGAGCUUUCACACGACAAGGAAAGGUGGCAUUACAGCCAAGCAAUUUAAUUAUUAAUUAGUUACUGGAGUCGGAGCUUCCUAUAACUAAUUUUUAAAAAGAAAAAGUGGGAAAUGGCGCCUCCAACAGUCAAAAAAUGCCGUUUCAACCGGGGCUUAAAAAUGGGCCUCCCUCCGCUGUCAUUUCCACGCAACUCCAUUGCAACGACGGAGUAUUAUUCCAUCCCCAUAGACCACCAUCCAAGUCAACUAAAAGUCUAGAUCAAUUACUUGUUUUAGUCACCAGAAAUUACCAAUAAACCACUCACGGUCUUGUUAUAAACCAAGCUGCAGCGUCACCAGAAACUUCAAAUCACAAGAGAGAAAAUUUGCAUAGAGAGAAUAUGGGAGAAACACUUGAUCGUAUUGGAUUGAGCGGAGAAGUCAUUAAUGCAGCUGCUUCUCUAGCCAUGAAGGCUCACGAUUCCACUCGCGAGCCAUUUCUCCUCAAGAAACCCCGUGGCUUAUCCGUUGCUGUUGUUGCAUUUGCUGGAUCUUGGCUUCCCGAUGAUUGGUGUGCGGAGACACCUUUUGGAGAAACGACGAUAGAUGCUGGUACCUUUCCUUCGCUUAAAAGUUUAGGCGAUGACGGAGUCGCUCUGGUCAACGGGUCGUUUCUCCGGCGAUUCAAGGCAAUCUUAGGCCAAUCAUCACUUGCCGAAAAGGUACUUCAAUUCAACUUAUGCAUAGAUAUAUGAAAAACGAUCUUGUGAAUUUAAAAUGUGGAUGUUGGGGUUGGAUUUUUCAGGUGAAAAAAGUAAUUGGAGAGAAGAAGCGAGUUGUUUUCACCGGCUACUCGUCGGGUGCUCCGGUGGCCAUCCUGGCAACUCUAUGCCUCUUGGAGAAGCCAGAGCCCAAUCAGAGCCCACCCCGCUGCGUCACUUUCGGAUCCCCCCUCGUCGGUGAUCGGAUCUUCGGUCAUGCUGUCAGACGGGAGAAAUGGUCCGACCACUUCGUUCAUUUUGUUAUGAGAUACGAUGUGAUCCCUCGGAUUAUGCUUGCCCCUUCAUCCACUGAGCACAAACAAAUUCUCGAUUUCUUCAAUCCCAGAUCUGAAUUCUUCAGAAAACCCAUUGAUUCUCCUUUAGGUUUCUAUUCCAGCGUGAUGAGGAAUGCAUCCUUGGUUGCAAACUAUGAUGCCUGCAAUCUCAUGGGAUGCAGAAUCCCGGCGUUGGAAACUCUAAGGAACUUCAUUGAGCUCAGCCCUUAUAGACCUUUCGGAACUUACAUCUUCUGCACGGGAAAUGGAAAAUUGGUUGUCGUAAGGAACUCGAAUGCAGUACUGCAGAUGCUGUUUUACUGUGCUCAGUGGACCCAAGAAGAAGCUGCAGGGGUUGCACAAAGAAGCCUAUCUGAACACUUGGCUUACAAAGAUGAAAUACAAGAGAGCUUAGGAAUGCAGAAUGUAGUCUAUCUAGAUCGUCUGGAAGAGAUUCCAGUGUCUUCAGAUGGCAGUCCAGCCACAGUCAACACGGCCUUGAAUGACCUCGGCCUGGUGAGCCUUCUUCCUUUCUUCUUAAUUACCUUACUGCCAAACUACAGAAUUUUAGCUUCCAUGUCUGUAAAUCUCAAUUGAUGUUCUAGUGUUAUGGAUUGCAGAGCCCACAAGGAAGGCUAUGCCUUCAAGCUGCAGGAGAGUUGGAGAAGCGAAAGUCAAGAAAUCAGGAUAAGAUCAUUAAUGAUUAUAAGCAAAAGAUUGAAGGUGAAUUAAGAGAGCUGAGAAAGUACAAGGAAAAGGCUGAGACUUGUGGACUGGGCUACUAUGAUUCCUUUAAGCUCAACAAAUACGAAGAGGACUUUCGGGCUAAUGUGAGCAGGCUUGUGCUAGCUGGUUUCUAGGACGAGAUGAUGGAAAUGUUAAAAGCGUAUGAACUUCCGGAUGACUUUGAGAAGAGCCAUGACUUUAUACGACUUGGAACCGAUUAUCGCCGCACGGUUGAGCCUCUAGAUAUUGCCAACUUCUAUCGACACGCCAAGGAUGAAGAGACAGGAUUCUACGUGAAAAAGGGUACUCGACCAAAACGAUAUCGAUACAUCCAAAAUUGUGUUAAAGUAUAUUGUAUUGUGGGCUCUAGGCCCAGGGGCCCAGUUAGGUUACUUGUAUAGUACUUGUACUAUACACCUGUACUACACCUUUGUACUACACUUGUACUACACCUUUGUACUGCACCCUUGUACUACACAUAUAUGCCUCCUAUAUAAAGGCACUGAUGUAUACUCUUUUACUCACAGAAUAGAAUACAAUUAUUCUAUAUUUCUAACAUGGUAUCAGAGCCACUGCUCUGACCUCUUUUUUUUCUUCUUAGCAGUCUUGUCUUCAUUAGUGUGACUUCCUUUUUCACUAAGCGCUUCCGCCAUCACAACUGCCGCUGUAGCCUCUUGCCGUUGAACCUCCGACGUCAUCCAGUCGUCAUCCCUGGGUUCCGGACCUGCAACCUCAGUCAUUAAGAAGUCUCACACUGCACAGACCACUGCCCCUUUGCAUCAUCGCUGCGAAUAUUGCUCCGAUUUCACUUUUGAAGGUACCACUGAGAUCGUCCAGCGCCGAUCUACACAUUCGUGGAUAUCUCGCCGCCAUCGGAGACCGCACGCGCCCCUCAAAGAUUCUGCAACGCCUCCACGUGCCUUCACGCGCCCCCACGCGCUGCCACAUCAGCACUAGCUCGUCAGGCCUCCACGCGCUGCCACGUCAGCCCUAGCUGCGUCAGCAUCCACUGAUCUGCUGACGUCAUCUCCAGUCGUUGACCGUUGACCAUUGACCGUUGACCACCGUUGACCGUUGACCGAACAUUGACCGUUGACUUUGACCGUUGACCGUCCAAUUGACUUUUUCCCCGGCCAGGUUCUCCUUACCCAGUUUUUCGUAUAGAUUUCAUUUCUGCAGUCGGUUUUUGCAUAUUGCGUCCCUAAAUGGAUAAGAAGGAUGUUUUUCUUCCUCGCCCCAUCCAUACUGUAUUGGAGGGGACUAAAAAUUACUUAUCCUGGUCUCAAGCUAUGCGCAGUUUUCUUAAGAGUCGCAUGCUCUGGCAUUAUUGUACUGGUGCAAUGACUAUUCCUGUCAAAGGAGCAAGUGAAGAAGAUGCUGUCUUUCUUAGUCGCAUGAUUGAAUGGGAUAGUCAUAACCACAUGAUCCUCACAUGGAUCCGGAACACUUCCAUUCCCUCUAUUUCCAACCUAUUGGGCAGCUUUGACGAUGCAAAAUCUGCAUGGGAUAUGUUGACCAAAAGGUACUCCACUACUCAUGGAUCCAUGAAAUAUCAGUUAGUGGUUGAAUUGCAUCAACUCAGGCAAGAACCGGGGCAAUCCAUCAAUGACUAUUAUGAUCAGCUUCGCUUCAUUUGGGACCAAAUUGACCUUUCUGAACCAACUUGGGGAUGCUCCACAGAUGCUCAGCAAUAUGCUACCAUUAGAGAUGAAUUUCGCCUCUAUGAAUUCUUGAUGUCACUUCACAAGGACUUUGAGCCCAUUCAUGGUCAGCUGUUAAAUCGCAGUCCUGCUCCCUCUCUUGAUACUGCUGUGAAUGAGUUGGUUAGAGAAGAAGCUCGUCUUGCAACCCUUCAAGCCCAGAAUAAGCUCAAUAUUUUGGCUAUUACUCCAUCUACUCCACUCAUAGAGCAACCUCAGCAAUUAGGUGAUUUUUCUGGCUCUAGCAAUCGUCGCAAGCAAACCAACAAGAAGUUCUGCAACUAUUGCAAGCGUCCUGGCCACACCAUUGAGACUUGUUACCGUCGUAACAAAUCUACUGCUGCUGUUGCUAAUACUGCACCUACUCCGCCAACGGUUUCCACGUCCUAGUCUUCUGGAUCUACUAUCAACCUCUCUUCCACUGAACUACAGGAGAUCAUAGCUCAGGCUGUUCGUAUGGUUGGUAAUGCAUCUCUUUCCACUGCCUUAUCUGUUCUACCUGGUAAGUCUCAAACUUGGCUCUUUGAUUCUGCCUGCUGCAAUCACAUGACACCUCACUCAUCCCUGUUCACCAACCUUGACCCUGCACCACAUCCUCUAAAUAUUCAUAUAGCCGAUGGUUCCACCAUGCAUGGAAAUAGUCUAGGUUUUGUUUCAACCUCUACCCUUUCUGUUCCUGGAGUCUUUCACGUACCUGACCUAUCCUAUAAUUUGUGCUCUGUGGGACAAUUAGCUGAACUCGGUUAUCGCCUUAUUUUUUACUAUUCUGGGUGUAUUGUACAGGAUCCGAGGACGGGGCAGGAGCUUGGGACCGGUCCUAGAGUUGGGCGUAUGUUUCCCGUGAACAAUCUUCAUCUUCCACCUGUUGCUCCUGUUUCUAUUGCUGCUGCAACAGCUGCAGUUUCUUCCUUACCUUCUCUUGCGCUUUGGCAUUCUCGUCUUGGUCAUGCACCAUCUUCUCGGGUACAACAGUUAGUGUCUAGAGGUCUGUUGGGUUCUGUGUCUAAAGACCAUUUUGAUUGCACUUCAUGUCAGUUAGGAAAACAACCAGCUUUGUCUUUCAAUAACAGUGACUCCAUUUCUAAAAGUAUUUUUGAGUUAAUUCAUUCUGAUGUUUGGGGACCUUCUCCUGUUGCUAGUAUUGGUGGAUCUCGAUAUUUUGUUGUUUUUAUUGAUGAUUACUCUCGUUAUAGUUGGAUUUUUCCUAUGAAAUCUCGUUCUGAAAUUUUAUCAAUAUAUAGCAACUUUGCAAAAAUGGUUGAAACUCAAUUCUCCAAACGUAUCAAAACCUUUCGAUCUGAUAAUGCUCUUGAAUAUACUCAACAUGCAUUUCAAACUCUGUUACAUUCCUAUGGCACUAUCCAUCAUCUAACCUGUCCAGGUACCUCUCAGCAAAAUGGUCGAGCCGAAAGAAAACUUCGUCAUAUUCUUGACACUGUUCGUGCUUUACUUCUUUCUGCCAAAAUUCCUGCCCCAUUUUGGGGUGAAGCCAGUCUUCAUGCUGUUCAUGCAAUUAACCGCAUUCCAAGUACUGUCAUCCAUAAUCAGACUCCAUAUGAGCGUCUCUUUGGGUCACCCCCUAACUAUCAUCACCUUCGCUCCUUUGGAUCCGCUUGCUUUGUUCUUCUUCAGCCUCAUGAGCACAACAAACUUGAGCCUCGAUCUAGACUCUGUUGUUUUCUUGGUUAUGGCGAAACUCAAAAGGGGUAUAGGUGUUAUGAUCCUGUUUCUCAUCGUCUUCGCGUUUCUCGUAAUGUUAUCGUUUGGGAACAUCGAUUGUUUGUUGAACUCUCUCACUUUCGUUCUUCCUUGACUAACUCCUCUGUUUUAGAAAUCUUUCCCGAUGAGUCUCUUGUUCCUUCUGCAAAUACUUUUGAUCUUCAUUUAGACUUCUCUCCAGAUAUCUUUGAUGCUUCUCCUAGACAGGUUGCAGAUGAACAGAUUAUUCACGAGCUACCCCACUUUGAGCCUGGGUCCCCUGCUCCUGCUCUGCCUGAAGAUCCUCCACAAGACAUUCCACCUCGCCACUCAACCCGGGUAAGAUCCAUUCCUCCACACCUCCUUGACUAUCAUUGUUACACUGCCCUUGCUACACUUCAUGAGCCUCAAACCUAUCGUGAGGCCUCUACUGACCCUUUAUGGCAGAUUGCAAUGAAAGAGGAACUUGAUGCAUUAACCAAAAACCAUACUUGGGACCUGGUUACUCUCCCUCCUGGACAGUCUGUGGUUGGUUGUAAGUGGAUCUAUAAGAUCAAGACUCGCUCUGAUGGAUCCGUUGAGCGCUAUAAGGCUCGUCUUGUUGCCAAAGGUUUUACACAAGAGUAUGGGAUUGAUUAUGAAGAGACGUUUGCUCCAGUUGCUCGUAUCUCAUCUGUUCGUGCUCUCUUAGCUGUUGCUGCUGCUCGUAAAUGGGAUCUUUUUCAGAUGGAUGUUAAAAAUGCCUUCCUUAAUGGGGAUCUGAGUGAAGAAGUCUAUAUGCAACCUCCUCCUGGUCUCUCUAUUGAAUCAAACAAGGUUUGUCAUCUUCGACGUGCACUUUAUGGUCUCAAACAAGCCCCACGUGCUUGGUUUGCCAAGAUCAGCUCCACUAUUUUUCGCUUGGGUUACACCGCCAGUCCAUAUGAUUCUGCCUUAUUUCUUCGUCGUACUGAUAAAGGCACUAUUUUGCUUCUUCUCUAUGUGGAUGAUAUGAUCAUAACUGGUGAUGACCUUAGUGGCAUUCAAGAACUCAAGGAUUUUCUCAGUCAGCAGUUUGAGAUGAAAGAUCUUGGACAUCUCAGCUAUUUCUUGGGUCUUGAAAUUACUCAUUCCACAGAUGGUCUUUAUAUUACUCAAGCCAAGUAUGCUUCUAACCUGUUGUCUCAAGCUGGGCUCACUGACAGCAAAACAGUUGACACUCCAGUUGAACUUAAUGCGCAUCUGACACCCUUGGGGGGGAAACCAUUGUCUAAUCCUUCUCUUUACAGACGAUUGGUUGGCAGCUUAGUUUACCUCACAGUUACUCGUCCAGACAUCUCCUAUGCUGUUCAUCAAGUGAGCCAGUAUUUGUCUGCUCCACGAUCAACUCACUAUGCUGCUGUUCUGCGCAUUCUUCGAUACCUGAAGGGUACCCUUUUUCAUGGCCUUUUCUACUCAGCCCAGUCUCCUCUUGUACUCCGUGCAUUCUCAGAUGCUGAUUGGGCAGGAGAUCCUACUGAUCGCAGGUCCACUACAGGUUAUUGCUUCCUCCUUGGUUCUUCUUUGAUUUCUUGGCGAAGUAAGAAACAAACCUUUGUGGCCCGCUCCAAUACUGAAGCAGAAUAUCGUGCCCUUGCUGAUACCACAUCUGAGCUCCUUUGGCUAAGAUGGCUCCUUAAGGAUUUGGGUGUAUCCACCUCCUCUGCUACUCCUCUCUAUUGUGACAACCAGAGUGCUAUUCAUAUUGCUCACAAUGAUGUCUUUCAUGAACGGACUAAACACAUCGAGAUUGAUUGUCAUUUUAUCCGUUAUCAUCUUCUCCAUGGUGCUCUUAAGCUUUUCUCCGUCUCCUCCAAAGAUCAACUUGCAGAUAUCUUCACCAAGUCUCUUCCUAAGAGACGCACUCGUGAUUUAGUUGACAACCUCAAGUUGGUCUCACAUCCACCUUGAAGUUGAGGGGGGCUGUUAAAGUAUAUUGUAUUGUGGGCUCUAGGCCCAGGGGCCCAGUUAGGUUACUUGUAUAGUACUUGUACUAUACACCUGUACUACACCUUUGUACUACACUUGUACUACACCUUUGUACUACACUUGUACUACACCUUUGUACUGCACCCUUGUACUACACAUAUAUGCCUCCUAUAUAAAGGCACUGAUGUAUAAUCUUUUACUCACAGAAUAGAAUACAAUUAUUCUAUAUUUCUAACAGGCUCGAGCAUGCUGAAAAGAAGCCAUCUGGAUCCCGCUCAGAAUCCUGUUUCUGGGCUGAGGUAGAGGACCUCCGCAUUAAAACUAGAAGCAACGGAUCCUCUCCAGAAAUUAAGCAGAAGGUUCAGCAACUGGGGCAAAAUCUAAUUAAAUGGAUUGAUGAUGCAUCUUUAGGCAAGGAUGUGUUGUUGGAGAAUUCCACCUUUGUUAAAUGGUGGAAACCCCUUCCUCCUGAGUAUAAAUCAGAACCCGAAUCAUCUCGCAUUAUGAAACUCAUCCAUUAGAAAGAUUGAGAGGGUUUCAUGCUGUUAUCUCGAGGCAUUUGUUCAAAGCCAAUAACAGCAAUAACCCUGAAUGUAUGCAAAAUCCUGUUUCCUGUAUUAAUUAGUAUGCAAAAUCCUAUUUUCUGUAUUAGUAUGUAACGACUCAUUCCCAAUCGCAUAGAUAAUGUCACUGUGAUAUCCAGGGUCUCAGGUCCAACUAUGUGAAAAUCAAGAAUGCAAAUGACUAGAUAUCAAGGGGUAAUGCUCAUAAUACUUUCAUACAAACAAGUUAGAAUUGUGUAAGUUCUACAGACGAUUAUUCAAGUAGUUGUACUUCAACACAGAUGAAGUUUGUGAUUUGAAGUUACAACCAUCUGAUAAUAAAGAUGAUGAGAAGGCAUAUUUCUUAAGAAAAUGGUCAUGAUAGCAUUUGGCAGAGAGGAGCAUACUAAUACAAAAGAUUGAAAAUGGGUUGAUAAAUUAACAGGCAGAUGGACGCUUGAUGUGCAUAUUCCUUGACCGAUCAAUAUGUAUAUGAAAAUACUGUGACAAAGACCUAGUUAGCUCCACAAUGAAAAAAGAAGCCCUUGCCAUAUGACGACAGAGGCCCUGUCAUAGACUCACAGGUCAACUACAACCAGUUCCUUCCUAGCUGUCAGAACUUUCCUUAUUGUGCAAGAAAGAAUAAGCAUGAUAUUCUGAUGCUCCCUUACUAAUUUACUACUGAACACAAAUCAACAAGCCAUCCCUUUAAGGACAUAUCUAUAAGUUCCAUCUGGCAAGGACCUCUCCAAUGGUUACAUAUAUCUUUCUUUAUGGGCCACUAAAUGAAGCCCUUUUCCAUAACCCAAUACAACCCGGUUGGAACAUAUCAUCCUCAAAAGUGAGAAAUCAUCGACACCAUAAGGGUGCAUUUGGGAUAUGGGAAUCGGAAAGGAAAUAGGAUGGGAAUGAAGGUGAAUCACGAUAUCAUGUAGAAGAGAGGAAUCAAAAUCCUAGUGAAAGUAGUGUUAAGAUAUGGACUCACAUAUCUAACAAUAGUUCAUGACUAAGCUAUUCACCUCUUUUCAGUAUUUGUUUUCUGUUCGUUCAAGAGUAUGGACCACUUAUGUGUAGAGCCCAACGCCUUCACGGGCCUUAGAUGAUGGGCCUAAGACUUGUGAGGCCCAAAAACCCAAUGGGUAUGGUCCCUAAGGCAGGAGGGUAUAAAAGGUCAAGGGUCUGUUCAUUUUGGUAACAAUCACAUCAGUUUUGGAAUUAGAACAGACCUGUUUCUCUUCGACUCCCAUCGUCUGAGAGAAUUCAGAAAGAUGUGGUGCCCUCCACAGCCUUAGAAGAUCCAUACCGUAUUCAUCGCUGGAAAACAAUGGACUCAGGUAUGUUCUUAGACAACAGUGGAAGGCAUAAUUUGAAUGCUUGGUAUACAUAUAUAUCCUAUUUUUUUUUUUUUUUUUUUUGUGUGUUUUGGGUGAUAAUGGAAAUCAAGAAUAAUAACAAAUGGUAUCAAAGCCUCCCAUUUUCACCAAAACACUCUUUAAAACACAAACAUCAGACCCAAAGCAAAAAACGUUGGACUCAGGCGUUGUUUUGGGCAAUGGGAGUAGCGUUAGGGCGCUGCAACGCGUCAUUAGGAAUCAGAAUAGUGCCAUUUCGGCGCUGUUCAUUUUGUCGGUGUCCUUUACGCUGUUUUGACGCCGUUGAGAUGCCACUGCAGGUGUCGUCAGCCCGAUGUCGCCACGACGCCGGCUGGAGGAGGAUUGAGACGCCGGUUUGGCGUCAUUCUCCAAUCAAGAACGUUGUUCAGGCGAUGGAAAAUGACUACGAUGUCGUUUAGGCAUCGUUUCUCAGUCAGCUGCUCGUGAUUUAGGCGUCAUUUUUUUGGCGUUCCAGACGUCAUCCAAGCGCCAAUGAGGAACGCCAAAAUUAGGGUGUUGUUGUAGGCUACUCAGUAACGUUGUUACUGCAUUUUUCUAGUGAUGACACCACUGAUGACACCGCUGCCGGCAUCCCAUAGUAAAAUGCCUAUUUUUGGUGCGCCGUUUUGGUGGCACUAAAGCACCAUUUUCAGGCGCAAUUGGAGGGGCUGCUGGCGUCCGUUACAAGCGCCAUUAAGGCGUCUGUUACAGGCACCAUUUAGGCACAGUCCCACGCAGCAUUCAAACGUCGUCCAGGCGUAGUCUGAUGGCGUCGUUCGUAGAUGGCUCCAGGGCCGCUGUCAGUUGGAUGCAAAAAUGAUCCCUUUUUAUAGCGUUUGAAAUUCCAUGUUUUUUUAUAAAAAAAAAAUUAUGUAUAUGCUUUUAAAAUUAUGCCAUAAUGAAGAUGGAAUAAUUUGAGAGAGUCUAUAUUCUUUUUUUGUGUUGUGGGAAAUUUUAUAUGUAUAUGCUUUUAAAAUUAUGCCAUAAUGAAGAUGGAAUAAUUUAAGAGAGUCUAUAUUCCUUUUUUGUGCAUUAGGAAAUUUAUAUGUAUGUGUUGCAUGUGAAAUAAUUAGGUAUCAUUCAAUGUCUUAUGAAUCAUGCAUAAAAUGGGUUUGUGGAUAAAUUUUUUAUUGAAUUAUUGCUUGCUAUAUUUAUGUUUAAUAUUUUAAAAUAAAUGAAUUAUGUAUACUUGUUGCCAAAGUAACUUGUAUUAGGUAAUUUUAUUUAUUUUGAAAUGUGUAAGCAUGUUAUUAUUGUAUAAAAUAAUCAACCCAAAGGAGGAUUAUUUUUAUAUAAUAAUAAAUAAAGUAAUCAUGAAUAUGUGACAUACAAGGUUUAUCUUGCAUUCGAUAUGUUAGUCCAAAGACAAACAUAUUGUUUUCGGGUUUUUUUUAUUGUCAAUAUUUAUGAAUUAAUUUAAGGAUGCUACUUACAAGUUGAUAUUUCCAUCCAAAGACUGAAUAUUGAUGUUUGUGCUAGGUAUCUUGUUGUAUGUCCACAUGCAUAUAUAUGUUUAAAUUUUAUUUAUUCAUGUAUGUGUGAUGUUUAUAUGACUGAUUGUGAGCUUCAUUGUUAUUUCAGCAUCUUCUAUAUCUGCAAAUGUCAAUAACACUCCUGUGCUUAAUGGCAUAAACUUCAAGAAAUGGAAGGAGCACGUUAUAAUUGUGCUCAGGUGAAUAGAUUUAGACUAUGCAUUAAGAGUGGAUCGCCCUUCAGAUCUUACUAGUGCCAGCACUGCUGAGCAAAGGUCUGCUAUGGAAAAAUGGGAGCAAUACAAUCGCAUGAGUCUAAUGAUUAUGAAGCACUCAAUUCUAGAAGCUAUAAGGGGUGCAAUACCUGAGGAAACCCAAGCCAAGGCAUUCUUGGACCAGAUAGCAAACCGAUUUGCUGCAAACGAAAAGGUUGAGAUAAGCACUAUUCUUAGUAAGCUUGUCUCUAUGCGGUAUAAAGGGAAAAAGAAUAUAAGGGAGUACAUUAUGGAAAUGUCUAAUCUUGUGACUAGACUCAAGGCACUAAAGUUAGAGUUGUCGGAAGACAUACUCGUGCACUUGGUCUUGAUCUCUCUACCUACACAAUUCAGUCCAUUCAAAAUCAGUUACAACACUCAAAAGGAGAAAUGGACUUUGAAUGAGCUUAUUGCUCAAUGUGUACAAGAGGAAGAGAGAUUGAAACAAGAGAAGAUAGAGAGUGCUCACUUGACUUCCACAUCUCAGGGAUUUGGUGCCAAUAAGAAAAGAAAGAGGGACAAUAAAGGAAAACAAACUACAGUUUCUAAGACAUCAAAGCAGAAGGUGCAGAAGAAACAAGAUAAGGAGAUCACUUGUUUCUUUUUCAAAAAGACUAGUCAUAUGAAGAACACAUGUACCAAAUACGCGGCUUGGCGUGAAAAGAAAGGCACACUUCUCAACUUCGUUUGUUCAGAAAUUAAUUUAGCUAUAGUGCCUACUGACACUUGGUGGAUAGAUACAGGUGCAACUACUCACAUAAGUGUCACUAUGCAGGGUUGCCUAAGGAGUCGAAUGUCAACUGAUGGUGAAAGAUACAUCUAUGUGGGAAAUGGAAACAAGGUUGCAGUCAAGGCUAUUGGUCUUUUUAGACUACAGUUGGACUCUGGAUGUACUUUGGAUUUGGAAGAGACUUUUGUUGUACCGUCGUUUAGACGGAAUUUAAUUUCUAUUUCAUGUCUACGGAAUUUAAUUUCUAUUUCAUGUCUGGACAAAUUUGGAUAUUGUUGUUCAUUUGGAAAUGGAAUAGUUAGUCUUUAUCUAAAUUCAAAGGUUAUUGGUACAGGUAGUCUAAUAGACAAAUUAUACAAAUUGAACAUAAAGGCCACUAAUGGAAAUGAAACCUUGCAUUCAAGUAAUUAUGGCAUUAAGCGAAAAUUAAUAAAUGAGAAUUCAUCAAUGUUAUGGAACAAACGUUUGGGUCACAUUUCAAAUCAAUGGAUUCAAAGGCUUGUGUCAGAAUGAAUUCUUGAUCCACUUGAUUUCUCAUACUUUCAAGUCUGUAUAGAGUGCAUUAAAGGUAAACAAACAAAUAUGAGGAAAAAUGAUGCCAAUAGGUGCAGUGACAUCUUGGAAUUGAUACAUACGAAAAUUUGUGGUCCAUUCCCUACAACUUCUUGGAAUGGACAACAAUAUUUUAUCACUUUCAUUGACGAUUACUCGCGUUAUGGCUAUCUUUAUUUGAUUCAUGAGAAAUGUCAAUCAUUGGAUGUGUUCAAGAAUUUCAAAGCUGAAGUUGAGAACCAACUAAGCAAGAAAAUAAAAGUCGUCAGAUCUGAUCGUGGAGGUGAAUACUAUGGUAGAUAUGACGGAUCAGGUGAACAAUGUCCAGGGCCAUUCGCCAAAUAUUUGAUGGAGUGUGGUAUCGUUCCUCAGUACAUCAUGCCAGGGACUCCAAGCCAAAAUGGUGUAGCAGAGAGGUGAAACCGUACUCUUAAGGAUAUGGUAAGAAGUAUGAUCAGUCAUUCCAUCUUACCAAAAUCACUUUGGGGCGAAGCUAUCAAAACUGCAGUUUACAUUUUGAAUAGAGUACCAAGCAAAGCAGUAGCCAAAACCCCAUAUGAGUUAUGGACUAGCAAAAAGCCUAGUAUUAGGCACUUGCAUGUUUGGGGUUGUCCAGUUGAAGCUAGGCCUUAUAAGCCAAAUGAAAAGAAAUUGGACUCCAGAACAGUGAGCUGCUACUUUGUAAGGUAUUCUGAAAGGUCAAGAGGUUUCAAAUUUUAUGACCCCUCAUCUAGAUCCUUCUUUGAAACGGGUAAUGCUAAGUUCAUUGAGGAUGUUGAGUUAAGUGGGAGAGAAUCAUUAAGAAAUGUGGUUUUUGAAAAGGAAUCUAUUAGUAUUCCUACGACUGGAAAUGGUCAUAUUAUGUUUGAUGACACUAUUUAGAAUGUACAGUCGAUAACAAAAAUUCAAGACACACCUGAAAUUCCUCCUGCUCAAGUUAUGGAACUGAUUCAAGUUCAUCAAGAGGUAACUCAACAACCUCAAGAACCUCAAGUACAAGUGCCACUGAGGAGAUCCACUAGAGAAAGGAGAAGUACAAUUUCAGAUGAUUAUGUUGUAUAUCUUCAAGAACAUGAGUUUGACAUGGCUCUGAAAGACGAUCCAAUUUCAAUUAGUUAAGUCAAACAAAGUUCUAACUCUGAAAAGCGGAUAGAAGUCAUGAAGAAAGAGAUGAAAUCAAUGAAAGACAAUUGUGUUUGGGACCUAGUAGAGUUGCCUGAAGGUAUAAAACCGAUUGGUUGUAAAUGGAUUUUUAAAACCAAACGGGAUUCAAAAGGUAACAUUGCUAGGUAUAAGGCACGCCUAGUCGCAAAAGGUUUCACUCAAAAGGAAGGCAUUGAUUAUAAGGAGACCUUUUCACCAAUUUCGUCAAAGGACUCUUUUAGAAUCAUCAUGGCACUUGUAGCUCAUUAUGUUUUAGAGCUACAUCAAAUGGACGUUAAAACUGCGUUUCUUAAUGGUAACAUUGAUGAAACAAUAUACAUGGUGCAACCGGAGAACUCUGAGUCUAAUGAUUCAAAGCAACUUGUAUGCAGAUUAAAAAGGUUCAUAUAUGGUUUAAAGCAAGCAUCCUGACAGUGGUACCGAAAGUUUGAUCAGGUGAUCACUUCAUUUGGUUUUAAAGAGAACACCGUUGAUCAAUGAAUAUACCUCAAGUUUAGUGGGAGCAAAUUUAUUAUCUUGGUGCUAUAUGUUGAUGAUAUUCUACUUGCAAGUAGUGAUGUGGGACUUUUGCAUGAAACCAAGCGAUUUCUAUCUAGUAAAUUUGAUAUGAAAGAUCUUGGUGGUGCAUCUUUUGUGCUGGGUAUACAGAUCUAUAGGGAUCAUUCAAGAGGUAUACUUGGGUUAUCACAAAAGGCCUACAUUGAUAAAAUGUUGAGUAGAUUUGGCAUGAGCAAUUGUGCACCAGGAAACACGCAUGUGGCAAAAAGCGAUAAAUUUAGUUUGCACCAAUGUCCGAAAAAUGAACUUGAGAAGAAGGAUAUGGAGAGGUUUCCCUAUGCCUCGGCCAUUAGAAGUCUCAUGUAUGCACAAGUUUGUACGCGUCCGGAUAUUGUGUACAUUGUUGGAAUGUUAAGCAGAUAUUUGAGUAACCCAGGUAUGGAUCACUAUAAAAAGGCAAAACGGGUUAUGCGGUAUUUACAAAGGACUAAAGACUAUAUACUCACAUACCAUAGAUCCAGUCAUUUGGAGAUCGUCGGAUAUUCGAACUCCAAUUUCAUAGGAUGUCUUGACAGUAGGAGAUCCACUUCAGGAUACGUCUUCAUGCUGGCUGGAGGAGCAGUUUCAUGGAAAAGUGUUAAACAAACACUUAUUGCUUCUUCCACCAUGGAGGCAGAAUUCAUAGCUUGCUACAAGGCAUCAAACCAUGGGAUAUGGCUACGGAAUUUUAUCACUCAAUUGCGAAUUAUUGAUGGGAUUGAGAAACCAUUGAGAAUCAAUUGUGAUAAUAAGGCCGCAAAAUUGUAUUCUAAGAACAACCGAAGUCCAUCAAAGUCCAAACACAUUGAAAUCAAGUUCUUGGUUGUGAAAGAAAGAGUUCAGAGUCUUCAAGUAUCGAUUGAACACAUAAGCACAAACUCCAUGACUGCGGAUCCGCUCACUAAGGGUUUCCCACCCAAAGUAUAUCAUGAGCAUGUCACACAUAUGGGUGUUGUACACAUUGAUGAUGUGCCAAUAUAGUGGGAGUUUGUAUUUAGAUUUUGUGUUUGUUUUCUUGAUGUGAUAUCAUGUUAUGUUAUCUAUACAGACCUUGGUUUUUAAAGACUAUUGUAUUUGAAUACUCUGAAUUGAAAUGAUGACUUUUAGAAGCAGUUUAGCAUCAAGUGUUGAAAGUGGAAUUUGACUAAUUUUUAGUCAUAAAGUGGGACCAAUUGGAAAUAGACAUAUUAGAGAUCACAUUCUAAGCAACAUAAUCUCCAUUCUCAAGUUCUAAAUCCAUCCAAAUACGUACUUCAUGGCAAAACUGUAACACCCCAAAAUAAACUUUAGGGGCAAAAUAGUAAAUUAUAAAUUAAUUAAUUAAUUAAUUAAACUCAUUAAAGAUAAAAAUCCCUUUUACAAUUAAUAAUCUUUGGUGUAAAUUAGAUUUUUCUCUUGUCUUCUUUAUUCAGAAAACUCUAUUAACCAAAAAUUAGUGAAUUGGAAAAUGUAGGGCUCAAGGUUUGAAGGUCUAGAGUUUGAAGUUCAGAUUUUUCCAAGUAAGAUUCUAACCCUAGAUUAAUAUAUUAUAUUUGUUAAUUAGUUUUGAAUACAUUAGAUAUUCUUUAGAAAAUUUUAAUUUAGAUUAGUGCUAGUUUAGUUAAUUUAUUUUAAGAUCAAAAAAUUGAAAUUAUGAAUAUAAGUUGUUUCAUUUAUGAAAAUAGGGAAAUUUGAAAAAAAUUUUAUAUGAAUAGAUCUAAACAAUGAAAUUGUAAAAAUUAAAUGAGUAAAUAAAUAUAUGAUUAUAUAUGGCUUAAGGGAUUGGAAAAUAAUAAUAAGAAGAAUUGCAUGUUUCUGGAUUUUGGAUUUGAGGCAAUGUGGUGGGGUGACAAAAAAAAUAUGAUAUCUAAUUGUGAAAAGAGUGGUAGUGGAAUAAAUUAAAAUAAUAAUAAUGAGUAGAGUUGGUGGGGUUGUUGGUUAAAAGUACAUGAGAUAUUUUGUUAAAUAAGAGGGAACAUUGGGAUUAAUAAGAAUAAUGAUAAUAAUGAUAUUAAUAAUAAUAAGAAGAAGAAGAAUAAUAAUAAUAAGAAAAAUUGUGUGAUUUGGAUGUUUGUGAGUGAUGUACAAUAGGGGUGUUUUUGGAUAUUGCAAGGUAUCGAAAAAUAUAGUAAUAAUAAUAAUAAUAAUAAUAAUAAUAAUAAUGAUAGUUUUUAAUAAAAGUUUAAAUUUAGUUUAAGUAUACAAAAUAAAUAAAUGGUUAGAAUAAGAUUUGGAAGAAAUAUGAGUUUAUAAAAAAUUUGGAAAUUCAUUAAAUUAUAUUAUUAUUGUUUAAGAAGUUGAAACUAAUAUUGGGUAGUAAUAAUAUUAGAAUAAGAAAUUAAUUAAGAUCCCUAAUGCUAAAUAAAAUAUUUUUAGGAUUGUCAAAUUUUUACCUUUAGAUAAUUGUGUAUGAUAUUAUGUUAGGUGAAGAGUAAAUUCAUCAAGCUAAAUACUUCAAGUUUUUGAGCACUUCUUCAAGGUAAGGGAAAUUAAUGCAGAUUUUUAUAAAUAAUAAUAAUAAUUUUCUUUUUAUAUUGUAUUUUGAAAUGUGUAAAAAUAUUAUUUUUAUCUUUUCGCAUGGAUCAAAUAUGCGUUUUGUGUGGAAAGUAUAUUUGAGAAUUUUCUUUGUUUAUGAAAAAUAAAAAAUUGAGGAGAUAUGAUAUUUUGUUGAGUAAGUUUGACUUAAUGAAAUAAAGUGUUUGACUAUGGAUUAUAUGACCCUAGUCAAUGAGUUAUAUUGUUGAUAUUUUCGGCCUUUGUCAACGAUUUAUAAUAGUUGAUAUUAUAUGGCCCUAGUCAACGAGUUAUAAUAGUUGACCUUAUGACCCUAAUCAACGGGUUAUAAUUGUUGGCUUUUGGUUAUGUUCAUCUUAAAUGGAACAAAUUUGAAACUAGUCACUCAUUUGUAAAGUCUCACCUAAUUGGGCACCAUUUGUUAUUUGAUAAUCAGAGUAAAGAUAUUUUGAAUGUAUUUUAUUUGGUUUUGAUGAGAAAUUGUUUUGAAAUGGAUAUGAGAAAGUUUUGUUGAAAAGUUUGAAUGUAUUAGUAUUUUGAACUUAAAAGUUUUUAUGAAAAUAAGUAUAUGUUAUACAUCCUAUUUGCAAGUAUGAUUGAAAAUGUUUGAUCCAUGAAAUUGUAUUAAUGUUCCUUAUCGGGCUUUGAGUUCCCCUUUUAUUGAUAAUCUUUCAAGUAACCUCAGUUCGGGCGAAGAGUGGCCGUUAUGAGAGAAAUUUGGUUUUAUUAGGACAACUCUUUUUAUCUUGGACAUUGUUGAAAUGUUAAAACUUAAUUCUUGUUUCAAUUAUUUUGAGUUUAGAGUUACUUAGACAAUAACACUUUGGUUGAUGUAUUAGUUUUUAAAAAAAUUUGAUACUUGGAGAUUUUAAAAUUUUGUCCUAGAACAGGAAUUUGAUAAUUGGUAAAUUUCCAGUUACAAUACAGAUGUUUGUGUUGUUUCCACUUUGAGCCUUUAGGCUUGAGAUGUGAAAUGACUGUCAUGCCCUUGGAGUGGGUUUUGGGACAUGAUAGAGUGGUAUCAGAGCACUAGGUUAUGAUCUUGUUGAGAACUUGUUUUAGUUUACUUUUGGGAUAGAUGAGUGACGCAUUAGUUUAAGUUUCAGUUUCAUCUUCUAUAAAUUCAUAUUUUUCCUUAUGAAUCUAAAUUGCCUAAUUGGUUUUUUAGUGACUAAUUUAAUUAUACCAAUGUUUAAUAGGACAACAUGGCACCAAUAAGAACAACAUCUUCCCAAAACAGUCAGGCUAAUAAUGAUGUACCUCUUCCAUUUGAGGGUUUACCUCCCAUGAAUGUAGAAAAGCUUUAUAGGUAUCUUGAGACUUUAGCUGGUUUGGCUAAGCUUCAGGCUAGAGCUAUUGAGACUCAAGCUCUUGGACAACACUCAUCUUCUAAAGGUAGCUCAUUUGAUGACUUUAAUAAGUUAGGUCUUCCUUAAUUUUCUAGUACUUCAGACCCAAUGGAAGUAGAAGCUUGGAUUCUUAAGAUAGAGAAAUUCUUUAAUGUUAUAGAUUGCUCUGAGGAGCAAAAAGCCUCUUAUGCAGCAUUUAUGUUAGAUAAAAAAACAAAUCAUUGGUGGCGUAUGACCAAAAGGCUUUUAGAGGAUUAGGGACCUAUAGUUUGGAGACAAUUUAAGGAGGCAUUUUACAAAAACUACUUCCCUGACAUUGUUAGAUGACAAAAAGUAGGAGAGUUUGUUCGUUUGGAACAGGAGGAUAUGACGGUGGACCAGUAUGAGUCUAAAUUUACAGAGUUGUUACGUUUUGAUCCACAAUUAAUUGCUAUAGAGGAGGAAAAGACAUUAAAGUUUCAGGAUGGAUUGAAGCCUUAUCUAAAGAACAAAAUAUAUAUUUUGAAGCUUAAUGCCUAUUAAAAGGUUGUAGAUAAAGCCCUUAUAGCAGAAAAUGAUAAUAAGGAGCUUUAACAAUACAAAAAACAACAAAGGAAGAGGAGUAGGAGUGAUGGUGCCCAUGAGAACCAAGAACCAAAAAGGUUCGAUUCAAUUGAGAAUCAGAAUAAAGGGGAAACAAUGCAAAAUUCAUAUUUGACUUGUUCUAUUUGUGGUAAGAAACAUUGGGGUAAGUCUUGCUAUAAAGAGUAUGGAGCUUACUUUGGUUGUGGAAAGCAUGGACAUAUGAUUCAGGAUUGCCCAAAGAAUAAGAAGUUUAUGAUUGGGAAGCCUAAGGAAGAGAAUAAAAAUUAUAAACAGAAACCCAAAGUCCAAGGGCGAAUGUUUGUUAUAACUAAUCAAGAUGCUCAAGUCACUUCUGAUGUGGCGACAUGUACUAUUUGAAUUUGCAAUUGGGAAAGUUGUGUUUGCAACUACCUAUUUGAAAGCAUUAUAGAUAUCAAACUGGAAGAAGUUGGAAUAUGAGAUUUGACCGUGAAAUGGCAAAAUAUUAUCUUUCUCAUGCACUCUUUUUCUAACUCCAUUUUAUGUUCCUAGAUUGCCCCUCCAUGUUUCCAUGUCAGCUGCAACCCUAUCUCCAUAUUAGCAGAAAACCCUCCAUGUCACAUAAGAGACUUGAAAUUUAUAAAACAGAAAAAUCAAACCUAUGAAAAAUCACCUGACCCGAGACCCAUGUAAAAUUUUUAAAACCUUUAUUCUCUUUGAUUUGGGAGCUUCUCUCUCUCUCUCUCUCUUGGCUUCAUCACCCACACAAUCCCGAGACCUAUGUAAAAUUUCCUAAAAAUGGUCUCAAAACUCCAACCUGUGUGUUUCUCUCUUGUCCACAUAAAAGUGCAACGAAAUAGAGCAUUCCAUCCUAAGAAUGUCCAGUUAAAAGAAGACUUCAAGAGGCACAUCCAUGAUUAUGAAUCUACUACAGCAGCGCAUACCAGAAUAGAAAGAUGGAAUCCAAAAUAUAUGGUUCGUGAACAAGAUAUCUCUUCCUGUCAUUAAGUGGCAUUUUUCCCUAACCCCAAACUGAAAUAUGAAGGUAAAUUAUUUUCAUUUAUUGUUCUUUAGUUCAUUAAUUUGAUAUAGAGCACAUCAACAAUUUUGGAGUAGUUGGUGGACUUGAACUUUUGUGUUGGGUUAUGGGAACCAUAUUAUUCCCAAAUAACCAUAUGACCCACAAGUCGUAUUGAAUCCAGAUGGAACUUACAACAUAUCUGGUUAUAAGUCACAUUGUUAUUUUGCGGAUUGUACCUUAGGUACUACCUUAAUAGCCCUUAGGUACUACCUUAAUCUACCUUAGGUACUACCUUAAGGGACCUUAGGUACUACCUUAGUUAAAGAUGGGUUCUACCUAUCCCAAGCUCAAACCUUCCUUUGUGACCCUUAGACCAUGCCAUUAUGUGAUUCUUUUGUGUGGGCAAGUGGUCCACCUUUGGUUGUUUGCAGACUAUAACUUAAGUACUACCUUAAUAGCCCUUAGGUACUACCUUAGUUAAAGAUGGGUUCUACCUAUCCCAAGCCUCGGACCUUCCUUUGUGACCCUUAGACCAUGCCAUUAUGUGAUUCUUUUGUGUGGUCAAGUGGUUCACCUUUGGUUUUUUUAGGACUGUACCUUAGAUAUUACGUUAAUAGCCCUUAGGUACUACCUUACUCUACCUUAGGUACUACCUUAAGAGAUCUUAGGUACUACCUUAGUUAAAGUUGGGUUCUGUCUAUUUCAAGCCUCGAACCUUCCUUUGUGAUCCUUAGACCAUGCCAUUAUGUGAUUCUCUUGUGUGGACAAGUGGUUCACAUUUGGUUCUUAGAGGACUGUACCUUAUGUACUACCUUAAUAGCCCUUAGGUAUUACGUUAAUCUACCUUAGGUACGACCUUAAGUGACCUUAGGUACUAUCUUAGUUAAAGUUGGGUUCUACCUAUCCCAAGCCUUGGACCUUCAAUCCCGGACAUUACUUGUUAUAUUUUAAAAUUUGUAGUUUAUCAUUACUAAUACUUUGUAUUUUAAAAUAUGAUAUUAUUUUAAAUUGCAUAUGUUUUUUUUUUUUUAGAAUUUCUCUAAAACAUAUUAUUAAGUAAAUAAAUUUUAAAUCAAAUUAUUAAUUUUUAAAAAUAAUUUGAAACUCAAAAAUCAAUUUAGGGUACUUUUUUAUUUGAAUAACAUAGAAAAUCAUGGAAUUCAACAAAAUAAUAUCAAAAAAAUCAUAAAUUAAAAUUCAUUUUGAAUGACUUCACUAGUUUCUUCUUUAUAUAUAAUUAUAUUUUGGUAAAUUUUUUUAUUUGGCAAAUAAACUCUAAAUCAAGCAAGACUUUGUGCAUUGGAUUCUUUAACGGAUCUAGUAAUUUUUAAAAAUAAGUUAAGCUCAAAUAGUGAUCAAAUUAAUAUGAACAAAAAUUAAUAACUUUAUUGUUUAUUUUCUAUAUAAAAUCAUUUUUUUUAAAUUUUGUUUACUAAAAAAAAUAAACUUCAAAUUAAAUAAAAUUUAAUGCAUUGGAUUUAUUAACAAGUCUAAGUAAUUUUAAAAAAUAAUUUAAAAAUCAAAUAGUGAACCAAUUAAUACCAUAAAUUUUUGGAUAUAAAUUGAUCUCUUCUAUUAUUUAUUUAUUAACAUAGUUAUAUUUUUAUAAUUUCUUUCACUACAAAAAUAAACUUCAAAUCAAACAAUAUUUUGUGCUGAAUUUAUUUAUUUUAAAUUUAUUUUAAAUAAUACUAUUAACCAUUCUUAUUUUUAAAAUAUUAUUAUUAAUUUUCAAUAAAAAAAUAUUAUUUUACAAAGAUGUCAAUAUCCAUAUCUCUAUAAUAAAGAGCAAAAUAGUAUAAUAAAUUCAUUUUAAAUAAUAUUAUUAAUAAUUAUUAUUUUUAAAACAUUGUUAUUAAUUUUUAACAAAAAAAAAAAAUCAAUUAUGCUUUUACAUAGAUGUCAAUAUCCAUAUUUCCAUAAUAAAGGGUAAAAUGGUAUAACUUUAAUAAAAAAAUUAUAAUUUUGUGAUUGUAAUAUAAUAUUACCAUUCCUAUUUUACUAAAGACUAUUUAUUGUUUAAUUACAAAACUAAUUUUAUUUUCAAUAAGAAUUUUAUUAAAUUUAACUAAUAUUACAUAUUGAAUUUUUAUUAAAAUUUAAUUAAUAUUAUAUAAAUUUAAUUUACAAUGUUUUUACAAAAUCAAAAUAAAAAAUAAUGCAUCCAAAUAAGUUUUUUUUUAUCUUUGAAUUUAAAAAUAAAUAAAAAAUAACUUACCAAAUACCCCUAUUUUUAUGAAAUACUAAAAAAUUAUAUCUAUCUAUCUAUCUGUCUAUAUAUAUAUAUAUAUAUAUAUAUAGUUUUUUAACUUCAAACAAUUUUUUCAAAAAUAUAAUAAAAUAUGACCUUAUAUUCUAUUCAAACUUAAACGUUAAAUAGUAAUUCUCUUUUUGUCUGCGAGCUACUAAAUAUUUAUAAAAACUAUCAUCGGAAUAAUAUUUAGAGUGUCUUUGAAAGUAUUUUCUAUAAGGUUAUUGUGGAUCUCGUAUUUUGCACGAUACGUUAUUACUCGAUGAUGUGACACUUUUUAAUUUAUUUGGUGAAAAUUUGAUAUUUUUUUAAAAGGACUUGGAGUCACCACUUAUUUUUGUUUUAUUUUUUUAAGGGAAAAAAAUAAGAAAUAAAAACCCUAAGUGUGACUCCUAAAGCUAUGAAAAACCGAGUCUGAGUCCAAGGGUCAAGUUACUUAUUGAGAAGGUACAGUGGUGAGCCGUAGCAUCCCUCUAAGCCCAUAUACGUACGGCCUCUACUAAACGAAUUAAGGGAAUUGUGACAAUUAAUUAAUUAAUUAUGAAUACUAAGAAAAAUAAUCAUGCAAAUGAGUAUGUACAAGUCAUGGUGAAAAUCAUUAUACAUAAAAAUAAUGAUGAAAUAUAAUUACAAGAAUACACAAAAUAAAUAACAAGAGAAUUAUGCAAAAUGAUUUAUUGAACUAAAAAAUAUUUCAAAAGAAUCAGUUUUCAAGAAAUUUAAAAACAAUUUUCAAUUAAUAAUUUCAAUUUAUUUAUUUACAAAAAAAGGUCAAUUUAUUUUCUCAACUUCAUUCGUAUUCAAUUUUCAAAAAAGUUAUUUACACUUAUUAUAUCAAAAGAAUUUAUUACAAAAUUUCAAUUUGGCAACAAAAAUUAUUUUACUUGCUUUUACAAAAAAUGAAUGAAUUUUUGUAAUUUUAUUUACAAAAGUAUUUCAAUUUGUUUUCAUUUAAGAAAAGUGAUUUAUACAUAUUAUUUAAAAAGACAUGACUUUAUUUGCAAAAGGAAUUUUAAGUGAAAAGAAAAAAAAAAUUUAAAUCAUCAAUUUCUAAAAAAAUACUUUUAAUCCCAUUUUAAUUAAGGAAAAAGAAUUCAUUUUUAAAAAAAAAAAAAAAAAAAUUGGACAAUUUUAUUAAAAAUUAAAUUUUGGGACACCUUUAUUUACAAAACAAUUUUUAAACAAUUUUUAUUAAACAAAGAAAUUUUUGGACAAUUUUAUUAAAAACAAUUUUUCAAAUUCUAUUAAAAAAAAUUCUUUUGGAUUUUUCUAAAUACAUUUUUCUGAAUUUUUAUUAAUAAAAAAACUUUCUUUUAUUAAAAAUAAUAUUUUAAAAUUAUUAUUUUAUUAAAACAUAUUUACUAAAUUCUUCCUCUUAUUUAAACAAAAUUUAUAGUUUGUUCGAUAUUCAGUUUUGUACAUACUAAAUAAAUAUAUACAAAUGAAUAUUUAUAAGAACUAAUAAAAAUAAAACCAAAUAAAAGUGAGAAAUAAAAUAUGUACCCAAAUAAACUUACAACAAACUCAACGUCUUCCUACAACUUUUCGAGUCUCACUUUCUUCCAUGAAAUUUCGUGUUCCAUAUGUCAUAAAUUCGUACUCGGACAACAAUAUUACAGAAUGGGUCCAUACAAAAACAAAAACAUCUCAAAUGUAAAUAUCUAAAAAUGUAUAAAAUUCAUAAUAGAUAUUCAAGCCUAAAUUCAAAUUUCAAAUUAGUUCAAUAAAUUUCAUCAAUUAAAAGUGGGCUCAAAUUAGCAAAUAUAACCCAACAAAAAUAUUUCACAUGUCAUAAGCCCUAAUCUAAAAUUUUCAAAUUAAUAGCCAAAAUAUAAGCUCAAUUAAUCAAACCCAAAACAUGAUAAAUUAAAAUAAAUCUCAUUAGGCCUAAACUUAAUAUCUCAUAAUCCAAGCCCAAUUUAAUAUGCAAACCUACAUCCAAAAUAUAUCACAAUAAUAUAUCAAAUCUAAAUUAAAUAAUUCAAAUGAGUACAACUAUAUCAAUUAUCAACUAAUCUAACCAAAAAUAGCAAAUUCCAAAUUAAUUGACCAACAAUAAAUUAACCCAAAAUUCAUAUUAAUUUACCAACAACAAAUUAACCCAAAUUUCAUAUUAAUUCAACAAUCCAAAUUUCAUAAACAACAAUUACUAUUAAAAUAAAAGGAAAAUAAUAAUAAUAAUAAUAAUAAUAAUAAUAAUAAUAGAAAAUAAGUGGGAUGGGAAAGUGAGGGAAUGAGAGAAAAUGGGAGGGGGUCGUCGACGGCGACUAGCCGGUGAUCUACCGAUAGUGAGGGUUGAUGGGUUUUUGGGAAGCAAAAAUGAAAUAAAAAUAAUAAUGAUAAUAAUAAAAAUGAUAAAUAAAUAUAAAAAAAUGGGAGGAAUAAAAAUGAAGAAAAUGAGGACGAAAGGGUGCCGACAUCAGACCACCGGCAGUGAUGAUGGAGUCGGGUGUGGAUGUGGGCAUUGGGAUGAGCCGUAGGAGAAAAUAAAAUGGAAAAAAAAUGGGCGCCGGUCAUCCAUGUGUGUUGUGGGGAAAGAAAAAAAAUGAAAAAAUGAAGUGGGGAAAUGAGGGAACACGAUUGGGAAUCGGAGUUGGGGUGUGGUCAGGGAGAAAAAAUCCAUAAAUGGGGAGAAUGGAGGUCUAGGUAAGGUCAUCCAACUGCCAGCCCUAAGAGAGGGAGAAGAAAUGGAAGGGCUAAAUGGGAAGCCAAGAAAGUGGGUAGGAAAAAGAGAAAUAAAAAAAAAUAAAAGAGAAUGAUGGAAGAAAUGUGAGGGGGGGCAUGUCCCCAUGACGUGGGAGGGAUGAGGGUAGGUGAGAGUAACUAGGGAAGAGAAAGAGGAAGAGAGAGAAAAGAGAGAAAAUAAAAAAAUAAAUAAAAUAUAAAUAUAAUAUAAUAAUAAAAAUAAAAAAUACAAGUAAAACAAUUUACAAAAUAAUAAAAAUUAAGAAUUAAAGGGUGAGUGGGUCAAAAAUAUCACAUAUAAUCAGGAUUUAAAAUUUAAGUACAAAAUUGGACUCGAAAUUAACGUAAAAAUAAAAUUUGGACAAAUUUUGGGGUCUACAGCUAUGUUUGGUUUAAAAGAUAUGAUACCAUAAGAUAUAUACAUAUAUUAUAAUAUCAUAUGUCAUUGGAUUGAAAAUACAUAUCCUGUGGUAUGAUUUCCAAUGAGAUAUGUAUUAUUGGAUGUACAUAUUCUAUAAACAUGAUAUUUAAAUGUAGCAUAUGAAAUGAAAUAUAUUAUGUUUAUAUUUAAUAUGUAAAAUGGAUUAAAAAAAAAAUAUCAAAUAUAUAUUAUUUUUAAUUGUUUAAAAUAAAAAUUAUAUCACAUUCUAAUAUUUUAUAUUUUAAAAAUUAAAUUUAUGUUAUUCAAUAUAUCAAAAUAAUUUAUAUAUCAUAUAUUAAUAUUAUUUUAUAAUAUUUUUUAUACAAAUUUCUGUAGUAUUUCUUUUUCAAUCAUAAAUUUAAUUUAUAAUAAAAAAAUUAUUUUACAAAAUAAGUAUAUAAAAAAAAAUUAUGAUACAUGAGAUAUGCAUAUCUCAUAUUAUAGUAUAAGAGUAACAUAUCAUAUGUAGAAGGGACAUACUUGCCAUGAUUAGGCUUCAAUUGAGGUUGAAUUUGGAAUGCCUAUGCUCAGAACAACUGCUAUGAUAAUGCAAAAGAGACAUUGAAACAACAUUUUAUGAUAACAUUUCAUAUUAACACAACCAAAUUUAAAAGAUUCCAAGGAAAAACAAAGAAUAAAAUGUUUUGAAAUAACAUUAGUUAUUCUAUCAUCUCCUGAGAUUGGUCUCCUAAAAGCUGAGUACCAAAGUACAGUGCCACUCUGACCAACCAACUCUAAAACCAGUAUUACACUACACACCAUAUUUCCCAUCAAUCUCUCAAUCUCUUCACUACACUACAAUACAAGCCAGUGGGUGAUUUGAAACCAUAUAGAAAAGUGUUAUCAGGAGAAAUUCUAUUCUAGCUAACAUCUUUUCAAUAUUUUGGAGCACAAAAAACAGAAAUUUGAAAUUGAAGACUUCAUAUGUUUUCCAUACUUGGUGAGACUUUUAAGGAAAGAAGUAGAUCUUAAUGAAGAGUGCCAGACCUAUUUGCAAAACAAAUGAAGCAACAAUCACCAGACUUAUGUUGUUACCCUGUAUGUAGGACCUCAGGUUCAAGGCAACAAAGCAAGCUGAUGCGCCACCUACAAGGACUGUGACGAGCCACCGCAGAAACUCAAUCGGAAUAACUAAUAGGACCUGAAAAUGUUCCAGGAGAACAAAUUAGAUGUUCACAAGACUACUACUUAGAAACCCAGAAACUGAAAAUUACACUAUUAAGGUUCUGCAGCAAUGAAAACCCCUAUGUGUUAAUACUUUAAAGACAACAACAGAAUAAACUGGCACUGGAGGUCCAUAGUUUGGAUGAUGCACCACCAACUAUUAACCUAAAUGCUUGCUUGUUAUGUAAUGUAUCUUUUAUUAAGUAAAACUUAAAAGAUACAUUAUGUAACAAUCUUGCUUUAACUCUAGUUAUUUCCCCUACUAUAUAAUGUUUUUAUAAUUGUACAUAUAUUUGACUAAUAUUGCUUUAUUGUAUGUAGUGCAUUUCUAUUAUUUAACAUAUAUUUGGACUUCUAUAUUAAAACAUAUAUUUGACUCAUAAUAAACUUGAUGCAUACAAAAAUACAUACAAACAUAUAUACUUAUGUGGAUGUAUACACGGUGUACAUGCAGGUAUAUACAUACAUAUACAUGCAUACAAAUAUACAUACGUAUAUCAGAAUCUAUUAGACAAAAGAGAUAGAUAACAAAGGACAAAAUUCCUCCAAAAGAAGGAAACAUACACAAGUAUAUUAUAAAAGGAAAACCUUUGGCUUCCCAGCCUUAAGGAAAAAUCCCUAAACUUCAGAGGGGCAUGUGAUCAUCACAUAUGAUGCACCAAAAAAAAAACUCAAAGAAGAAUUUUAUAGACAUAGUGAUAUUUGCAAAGCAAAAUGGAGCAUAAUGUUCCAAAUUUUCCAAUUUAUUUUUUAGCAGAGACACUACAAGAAGAUACGUCACCCUUUCUACAACUAUCACUAAAGUGCCAUCCUAUUGACUAAGACUAAUCAGCUUGGCUCAAUUUUAUCCAACAACCCCCCUAAACAAGAUGUCUUAAGGAUACAGUUGGACCACAAGGCCAUCGAUAAUGUCAGUGAUCAAGAAAGAAACAUAUAAGCACCGUAUUUUUGCACAUAAAGAAUAUUUGAGAUGAGAGAGUGGGCAAGUAUAGGAUCCAAUGAUAAAUUUGACUGCGUGAAAGAGAGACUAAUAAUAACCUAAAUAUCCAAGCUUAUCAAGAGUAAUAUACUUGAGAAAGAUAAUUUGCCAAUAUAGAAUGAGGUCCAACUACUGAUUAUUGGGGAAAGGUUGAUGUUUUAUUUUAUAGAAGAUGGUGUUUCAUACCUCAACAUCAAGAUGAAUUCAUUGAUAUCCAUUGGUUAUACUCAUCCAUCCUUAUUAUAAAGAAGCUGGAACUUGGGGAGUCGCCUCCACCAUAUGCCUUCACAUUUAUAGGUAAAGAAAACUUGCUUACAAUCAAUCUCAAAUAUCCAACAUUAAAAAAAAAAAAUAACUAAGAAGAACCAUGAUUGCUUCAUAUUGAUGCACACAUUCGCAACUUCAGAUGUAUCAAUAGCACUAUUAGUGUUCCUUAAGCACAUUUUUAGAUUAUUCUGUUGCAUGUAAGUAACACCUCUUAUAGGCCUGAAAUCAACAAUGAAGAUACUAUAAGAUGAUGAAGCAUUUUACUCCACCUAGAAAUGACUUUAAAAUGUAGACAUCUCCAUGAAAAGAUCCUUAGUUUGGAAUUUAGCUUCCAUCGUAAAUGUAAAGCUCUGUCUAGCAAUGGGCUAUGUGGUGAAGCAAUCAUAAGUCUGAGCAAAGGGUGUUGGUCAAAUAGUAGAAAAGGCGAGCAUAGGAGCUACUUAAUAGUAGAGAUGCCAAAGGUCAAUUAGACAUUUAACUGAUUGAGCCAACCUUUAAAAAAAGUUGACAUACAAAAAUUAAUGAACUAUCGAUGUACAUGUGAAAAUUUGUUGAGAUUAUAAUGUUGAAGUGUAUGUAUUUCAAAUCCAAUGUUUUUACCAUAUGACUGAAAAGUAGGAAACAAAGUUUACUUCUAGUAAUUGAAUUAAGUUCAUGCUAAAAUGAGAUAAAGGAAAAUGUGAGAAAAAUUAUUUCAUCAUUUGCUCAAGUAGCCCCUGUCAAAGUAGGACCUCUUUCAUUUUUUUCUCACUUUUGAAAUAUUGAAGAGCCUGAGCCUAAGGGUUGAACCCUACUAGAGAAGAAGUACAUAAAGAGCCACCUGACAUGGGCUAAAAUUAAAAUAAAAAGACAGAACACAAAAGGAAUAUGCAUGCAGAAAAUAGUAUCACCAUUGGCACUUGACUCAUAGCACUGAAUUCAGGAAAUCCAUGAAAGAUACCAUUUCUUCCCCAUGGGUAUCUAAAAAGCAUAAAUACCAAGCUUUAAGGAACACGUCACUAAGUUUCAGCACAGGGAGCUCUACAUAAAAAAGGUUCUCAUGUUCCUUCUUCCAAAUACACCAAGAACACAAAGUGGAGCAGAUAUCCAAAGGCUCCCUCUUUAUAUGUCUAUGCACACACACACACAAACAUAAUAACAUUACUUCUUUUCUUUCCCACAGAAAUUCCUCUCUAAAACCAUAGAAAGCUCUUUAUUCGAUCAAGGCAGAACACAAAAAACACAAGACAAGGAAAAAACUAGAGACUAAAAAGGUGGUCUACCAUACAACGUAGAAGGAUAUAGUUCACGAAGUCCUCAUCCUCAUCCUUUUGCAUAAGCAACACCAAUUAACAAUAGCACAACCCCUAUGCCCCCACACAAAUGCCACUUUGUCAAAUGGGAGAGCCUGCUAACCUCAACUCCACUCCACAUAUAACCCUUUCAAACUACAGGUAAACCUAAGUUAUAGGCAUGUAACACUUUCAUUAACCUUCCAAAUCAAUUAAUUUUGUCAAAUUCAAACAGCAAGUACCUAACAGGUUCUCAAAUCAACCUUUUUUUCUUUAAUAUAUUUUCAUUUACACAAAUCUGAUUGUUAUAAACAAAAAAAAUACAAUGAUACUCCUAAGCACAAUCAAAUUGGAAACUUAUGCAUCUUAGUAAUUUUUUUAAUUGCAUUUCCACAUAGCUAAUGAAUCAAGAAAAUAAAAUAUGUUCCUUGUUAACAGUAAUACUGGUAAUUGGAAAAUAGUGCCACAAAAAUGGAAAUCACAAUUCCCAUCAAAUUCACAACUGGAAAGAACAUCAUAAGCUAAAAUAAGAAACAAAUAAAUAUUAUUUAUCUUCAAAAUCAUUCAUUUCUUCAUCAGUUUGUAUUCACUUUCUCACAGGAAUCAUAUACAACCCCCAUCUCCACUUCUUAUCCAAUAAAUAGAAGGUUUAAAAGGACAAGUAUAUGAUGAAAUAGGAAUUGAAUUUGAAUCAUCAUUAAAAUUUAAAAAGAACAAAUAACAAACAAAGACAAAAUUUAAAACCUAAGAAGAUCUUUUGGAUUUUGGAUUGAUUCGCAUCAUGUAAACAAACAAAAGAAACAAAUAGAAAAUAAAGUCAUGACAAAUAAUUGCAAGCUCGUAUUACCCAAAUCAAACCCUGUUACCCUGACCCUUCUCUGUACAUCAAAAUCCUACUUCACGAUUUGAUUUCACACCAAACUCGUAUGGAUAUGAACAGAAACAAAAAGAGAAUCCAUAUCAACAUAUUCCCUGAAACAGAAACAAAAAAAAAUAAGCAAAAAAAAUUGAAAAAAUAAAUCCAAAAAAACAAAAAGGAAAACUGGGUGGCUUUAAAUUCAGAAAGAAACUGAUUUAAAAAGAGGUGGGUCCAUUUGGAAAUUUCUUUAACCAAAACAAAUUGUGUCUCAUCUUCAUUCAUGCGAAAAUUAAUCAAAAUACAACAAACCCCAAAAUAUAACACCUUUAGCCCCAAUAUUUUCUCAAUAGCCAAAUGAAUCCUUAAAUGGAAAACUCACCUAUGAUUGAUUAAUCCACAACAAGAGGAAGCUCCAUUUCGGUUUCCAAAAACCUUAAAAAAAUUCAACCUUUGGUGAAUAAAUAUGAAGAUAUGCCUUAACUUUGGCUUCGUUGAAGGUUUUCGAAAGAUGCCUAUCGGGUUUGGGUGGUCAACUCGUGAAAAGAGACACAAUAGGGUUAGGCCAAAAUCAGACGAAGAUGGCUUUGGGAAGAUGGGUAUCCAUCGUCUAGUCAGGACGUCAAUAAACAGAUCAGUUGCCUACCUUCGUGUAUCAAACGAGCUAUGAAAAUGGGAAUUUUUUUAGAUCGAGUCAGGGCAAAAUGAGAGGAAGUGACAGAAAGAGUUUUGCAACUUUCAAAUGUUUAUCAGGUCGGGUGUUUUGUGGGUUUCAGAUUUGACAACUUCAAGUUUCAAAUUUUGGUGUUUAUUAAAUUACGCACCUACCUGCUGACAUGGACAUUGGUGACUAUUGACAGGGAAACAUUAAAGGGCAAUUUUGGAAAUGCAAACCUAAACAGUAUAUAGUGCAUGAGAAAUAUAAUAUUUUUCCCAUUAAUAGGCACAUCUCAUAUUUCAUUUAUGUGGGUUUCCAAAACCAUAUAUCUUCCUAGUAGCAGCCUACAAACACAACUUUCCCUUUGCAAUUUAUUGUUAGAGCCUUGAUUGAUCUAAACUCAACAUAAUCUAUGUUUCAAUAUCUUUUGUUGGUUUGUUGGGUUUGCUUGUUGAUAGCCUAAACUUUGAUUUGAUUGUUGUUUUUCCUAUGGGAUAUUCUAUUGUGGAUAAUAUUAUGUUUAGAGGUUAUCUUAUGAUGACUAGUUAUAUGGAGAUGUUAGUGGACUUAAUACUUCUUGACAUUAUGAUUUUGAUGUGAUUUUGGAGAUGGAUUAGUUAGUUUCCUUCUAUGUCUAUAUUAAUUAUUUUGGUAAAAAGGGUGACUAUCCACAUUCCUAACUAAUAUACAUUUAGUUUUGAGGGAAAACAUGUGAUUAGACCAUUGUGUAUGAUCUUAGCUUUAUGGGCUAGUUCAUUGCUUAGAAAAAGGUUGUUAAGGGUUUUAUGCUUAUGUAGUGCGUGAUAAAAAAAAUAAAAAAUAAAAAAAUAAAAAUUACAAUAUAUUAUUGCCAAGUUGAUAAAGGUUUAAUGAUGCAAUCUUAGUAUUCAAGAGGUCACUUAGGAAUUAGAAAAUGAGAUAAGAGAAAAGCAUCCUCAUUAUUUGAAGAUUUAUGUACAUCAAGUUUAGAUGACUAAACUUUUGUUAAGGAGGGGAGGAUGUAACACCCCAAAAUAAACUUUAGGGGAAAAAUAAUGAAUUAUAAAUUAAUUAAUCAAUCAAUUAAACACAUUAAAGGUAAAAGAGUCCUUUUACAAUUAAUAAUCCUUGGUAUAAAUUAGAUUUUCCUCUUGUCUUCUUUAUUCAGAAAACUCUAUUAACCAAAAAUCAGUGAAUUGGAGAACGUAGGGCUUAAGGUUUGAAGGUCUAGAGUUUGAAGCUCAAAUUUUUUCAGAUAAGAUUAUAACCUUAAAUUAAUAUAUUAUAUUCGUUAGUUAUUUUUUAGCAUAUUAGAUAUUCUUUAGAAAAUUUUAAUUUAAAUUAGGGUUAGUUUAGUUAAUUUAUUUUAAGAUAUAAAAAAAUUGAAAUUAUGAAUAUAGGUUGUUUCAUUGAUGAAAAUAGGGAAAUUCGAAUAUUUUUUUUUAGAUGAAUAGAUCUAAGCAAUGAAAUUUUAAAAAUUAAAUGAGUAAAUAAAUAUAUGAUUAUAAGUGGCUUAAGGGAUUGGAAAAUAAUAAGAAGAAGAAUUGCAUGUUUUUGGAUUUUGGAUUUGAGGCACUAUGUUGGGGCGACAAAAAUAAUAAUAAUAUGUAACCAUGAAAGGCAAAGGGUGGUAGUGGAAUAAAUUAAAAUAAUAAUAAUAAUAAUGAGUAGAGUUGGUGGGGUUGUUGGAGUUGUUAGAAGUAUAUGAGGUAUUUUGUUAAAUAAGAGGGGACAUUGGGAUUAAUAAAAAUAAUGAUAAUAAUGAUAUUAAUAAUAAUAAUAAUAAUAAUAAUAAUAAUAAUAAUAAUAAUAAUAAUGAUAAUAAUAAUAGUAAGAAUUGUGUGAUUUGGAUGUUUGUGAGUGACAUAUAGUAGGGUUGUUUGGAUGUUGCCGGGUAUCGAAAAAUAUAGUAAUAAUAAUAGUAAUUGGUUUUAAUAAAAGUUUUAAUUUAGUUUAAGUAUACAAAAGAAAUAAAGGGUUAGAAUAAGAUUUGGAAGAAAUAUGAGUUUAUAAAAAAUUUGGAAAUUCAUCAAAUUAUAUUAGUAUUGUUUAAGAAGUUGAAAAUAAUAUUGGGUAAUAAUAAUAUUAGCAUGAGAAAUUAUUUAGGAUCCUUAAUACUAAAUAAAAUAUUUUUAAGAUUGUCAAAUUUUUACCUUUAGAUAAUUGUGUAGGAUAUUAUGUUAGGUGAUGAGUAAAUUCGUUAAGCUAAAUAAUUCAAGUUUUUGAGCGUUUUUUCAAGGUAAGGGAAAUUAAUGCAGAUUUUUAUAAAAGAAAAUAAUUUUCUUUUUAUAUUGUAUUUUGAAAUGUAUAAAAAUAUUAUUUUUAUCUUUAUGCAUGAAUCAAAUAUGUGAUUUAUAUGAAAGGUAUAUUUGAGAAUUUUAUUUGUUUAUGAAAAAUGAAAAAUUGAGGAGAUAUGAUAUUUUGUUUUGUAAGUUUGAAUUAAUGAAAUAAAGUGUUUGACUUUGAAUUAUAUGACCUUAAUCAACAGGUUAUAAUUGUUGACAUUUUCGACCCUACUAAAUGGGUUAUAAUAGUUGACUUUAAGGUCAUAGUCAACGGAUUAUAAUAGUUGACCUUAUGGCCCUAGUCAACGGGUUAUAAUUGUCGACUUUUGGAUUUAUUCACCUUAAAUGGAACAAAUUUGAAACUAGUCCCUCAUUUGUGAAAUCCCACUUAAUUAGGCACCAUUUGUUAUUUGAUAAUCAGAGUAAAAAUAUUUUGAAUAUAUUUGAUUUGGUUUUUAUGAGAAAUUGUUUUGAAAUGAAUAUGAGAAAGUUUUGUUGAAAAGUUUGAAUGUAUUAGUAUUUUGAACUCAAAAGUUUUUAUGAAAAUAAGUAUAUGUUAUACCUCCUAUUUACAAGCAUGAUUAAAAAUGUUUUAUCAAUAAAACUGUAUUAAUGUUCCUUAUUAGGCUUUGAACCCAUCCCCCUUUGUUGAUAAUCUUUCAUGUAACCUCAUUUUGGGUGAAGAGUGAUCGUUAGGAAGGAAAUUUGGUUUUAUUAGGAUAUUUGUUUAAACUCUCUUUAUCUUAGACAUUGUUGAAAUGUUAAAACUUAAUUAUCGUUUGAAUUAUUUUGAGUUUGGAGUUAUUUGGACAAUAACACUUUGGUUGAUAUAUUAAUUAUUUUUUAAAAGUUGAUAUUUGAAGAUUUUAGAAUUUGAUCUUACUACUCUGAACAGGAAUUUGGUAAUUGGUAAAUUUUCGAUUACAAUAUGGAUGUUUGUAUUGUUUCCACUUUGAGCUUUUGGGUUUGAGGUGUGAAAUGAUUGUCAUGCCCUUAGAGUGGGUUUUGGGCGUGACAAAAAUAAUUCAUAUCUCAAAUGGAAAACACUCAACAAUUUUCCCAAAUUUCUUUCUUUUUAGCCAAAUAAAAUAAAAUUGGAUCCACAACAAUGGUUUUAGGCAAUGAAGAUUCAGCAACAUCAAAAUGUGGAAAAAUAAUAGAUCUAAUCCACUUGCAUGCUAAUAAAUAAAUAAUCCAACACCAUCCAAAUUUAUAUUAUAAUUCAAAAAAAAUUACCUUUAAAAGUUCCCAUUGAUAAUAACGAGUAGCUCGAUCAUACUGACACAAAGAAGAUACCUCUAAUUGUUGGUGUAUUUUUUUGCUUGUGAAAUCAAGCAUUGACAUAAAAGCAAAAAAAAAAGGAAUGAAUCAUUUUACCAUAUCCCAACACAAAUAAAUAAAUAAAUAUACUUGAUAGAUUUAUAAUAUAACACCAAAAAAUACAAAAUGAAAAUCCAAUCCAAAAAUAAAAUAAAAUAAAUCAAGAGAUAGAAAUUGAAAAGGGUUUGAAAGUUAGAACAGGUAUUGGAAUUGGGUUUGGGUGCUCAAGUGGGCUAACCCGACUUGACCCAAAAACUGUCACUAUUGUAAAAAAAAAAAAAAAAUUCUCUCUAUGGAAACCCUCUCUUUCUGAGUACUCUCCCUCAAAAAACUUUUUUUUUCUCUCUCCGAAAACCAAAAAGUGAAAAAUAUAUUUCUUCUUUCCCUAAAAACAAAAGAAAGAAUAUAUUUUUCUUUCUAAAAGAAAAUCAUUUCUCGAAGUUUUUUCUAUUUUUCUUCCUAAAAACGAAAAUCAAGGUUCUUGUACCGUACGAAAAGAAUAAUCUUUAUAUUUAUAAUUUCAUUCAUGACUUGAAGCAAAAAAAUUGAUCAGUAAAAUAACCAAUCAGAAUUCUUAAGCAUUUCAAUAGGUAAUCAAAUGCAUUAUUUUUCAUGAAGGAAAAAUUUUGAAAAACAAAUAAUGAAUAGAAUCCAUAAAGAUAAAGGAAGAAUCCAAAAAUAAAGAAAAUUAUAUAUAUAAUUGCAGUCGUAAUUGGUACAUGAUAAAUGGGUGACGAUUUUCAAAAGUGAAAUAAUUGUAAAUGAAUCCAAAUUUACUUAAAAACCAAGUCAUGAGGUGGAAGGAAAUCAUGUUUAUGAGAGUUGUCGCCGUGAUUGGACUAGGCGUCUAGCAUAUAAAGUCGAGAGAUGCAAGUGGGAACUCCUAAAUACGAAUAUGGUAUUAAUGUUUAGGCGCGGGUGGCUUGAUGGUUUUGAAAACCGGUUUUUGCGAGAAAAAUAUUUUGACAAACACGUCACACUUUUGAAAUUAGUAGGCAGACGUUUGAGCUUUUACACGACGAUAACACGAACCGUCGAAUAGGAAAUGACGCGCGUAAGUGGAAAGGUGGGAAUUAAAAAGUUGUUGGGGUUUGAUCUCAAGGCAUAUAUCUAAUUUUUAAAAAGGAAAAAGUGGGACAUGGCGGCUCCGAGUCUCCGACUGUCGUCAAAAGCGUGUGGGCCUCUCUCCAUUGUCAUUUCCGGGCAACUCCAAUCCAGCGGAAUAUGAUUCCAUUCCCGUCAACCAAAAGUCUAGCUCAAUUAUCUGUUCAGUGAUCCGAAAUGGCCAAUAAACCACUCACUCUCUUGCCCACGGGUUAUAAAUCAAGCUGCAGCGUCACAGCUUCAAAUCACACACAGAGAGAGAAAAUUUGCACAGAGAAUAUGGGAGAAACACUUGGAGAUCGUAUUGGGUUGAGCGACGAAGUCAUUAAUGCAGCGGCUUCUCUAGCCAUGAAAGCCCACGAUUGCACUGGUAAGCCAUUUCUUCGCAAGAAAGGCUUACCCGUUACUGUUUUUGCAUUUGCUGGAUCUUGGCUUCCCGAUGAUUGGUGUGCGCAGCCACCUUUUGGAGAAACGAAGAUGGAUACUAGUAACUUUCCUUCGCUUAAAAGUUUAGGCGAUGACGGAGUCGCUCUGGUCAACGGGUCGUUUCUCCGGCGAUUCAAUGCCAUCCAAUCAUCACUUGCCAAAAAGGUACUUCAAUUCAACUUAUGCAUAGAUAUAUGAAAAACAAUCUCGUGAAUUCAAAAUGUGGAUGUUGGGGUUGGAUUUUUCAGGUGAAAAAAGUAAUUGGAGAGAAGAAGCAAGUUGUUUUCACCGGCUACUCGUCGGGUGCUCCGGUGGCCAUCCUGGCAACUCUAUACCUCUUGGAGAAGUCAGAGCCCAAUCAGAGCCCACCCCGCUGCGUCACUUUCGGAUCCCCCCUCGUCGGUGAUCGGAUCUUCUGUCAUGCUGUCAGGCGGGAGAAAUGGUCCGACCACUUCAUUCAUUUUGUUAUGAGAUACGAUGUGAUCCCUCGGAUUAUGCUUGGCCCUUCAUCCACUGAGCACAAACAAAUUCUCGAUUUAUUCAAUCCCGGAUCCGAAUCCUUCAGAAAACACACUGAUUCUUCUUUAGGUUUAUAUUCCAGCGUGAUGAGGAAUGCAUCCAUGGUUGCAAACUAUGAUGCCUGCAAUUUCAUGGGAUGCAAAAUCCCGGCGUUGGAAACUCUAAGGAACUUCAUUGAGCUCAGCCCUUACAGACCUUUCGGAACUUACAUCUUCUUCAGUGGAAGUGGAAAACCGGUUGUCGUAAGGAACCCGAAUGCAGUACUGCAGAUGCUGUUUUACUAUGCUCAGUGGAGCCAAGAAGAAGAUGCAGAGGCUGCAAAAAAGGGCCUAAAUGAACACUUG